rnacentral:lncRNA from 1 species
GCCCAAAACCUAAAUAGAAAAUAUCUAGAUAUUUUCUGAAUAGUCUAGAAUGCUAAUUAAAUGUGCGUAAUCAAUGCCCAGUCAGAAAAUGCUAUGAAUCGUCUUGUCAUCUAAGUACCAUUUUUGCUUUUUCUUUCUAACGAUUCAUUUCUAACCCAUCAAGUACAGCAAUAUAGUUGUUUAUGAAGUCUACUAGUUGCUGCCCUGUACUGUUUUUCUGUUCAUGUAUUAUUCUGUUUCUUUCUCCCCAUAUAGUCCACAAUCCACAACAGAAAAGACAACUCUGAUGCGAAGAAAGCUAGUCAAAGAUGCAGGUAAUCCAUUGUAGAAAAUCCAUAUAAAGCUCCCGAAUAAUAUUCUGCAUUUUUAAUAGUGUCCAAACAUCCACUGUGACAGGGCAUUCACGAAAGAUAUGGUCGAUCAUUUCAGCUCUUUCUCCACAUCAAGGGCAACUUGUAUUGCUUACAAGUUUUCGAUGCUGCAUAUUAACCCUUGUCGGCAAAUAAUUCCAUGAGAUUUUCCAUAUUGUAAUCUUGAUUUUAUUUGGUAGAUUUAAGAGCCAUAGUUUUUUGUAGAAAUUUCUGUAGCCAGUUUGUAAUGCGUAAGCUCUAAGGAUUUCAUCAAAAGUUUGUAAUAGUUUAUAAGUGCUGUGGACUGAAAACUCGCCUGAAUGCUCGCCUCUCCAGACCAGUAGAUCAUCAUGAGGUGCGCUUGCUAAAGGUAUCCAGAGGAUUUUUCCAGCAUCAUCCUCUGAAAAGUUAUUGUUUAUAAAUUCUCUUUUCCAUGCUCUUUCAUUACUAUCGAUCAAUUCACUGACCUUGGCAUCUUGCAUAAAAUUAACAACUGAAGAUAACUUAAAAUUGACAGCAUCUGGAAUCCAAGCAUCAGCAUUUAUAAAAAUAUUUGUGCAUGUGCCAACCCUUCAGCACAUUCUUUUUUCCAAAACACCCUUCGCUGCCCAUAUGCUUUUCCAUAUAUAAGAGCUGGUUUUUCCCAAUCGAGACUUUAAGAAAUGAUCAUUCAGAAAAUAUUUUGCUUUAAAAACUUACGUAACUAAAGAGUCCUGAUUAGUAAUGAGCCUCCACCCUUGUAGCAAGUAGAGAAAUAUUGAAUUACGCCAUAUUUCUAAAUCCUAAUCCCCCCUCUUCUUUUGAUCGACACAUGAAUUUCCAUUGACACCAGUGUAUCCCUUUCCUACCUUGUCCUUUGUGCCACCAGAAUUUAGUGAAAAUAUUUUCUAACUCCCCUCAUAACGAUUUUGGUAGAAGGAAACAUGACAUAGCGUAAGUUGGAAUUGCUUGAAGAACUGAUUUUAUAAAUAUCUCAUUUCCCCCUUGUGAAAGUAACCUAGUACUCCAACUUACAAUUCUCAGCUUAAUUUUAUCUUUGAGAUUCUGAAAAGCUUCCUUCUUUCGCUUUCCUACAACAUUAGGAAGUCCUAGAUAUUUUUCCAUAUUUGUGGAGCUUCUCACAUUUAGCAAACUCGAUAUUUCUUCUUUCUCCUGUUCUGUUGUAUUUGUGCUAUAGAAAAUUGUUGAUUUGUUGUAGUUUACACAUUGACCUGAGCACUGUUCAUAUUCCUUCAAAAUAUCUUUGAAAAUUUCCCCCCUCGUUGUGUCGCCUCACCAAACAGUAUACAGUCAUUUGAAAAAAGCAAGUGCGAUUUUUCAGGUUCUCUUUUACUAGCUCUUACUCCCUUCAUCGAUCCCUCAUCUAUGGCCAUUCUUAUUAAAGACGAGAGUCCAUCACAGCAUAUCAAAAAAAGAAAAGGGCUGAGCGGGUCAUCUUGACGAAGCCCUCUAGUAGGCUUAAAAACCUCUCUUCUUCUCCCAUUGAUGUUCACUGUAUAAGAGACUAUAGAGAUGCACUUCAUGAUUAAUGUUACCCAUUCUAUAACAAAUCCCAUUUGAAGCAUAACUUCUUUUAAAAAAGCCCACUCAACUCUAUAGUAAGCUUUGCUCAUAUCUAGCUUAACUGCCAUCAGCCCUUUUUUCCCAUUCCGUCGUUGACUUAGCGUAUGCAAGAGUUCAUAGGCUACAAACACAUUGUCAGUAAUUAACCUUCUGGGAACAAAAGCACUUUGAACCUUAUCAAUACAUUUUCCAAUGACUUUCUGAAGAUGAUUUGAAAUUACUUUUGCCACAAUUUUAUAUAGAACUGUGCAUAAGUUGAUAGGUCUAAAAUUAACAAGACUUGUGGGGUUUGGUAACUUUGGGAUAAGCACAACAUCUGUAAGGUUUAGAGAGUCAAAAUCUCGUCCUUCAUUCAGUAUGCCUAAACAAAAGUUUUUGACAUCUAUACCUAUAAUGUGCUAGAAUUUUUGAAAAAAUAAAGCUGGAAAUCCAUCAUAAUCUGGUGCUUUAGUGGGCCCCAAUUCUUUCAAGGCUGAAAAUACCUCUUCUGCUGUAAAAGGUACUAGUAAAUCUGUGUUAAUAUCAGAUGAGAUAUUAGAAUGAAUACCUUUUAGAAUGUGGGAUAGAUUCCUAAUACCAUUUGACGAAAUAAAUUCUGGAAGUAAUUUGAGGCUGACUCAUUAAUUGCUGAUUCAUCAGAACUUUCCCUCCUAUCAUCAGAUUCCAGCUUAGUAAUCAUGUUUGUUCGUCUAUGAGCUGUGGCAUAUUUUUGGAAAAAGGCAUAAGUUUUGUUGCCCAAUUAAAUCCAAUUGGCUCGCGCCCUUUGUUCCCAAUACAUUUCAUCCUUAUCUAUCUCCAUAUUAAGAUGAAUUUUUGUAUCAAUCAGCUUUGUGAUUGUGUCAUCAUCUCUGUCGCCUGCCAAAAGAUCUUCAAUUUCCUUUGUGAGCUUACUCUUCAACCCAUCUCUACCCUUUUUUAUUGAGUUUGCCCACCUCCUCAAUCUUGUCUGCAGCCUUUCUAGCCUUUGAGCAAUAGUUCCAUUUGAUGACUCCCACGAUGUUUUAAUCUAUUGUUUAAUAGAUUCCUCCAUGAUCCACCAUGCCUCGAAUUUAAAACUUGGUAUCCUCUUAUAGCUAAUCUUAUUGUUGUUAUUGAUUAGUAAGGGACAAUGAUAUAAAAUCCAGUGUGUUAAAUACUAAAUAACUCCUUUUGGGAAAAGUGCCAGCCAUUUUUCAUUCGCCACUCCCCUAUCCAAUCGCUCUCUAAUAUUCAUUUUCGGUAGAUUCUGUAUCACUUCUUAACCCCGUCCCGUCGCCAGAACAGGACUACGAAGUAUUACAGGUCAUUACAGUACAUUUACACGUAAAACAGAAAUAAAUGUAAUACUGUACAUCUUAUUAUACUUUUAAUGUAUUUAAAAAGUAUAUCUUAAACAAACCGGGGCUCGAUCAGAAGCUUAAAAAAUUUUUCGUAAAAUUUCAAUGUAACACCCCUUACCCGAGACCGUUUCCGGAGUCGAGCACGAGGCAUUACUUAGCUUAUCUUACCAAUUCGGAGCAUAAAAACUAGGUUUGAAAAUUUAUUUCACUAUUUACAGCAAAUCUGUCCAAUCGCGCAGCAGUUGCUAAAUUAAUUAUAACUUGAGCUACAGAACUCGAAAUUUAAUUCCGUAAAUUUUCCCUGAAACUAGACUCAUAUAUCUACUCACCAUAAAAUUUUUAGAAUUUUUGGUUCAGCCAAUUAGUACAGUUUAUUAGUUAAAGUCUCCCCUGUUUCACCAUUCGACUAUUCUGACCUCUUGUUACUAAAAAUAAGUUUUCUCACUGUAGGAUUUUCAUAUGAAGUUCUUACUUGUUUCUACGGAAAAUAGACUCAUUAAGGAAUCUAAGCAUGUAAAUUUCAACUCAUAACCAUUUUUGUACAAUUUUUAAUUAUUUUCUAAACUCAGAACAGGGGACUCCAAAAAUAGUUCUGACCCUAUCUUACUAAAAUUCAUAUAUCUUAAAAUAUAAAUUUCCUUUUUCUACACCGUUAUUUUUCCAUGAAAAUAGACUCAUAUUUUAUUCUUUUUGCUUCCUUUUUAUAGUAUAUUCCUUUGUCGUCAUCUUCAAUUUCUAACUCCUCCGGUUUUCUUUUCCUCAAAAUACUCUCACCAUUAGCCAUGUCCGUCUCUCUAGUUGCCUCAACUCUCUUCCAGCUCGAUUUCUUUGCUAAAGAAUAAUGAGGACCAUCUCUAAUUUUAUUUUUUCUACAAGUGUAAACGUGAGGCAUUCAUUGGGCCCAUGCCCUAUCCUUCCACAGCCAAAACAAGAAGUUGGUAAUUUUUCAUAUUUAAAUGGGAUCCAGGACUUACUUUGAUUUUCUGUUGAGAUGAAAAUACCCUUGCGCAACGGUUUUUGCACAUUUAACUGAACUCUAAGUCGAUAGAAAUCACCAUUAAUUGUAGAUCUCAGAACACCUCCAAAAGUAACCCCAAUAGCAUGCAUUAAAUCUUUUUUAUCAAUUUCUGGUAGACAUGGGCCGAUCUUAACCCAGUAUGGAGAUGAAUUAAGCCGAAUUCGACUCCUCUCUAUCGAUUUAGUCAACUGAUCAAACAACAUUAAAAUUUUCCGAAACAAUCAAGGCUGCCCCUCCAUAAUUAUCUCCAGAUCUUCUUCACCUUCAAACACUAUCAAUAAUAAAUUCUGCCCUGCCAAUUGGAUCUCAAACCUUUUCCUUGUCUUCCAUAUAUUUUUCAUCUGUGCCCUAAAGCUAUCUGGAUUAUAGGAUUUUUUGUCCAUAUAGUGCAAAGUAGGGUUGGCUUAUCACUGGGUGCCACCAUCGAGCUUUUAACUGAUAACUGAAUGAAUUCUUCUGCCAAAAGGGAGAUCUCCUCUCCUGUGAACCCCUCUUCGCCACCACUUUCCUUCAUCCCAAGCCGCAUAAAGACCUGUUCUCGCUAGGAUGCUAAGGAAAGCACUCUUGACUAGGGUUUAAUUUACUAUCUAAAAUUGCAUUGAAGCAUUUUCUAAAUCCAGCACUCUUAACAAUUUUAAACUUGAGGUAGGUCUAAUCACUUGAUAAGUAUUUGUAUUAUUUAUGAUUUAGCAAUGGUUUUUAUUUAAUCUCUAAGUAAAUAUUUUGAUGAGUCUCAAUAAUCAUUAUAUUUUGCUCAAAAUUUCAAGUUAUUUGUGUAUUUGUUUAAUGAUGUAUUUUUUAUUUCUUUUAUCUUUGAUGUAGGGAAAGAUGCCACAAGGAGAGGCCGGAAUUUGGAGGAGAAAGAACUACCAACCCUCUCAUCUUAGGCAACUUUUACUUCAACUGCGGUUAGCUGAACAGUUAAUCGAAUCAAACUAGUAUUAAUUGAAUUAAUCAAACUUUUUAAUCGUUUAACCAUUAACCAAACCAUUUUUUUUGUUAAAACAAGUAUAAAACAUAUCAAUUUUUUUUAUAAUGCUUAUUUGACCGAAUAAAAACUACAUAUCAUUUGUAUUAUUAAUUAUUAAGUUCAAUUAAUUACCCGAUUUUGUAUCGAAUUAACCAAUAACCAAACUUUUAAAAAAUCAUUAACUGACCUUCAACUGAAUUAGAUCGAUUAACUAACUGAUUAAUCAACUUAAAUUAGUUCGAUCAGUUAAUUUAGUUUUAACCGAAAUUUGAACGCCCCUAAUUUUUAAUAAAUUUUCAAUUUGAAUGAGAAAAAGAAUAAAAUAAUUAAAUAAUUAAAUAAAUAGGAAACAUUAUAAAUUGGACAUUUACAUCUUUAUUAAUUUCAAUUGUGGUGAGUUUUAUGUGAUAUAUGUAUAAUUCAUUGCAAUCUUAGAUUUCAUUGUGAUAUUUGUAGAAACCAUUAAUCGGAUAUAAAAUUUGGCUUAUAACUUGUUCAAAUUUAUUCCAACAUAAUAGGCAAAUGGUUGAUAAAUAAUCACAGUAUACUUGGUUUACUAUUAGUCUUUAAAUAAUAAUAAUUAUUUUUAUUACACAUUCUCACGUAAUUCAUUACAUUGUAACUUAAUUAAUAUUCCUAUAAAAAAGAAUCAUACAUAUCAUGUAUUUUCUUUUUCAAAUUCUAAAAUAUUCGUCUUUGUUACAAAAUAUCUUUAAUUUCAAAAUUUUAAGAUUUUAAAAGUUUUAAGUGAGUUACAUUAUUUAGCUCAUAAUUUUUUAUUUAAAAAUAGAAAUAAAAAUAUAUUUAUAUAUAUUUAUUAAUAAAAUUAAAAUCUGGAAGCACAAAAUUAUAUUUUUAAUAUUUAAAUAAUAACUCGAAUUUAAUUGAGAGAAGUACUGACUUCAAUCCUUUGUUGGUAAUGUUAACAUUGUCUCCCUGUAAUUAGGGUUUGGUUGAGAGAUGAUUGUAAAGUAAGUGACUAAAAUUUAUAAAAAGAAUAUAUUAUAUUUUAAAUGCUAUUGAAAGAAAAAAGGAAAGGAAUCCACUUAGCGCAUUAAACACUUCAUUACUUCAAAAUGGAGAAGGGUUUAAGAAAAACCUCGCCUUUGUUUCUUGACGAAAAAGCCAGGUUUCUUUGCUGCCACUAGCGCUCCUCAAGCUUUCAAGCUUCUUCCUUUUUCUUCUUUACGAUCAAUCCAAAAAAUACAAGCAGAUGGAUAAAAUGAAGAUAGAAGAGGUUCAAUCAACGGCCAAAAAGCAAAGAAUCGCUACUCAUACUCACAUCAAAGGCCUUGGUCUCGAUGUAUUCUCUUCAUUCCUUCCUCCCCUUUUUAAAAUUUUUUUUCUGAGCUUAAAUGUUUUGCAUUUUAGUGUAUUUCUGCAAUAUUGUUGUAAUUGUCAGCAUUUUGAAGUUUUUUUUUUGAGCCAUGGAAAUUUACCUUUUCUUGGUUUUAGGGUUUUAAGCUUAAAUAGUCAACUGUUAAUUCAAUUACUGGAGAUUUGUUGUUAAUGGUAUACUUUUUCAGUUUUAGAGUGGACAGAAAUAUAGUUUUAACUUAAAUUGAAGGUCCAGAAAUGGAGAUAAUAAUAAAUAUUGAACUAACUAAUUCUCAAUUACGGACUAUGGAAAGAAUUGGAUGGCUUUUGAGGCGUAGAUUUUUGUUAAUUGUAUGAGUUUUCAAUGCAUAUAUGAGUUGAAUAAGUGGUUUUUUUUUCACUAUGAAGUUUCAUUGAUAGAACAUAGUAAUUUGCUUAUAUAUUCUGAACCAUAUCUUUUGCUUUCAUUCACUUGUUGUUUUUACUGGAAAAAUUGAAAUCUAUGCUUACCUUUUUGACCAAUUUCAAAACUUUACGAGCAUUUCUUUUCCUUUGUUUACCAGCCCACUGGAAAUGCCGUUCCUUUGGCUGCAGGUUUUGUGGGGCAAGCAGAGGCAAGGGAAGCAGCUGGUCUUGUGGUGGAUAUGAUAAGGCAAAAAAAGAUGGCUGGCCGUGCACUUUUGCUGGCUGGGCCUCCCGGUACUGGGAAAACAGCUUUGGCCUUAGGAAUUUCCCAAGAGCUUGGGAGCAAGGUUCUCGUUGUCUUUUCCCUUUAUUUUUGAAUGUAUUUGAAAUUUGAAUUAUUGUAUGCCAGUUCUUUUGGAGGGAUUGGCAAUUUUUUUUCUAUAUGUGUUCCUCUUACAUUAUUUUCAGGUUCCAUUCUGUCCAAUGGUUGGAUCUGAAGUAUACUCUUCAGAAGUAAAGAAAACUGAAGUUUUGAUGGAAAAUUUCCGACGGGCUAUUGGUCUACGCAUCAAGGAAAAUAAAGAGGUCUAUGAAGGAGAGGUAAGUUACACCUAAUGGCAAUUCUUUAUCCCUGAUUUUAUUUGAUUGUUUUCUCUUUGGACUGCUGGGAUAGACCCUGAAUCCUAGCUGUUCUUGUUUCAGGUUACUGAACUCUCUCCUGAAGAAACAGAGAGCGUAACAGGUGGUUAUGGUAAGAGCAUUAGCCACGUAAUUAUUGGAUUGAAAACUGUCAAAGGAACAAAGCAACUGAAGUUGGACCCUACAAUUUAUGAUGCCUUGAUUAAAGAAAAGGUAAGCCUUUAAGUUUCUCUGCAUUAUUAUGUGGAAAAGAUUGUUCAAGUUUUUUAUUUUCUGGCUUUUUCUAAACUGUAUGAGGCACUAUAGCGUAUAAAAAUAUUUGUCUCUUUCCUUAGGGACCUUUCGAUGGUUAUGUUUUUUAUCUGCCUAAGAGUUUUGGCUUCGAUUUGAAAUCUUGUGAGGUUUUUAACUUGACUGGCAGGUAGCUGUUGGAGAUGUUAUAUAUAUUGAAGCAAAUAGUGGAGCCGUUAAAAGGGUGGGCAGAAGUGAUGCUUUUGCCACAGAAUUUGACCUUGAAGCUGAAGAAUAUGUGCCGCUUCCCAAAGGAGAAGUUCACAAAAAGAAGGAGAUAGUGCAGGUUUGACGCUACUGAUAUUAUGCUUUUCCCUGUAGUUCCCUUGGCAUUUAUUCUGUAAUAUAUUCUGUUUGGCCUUGAAGACUUGUUUCUGCUUAUAUUUUUAUACUGAUGGGCUUGGACGUUUUCCUACUUUGUCAACAAGUCUUGUUUGUAUAUAUUAAUGACCAUUAUCAUCGUCCCUUUGAUUUCAUAUGAGAAGUGAGGAUUCUUUUAUGAAUUUUCUUACCAACAUUUUGCCAAUUACAAACUGUUAUUUGUUUGCUUAAUAGUUGCAACCCACUUCAUGAAGAAACAAGGGAAAACAAAUCUAUGAAUUUGAUGCCUUCUGCAUUUGCCUGAUAUGUUACAAAUAUGCUUUGGUGGGCUUGGUGUCAUUUCCCUUUCUCUGGUUCUAAAUUUAUUGGUUUUCUACCCAUGCUGAAAUUCAUUAAAAAACAAAAAGAAGCUUUCUAUUUUCUUCACCACCAGGAUGUAACAUUACAUGAUUUGGAUGCUGCUAACGCACGACCUCAAGGGGGCCAAGACAUUUUGUCUUUAAUGGGUCAGAUGAUGAAGCCCAGGAAGACAGAAAUCACUGACAAAUUACGACAAGAAAUAAAUAAGGUAUUAUUUUCCAAACACAUUUGGCAUCCACCUAUAUGAUGAAUUUUUUGUGGACAAUCUGUGGGAGUAGUCUUUUACCAAUGCUAUAAUUUCUGUGGGCAAUAGCCAUUAGUAGGAGCCCUGCAAACUUCACUUAACUCUAUAUGUAUCUUAUUUUUCUUGUUAAGUUUUUAGAAUUUUGCUUGUAUCUUUUAUGUGGUUUAGAAAAUGGUAGGAUCAUAAUAUUUUAAAAGCAAUGAAAAAACAAUAUGCCUUAUUGAAAAGAUUGAGAUUUACCUCAUUCUGCACCCCAAUCAUAAUAUUGAACAACUCCAGAGUGAAACAGAUGAAUUGAUGCAAAUUUAAUGUGAUUGAAUUUCAUUACCUGCCAUGGUUUCCCAUAAUAGGUUUAUGUUUUUUCAUCCCUUCUUGUAUGAGUAAAUCCUCAAAUCCUAAUGGUUUAAAUCUUACUUUUUAACUCUCUUCAGCUAGUUGGUGGCUUAUUUUAUGCUCCCUAGAAGCUAUAGCUAUCCUGCAUGGACGUGACAUUAAGAGUCAUAUGGAUUGGUUAUUCAAGUUGGUUCAAGCUUAUGAUUUGGAUUUUGAACUUGGCCUCUAGGCUAAAUUCUUUGCUAGAAAAAUGGCAUGCCUUUUGAUUGAAAUGACAAUGUUAUUUGUGCCAGGUUGUUAACUGGUAUAUUGAUGAAGGUGUGGCAGAGCUUGUCCCAGGAGUUCUAUUCAUUGAUGAGGUUGAGUUCUUUCCUGCUUAUGAUACAUGUCCUUCGAUGCAAGGAUACAAUAUGUAUUUUUCUGUUUAUGUGCAUGCACAUAUUUAGAUCGAAGAUAUUUAUCAUGACCUGUGCACAUGUUAAGCACAUUUGCACAUCGGGCUUGCUUAUGCUUUCCAAGUCAUGAUUUGCAGGUUCAUAUGCUGGACAUGGAGUGUUUUUCAUACUUGAAUCGUGCUUUAGAGAGCUCACUAUCUCCAAUAGUAAUUUUUGCUACAAAUAGAGGAAUAUGUAACGUAAGGUAAUGAAAAUUGUUUCUGAGCCAUAUGAAUUUUUGGUUUAUCGUCUGUUCUUUUAAUCACAUCUAUAUAACUUUACCUCAAAUACAAGAUGAGCUAUUAUUCUAAUCAUCUGGACUUAGUUUCAGUACUUCAGAUCCUAGUGAAACAAUGUCAUUGGUUUAGUCUUGUUUUCUAUAAAUCAUAGCAUGCAGAAAUAGCUUGAUGCAACAAUAAUAUCAACCCUAAAGGGUUUUGGUUAUUGGGGACAAUUUUUUCUUGUAUAUAUUCAGAAUUUAGGCUCUCAUAAUUGAGGAGCAGUGGUAGGUUGAAACAUAAAUGUGAUACAAAAUUGAGAUGUUCACACAGAAUUUAGGCUCUCAUAAUUGAGGAACAGUGAUAGGGUUAGCAUAAAUGUCCCAGGCUUGAAAUUUAAGAAUCAAAAUGAGUGAUCUUCUGCAAGAUUGUUUUUUUCUGGGAAUACCUGAAGAUAAAUUUCAUAUCAGCUGUUAUAUUUUUCGGUUGGCAUAGUUUUUACAUGUUCAUUUUCCUUGCAUAAUGUUGAAUAUCUUCUACAACAUGAUUUCUUUUUUGACAUGAAGAUGGAACUUAUGUCAAUUUUUAUAUUUUAUAAUAUAUUCUACAUUGCUUAUGCAUUGCCUGAUUGGUUUGAUUCUAGUUUGUGAAAAAUGAAUAUGCAUUUUGCAGGGGUACUGAUAUGAAUAGUCCUCAUGGCAUACCUGUUGACUUAUUGGACAGAUUGGUGAUCAUCCGCACACAGAUAUAUGGUCCUUCAGAAAUGAUACAGGUUAGGGCCUGGUUAUAUGUAAUUUUUGACAUCGGCAUUUUGUUAUUUGUGGCAAGCAUCAAAUGAAAACUCAGCCAAAAUUUUCACUUAUUUGGUGUAUGCAGAUUUUAGCCAUCCGUGCACAGGUGGAAGAACUGGUUGUGGAUGAAGAAAGUCUGGCGUUCCUCGGAGAGAUUGGACAAAGCACAUCUUUAAGGUCAGGUUUAAAAUAUAGAUUUACUCCACUAUCAGUUGCACUUUUCCAACUUGAAGCAUACUUACAUGUUACUGUUUCUUCAGGCAUGCAGUUCAACUGUUAUCACCUGCUAGCAUUGCGGCAAAAAUGAAUGGUCGAGACAACAUAUGCAAGGUAAUUAAAUAUUCAGAAGAAGCUGUUUUUCAUGAUUGUUUACUUAUCAUCAAUGCAAGGAGUAAAUGUGAAUCCGUUAUUAUGUAUUUGUUUUUAGGCGGAUCUUGAGGAAGUGAGCAAGCUAUACAUAGAUGCCAAGUCUUCGGCAAAAAUUCUUCAAGAGCAACAGGAAAAAUUCAUUUCAUGAUAAUCCUAUUUUUAUAUCUUCUUUCCUCUUGCCCUUCAGUUUUAGGUUGAAUUUUGUUGUGCAUUGUUUUCUCUCAGUUGGACAAUUGAUCAUUAGUAUGUGCAAUGCAAGAUGAUUAAAUGAUUUAUUAUUGAUUUGCUUUAAGACAUCUAGGGUUCUUUGAACAACCUCAUGUCUCAGGCCAGGUAAAUCACAUAUAAAAUGCAACCAACUCCUCUCCACCGUUAUAAGAAGUAGCAGAGGUGUCAUAGAAAACGGCUGAAGCUUUGAACCACGGUAGCUCCAAUGUUAAGGUUGGAGGUGUCGCCACCCUGGAAAACCUCAGCAAAGAGCGGUCCGUCAGGUUGUGGGGUGGCAUAGAGUUAUCAAUGUUGGAAUCAGAAAUUAAUCCUGUUAACUUUUAAUUAUAACAAAAAAGGGUUUACAUGUGCUUGAAUAUAAAACCAAUUUUGUCAUCAAGCUUUGUAAAACUUGCAUUUGAUAGAAGGUGAAAAUCAUAUUGUUAUGAUUGGGUCGGUAGUAAAGAAUUCGAAGUCUUUUUAAACAAAGUUUUCUGAAAAAUCAUUUUUGGAGAGUUUUGACAUUAAAUUGAGUAAAAAAUGGAGAAAACCAAAAGUCAGUUCGAAUUGUACUGUUUAGUUUAGUUUAGUUUUAUUAAAUUAAAAAAUAAAUAAAUUCAGUUUUGGUUUGGUUAUUGGUUUUAUUAUAGGAACUGAAUUGAAUUCUUUUAUUUAUUUAUUAUUUUUAAAACAAAAAAUAAAUAUUUUUUACAAAAUAGUAAAAAAUAAUUUUAAAAUUUCUAAAAAUAAUGAAUUGAACCGAUUUGAAGUAAUAAAAUUGGGUUUAAUUCGAUGCUCUUGAGAUUGAGUCAGAUUAUGGUUGGAUUUUUCAAACCUAAACCGUUAUCCCUCAGUUGAGAGUUGAAUGCAACUACAGAAGAUGUUAGUGAAAAAGAAAAAAUAUUAUCAGUGUUUAAAAUAAAUCCUGAACAAAGGGAUUAAGCAAUGGAAGAACCUUGAGGAGAGCGGUGGAAGACGUGACAACCUACGAGUAAAGCUCAAAUUGACUUGAUGAACCCUUAAACGCGGUGAUGGAGGUCUAAUCAAGUACUUUAAUGGUACGAUACUAUUAUCAUAUCCCUAACCUCAAACGUAACGCAACGCCACGUGACGAUACAGGUCCGUACCAACUGUCAAAACAAUCUGUCCUUCACUUGUCCCACAAUCAGACAUCACAUCACAUCACAUCACUACCCCUUCCAUACGCAAAAACUGAGAAACAAAAAUAACCAAGUUUCCAACUUCAAAAAACCAAACCCAGAAGCCAAAGCAAAGCAAAGCACAACUUUUAACGUAUCAUCAAUCCCUUUCCUCCAAGCAAACCCAACCAAAAGCCACGACAAACAAAACACUUGUUUUUUCUUUACACCAAAUAAAGAAGAAAAAGAACAAGGAACAAGGACAAGUUUGUGUUUCGGUUGGAUCAUGAUGGCAGGUGAAGGGGUUUCAAGAGAAACCCAAAUGUCUAUUCAAGCCUCUUCAAUGUUUCCAGGGUUUAGAUUUUCACCAACUGAUGUUGAGCUCAUUUCUUAUUACUUAAAAAAGAAACUGGAUGGUUAUGACAAAUGUGUUGAGGUCAUUCCUGAGAUUGAAAUUUGCAGAUAUGAGCCUUGGGACUUGCCAGGUUAACGGCCCAUUUUAAUUCUCUAAUUUCUUAUAAUGAUAUUAUACAUGAUGCUAUUGCAUUUAGGUUUUAGUAAUACAUGCCUGGAGGAUUCUACUUUGUUCUUGUUAUAUAUUCGGUGGUGUGAUUUCUGGUGUUUUUUUCCCUGUAUCAGCUAAGUCCAUCAUAAAGUCAGAUAAUGAAUGGUUCUUCUUUUGUGCUCGAGGAAGGAAGUACCCAAAUGGUUCACAAAGUAGACGAGCAACCGAACAGGGUUAUUGGAAAGCCACAGGGAAAGAACGUAAUGUGAAGUCCGGUUCGAAUGUGAUCGGCACGAAGAGGACUCUCGUCUUCCACACAGGUCGUGCUCCGAAAGGGGAAAGGACCGAAUGGAUCAUGCAUGAAUAUUGCAUGAAAGGAAAAUCCCAGGUUACUAAUUCUCUUAUAAUACUAACAUAUGAACAAUAAUUGCUCUUGUUAGUCAUUGACAGUGUUUUUCUUUUUUGCUGUUGGUGAUUUUUAGGAUUCCCUAGUGGUAUGCCGUCUUAGGAAGAACAGCGAGUUUCGUCUGAAUAACAAUUCGAAUCGGGUUGCUCGGAAUCACAGGGAGUUGUCAAUCGUGCAUGACAGCAACCAUGCUACCUCAGAUGGUGGAACUGAUCUAACUGGCAUCUCUGAAGGGGACAAGGCAAUUGAAUUCUAUUCAAAGAAGGCUACUAGCAGUAACGAUUCUCAUUCUAUAGAGCAAAUCGAUUCGGCAUCCGAAUCCGAGCAAAAGCUUUCCAAUGAAGUUGCACCAACAGAGUCUUCUACACUUAAGAAGGUUGUUAAAAUCAACAAGAUUGGUGGUUUUAAUUCAUAAUCAUAAUGCAAAUGAACACGAAUAUAAUCAUGUUUUUUUUGCUUAAAAUUUACAGGAUUCUGAUGAUGAAGAAGAUUUCUUCGCUGAGAUACUGAAAGAUGAUAUAAUCAGGCUUGAUGAAACUUCAUUGUCAGCCUCAACACCUGAGAUUUUGCCUAUGAUAGCCACCACUACCCACCGUGUAUCCCUUCUCCAGGGCGGAGCAAACCGGAGAAUCAGAUUGACGAGGACUAAAGCAGAUGUCAUCCAACAUGGCACCGGUGGGAUCUCGACCAAGAAAUGGAAGUCGGAGGGACCACCAAAAUGUUUGCUAUCUGUAUUCUCACCGAGGACUGCCAUUUUAGUCAUCCUGAUAACUUUACUGGCUUUGUUGCUGCCAUGUUCCAACUUCAAAAGCAGCAAAGUAUUUCAAAUAUGAUGCAUUGUAGCAGCAGAAGUUAUGGGAAUGAAUAGCGUUCAUAGUUGAGGGCAUUUGAUUAUUUCAACAUUGAGUUCUUUAUCUGGGGGUGUAAAAGAAUCCAGUUUGGUUAGUUUAAAUGGUCAUGAAUAAUAUAGUUAUUUGUAUUCAAGUUUUUCUUCUUUCAUAUUUAGUCUAAAAGCUAGCCAACAUAAGUUUGUUUAUGGGUGAGGCUGUAUCCAACCCAGGACCUAGUCUUUUGUUCUUACAUGAGAAGCUUUGUUGAUAAAAACAUGUUCAUAAAAAUAUAUUAUCCAAUAAAUUUACAAAUAAUUAAAAAUAAACUAAUUCAAUCAAGUUAAUUAUUAAAAUAUCCUUUACAUAUGAGAAUACUUUUAUUUUUUCAUUUAAAAGUUGCAAAUGUUGGUCUAGUCGGUGGUGCUGACUAUUCAUUUUACUCGUUUUACUAGCAUUGGGUGUUGGUGUUGGGAGCUUCUAUUUUUCUUUGCAUAUUCGGAGUUGGCCGAGGAGAGCUCAUCAGAGGCGGUUGGGAUUUUUGUGCUCCUUUCUGAUUGUUUCCUUGUUUCUUUAGGGUUUGUUUGUUUCCUUUUGUUGUAUUUGUUUUUUGGUUUUUAUUUUGUUGUACGGUGUCCUUUUGUUUCCUUAAUAAAUUCUAGCCUUCAUUCAAUAUAUAUAUUAGAAUUUUUUUUAAAACAUGCUAUAUGUGUAUAUAUAUAAUUUUUAUAAUUUCUAAAACUUUUAAUAUUUAUUUAUAAUUUUUAAUAAUUUAAGAAACAAGCUCAAAAUAAAUUUGGACAAAUGGUUGUUCAGGUUUAUUCAAGUCUGGACAAUCAUAUGUCUAGAUUUAUUUUGAAUGCAUAAAAAAAAUAUUUAAUUUUAAAAAUAUUGUUAGGCUAGCAAGAGUUACACAUUGCCCGUCAUCUAUCGCUGUUUGAUUGCUACUCAACCUCGUUAGCACUUAACAAUAGAAAUAGAUGAAAAUUUUAACAAAUUAGCUAAUUUACUUUAAUUUAAUCUACAUGAUUUAAUUUGCUCAUUUUUUAAUUAGUAGUUAGACAAAAUGUAAUCCAAUUUGUACGGGCUUGAUGGUACUUUUACUAAUAGAAGAAUAAUGGGUAAACUAAAUCUAAUGUCACUAAACUAUUAGUAAAUUUACACUUUAGCCACUUAACUUCAAAAAAUUACAAAUUGAUAACUAAACUAUUUGAAAGUUACAAGUUGGUCUUAGCCUAUUAAGUUUCUAACCGAUGUUAGAUGUGAGGAUGGCUAAUCUACAAUUCAGUCAUGAAAUUAUUAAUAAUUUUAUAAUUUAGUCACUCAAUUAUUAAUAAAUUUAUAAUUUAGUCACUCUCAACAUAAUUUAAUAAAAGAUACUAUUAAGUUAUUUUUUAUUCUCUCAACUAAAUAAAAGAAUAUAUAUUCUAUAGGCUAAACCAAAAAAAUAAAAUCAUUCUCAAUAGCAUGUUAACUAAUGAAGGAAAUUAACAAAUUUGACUAGCUUUUAUCUUGUUGAUUGAUUUGCUUCUAACCAUUACUAUGAAAAAGAAAAGGGUAAUUACACCAACAGUCACUCAACUUUGGGAUAGCUGAUAAAACAGACAUGUUGGUUUCAUUUCAGUCACUCAACUUUAGAAAAAUAAUAAAACAAUAAUUUUUACUGUUUUCUAUUACUGACGUAACGAAAAAAUAACAUGGCAUAUGACAGCGUACUUGGUGUCAUUAAUCAUCCAGUUGGCAUAUGACAGCGUACUUGGUGUCAUUAAUCAUCCAGUUGGCCGAUUAGCACCAAUAUAAACAACCCCUUCAGCAUUAAUUUAGGGUUUAUGCAAUAGAAAAAGAAGAGAAGAAGAAGAUGAGAAGGAGGAGGAGAAGGAGGAGAAAAAGAAGAAGAGAAAAAAAAGGGAUUUGGGAUGGUUUCUGUCUAAGGCAAAGAGGUUAUCAAAAGGAAAGAAGGGUUUGUUGUUAAGGAUUGAAGUAGGGCUAUUGAGAGAUUCAGUGUCGGGAAAGGCUUUUGAAAUGAAAGCUUUAAAUCGUGGAGAAUCGAAGAAAGAUGGGAUUUGUUUAGUGCAAUUCUGGGUAGGGGAUGAUGCUUGAGAGCUGUGAUCAGCCAUUAAAGUUUACUUGCUAGUCACUGCUCUGGACUUAUUCCUCAGCAUACCUACCUAUCCUCUUUUUAUUAGAUGGAUAUCAGAAUCAAACCCGCCAAAUUUCUAAUAUGGAACAACUGCAAAAACAAGGAAACAAUCAGAAUUUGAUUAGAAAAAGAAGAAAAAAAAGUGGGGAAGCAAAAGAUGAAAUGGGAGAACCCAGAUCUAAAAGCUCUUUUUUUAUUCUUAUUUGUGUUGAGUGUUUUUCUUUUUCAUCUUGUUUGUUUUCUCUGUCUAAUCACUUUGUCAAACUUGUUAGGCAAAAAGAAAGGACAAGACAAUAAGAAGAAAUUGAAACCAAAAUUAGGAUUUAGAAAUUGGUAAAUACUAAAAACCCAUAUCUUUCUCUCUUUCUCCAGCUUUAUUCUUCUUAUUGUCCUUCAAUCUUUGUUUUUUGUUCUGGUUACUUAUGUACUGUUAUUGACCAAAAUUAGGCAGAGAAGACUUCUUUUUGGCGAUUUAGUAUUUCAAGAAGAAAUUUCUCUAGUGGACAAAAUUUAGCAUUUGAAAUUGAUCCAUAAUAGAAGAAGAAGAAUAUUGAGGAAAAAAACCUAAUCCAAUUUAAUGGUGGUGCAAGUGGUGAUGGCCAGAGUACUUGUCGGUGUUGCUGGUUUGUUUGUAGGGUCAGUUGUAUUGGGGUCGUUGGCGACUUUGAGAGGGAUUUUACAUUCUCUUCUUCUUCUUUUUCUUGGACAGUUGUAUUGGGGUCGUUGGAGACUUUGGGUUAGUUAAUUGGCCACGUCAGCUAGUUAACUGGCCACAUCACCUAUCCCAUUAAGUUUAUAACUAAAAAUGUUAGUGGGUGACUGAUUUGUCACUUUUUGAUAACACUAGUGACUGUUUUGUUAUUUUUCUAAAUUUGCGUGACUAAAAUGAAUCCAAAGUGACUGUUUAUCAGCUACCCCAAAAUUAAGUGACUGUUGAUGUAAUUUACCUAAAAGAAAACCUUUCUUCAUAAUGAUUGAUUUUCUUCUUAUUUUAGCACCUAUAUAUCUUCGCAUCACUUUUAUCAUUAUUAUUUUAUCUAAUUAAUAACUAAAGAGAUUUGCUACUAGCAAUUAAAGACUUAUUACUUCAUUAUACAAUUUAUCAACUCACUUUUUAUUUGAUUAAUUGACAAAAAAUAAAAAUAAAAAACCCUAGGAUAUUAAUUUGGUUGAGAAAAUAUAAAGUAACCUAAUACCACAUUUUAUUUAAUUGUUUCAAUGGAAAAAUUAUUAAAUUAUUCUAAUAGUGACUAAAUUGUAAAUUUACUAAUAAUUAAGUGAUCAAAUUGUAAAAUUACCUAUCACGACGUUUUAUCGUCGGUUAGUAACUUAACGGGCUAGUGACCAACUUGUAACAUUCCAAUAGUUUAGUGAACUUGGUGUAGUUUACCCAAAUAAAUGGCUUUAUUUUUCUUUUCCGCCAUUGAUAAUUGCUUCCUUCGUUGUAUAAACGAAAGUAAAAGAAAAUCGACUCAGAAAAAGAAGUACAAAAAGAAGCCUUAGCUUCAAAACUCACUUAGAACUCUCCGAAGAGGAGUUGAGAAUGUGUUGAUCGAUCAUGAAUUCAGGGUUUCCUCAUUAACUUUGAUCUGUAAGUUUUUUCCCGACUUCCCUUUUUUAAUUUGGGCAUUUUCUUCAUUUCUUCAAAUAAUUUGGUCGAAGAUAGUAAAUUCGGUUUCUUUUUUGGUUGUUAAGAUAGUUUAGGAAAAUACGAAGUGCCGAUUUCCGAGAAUUUCUUUAAGAAAAAAGAAAUUGGAAAUGCCAUUUGGGGCUUUAUAUGAAAAUUUAUUUUUACUUUAUUAAUUUUUUUUUGGGAUAAGUUAUCUAAUUUGAAUAUAUAAAAACGUGGGAAAUUUUGUUUUACUUGGAUUUUUCUUAAUUUUCUCGGCAACCGAGCAGAAAGUUGAGUUUUUUUAGCUGAAUUUGAUCCUUAAUAGUUGCUUUUGAGUUAUUUUUACGUGUUAGGAUUUGGUUUGUAUGAAAUUACUGCAUUUCUUCAUGAAUAUCCAUCUCAAUCUUGGGUUGGAUUUUUUAGUUUAAUAAGUUUGGUUAAUCGCGUUUCAAAUGAUUAUAAUAAGAAAUUUAGAUCGAACAAACUAUAAAUAGUUCUUUCGGCAUUCCCACUGUCUCUUAAUAGGAAUGUUUAUGGUAUGGUUUCAUAGAAUGUUGAAUGUGGGUUUUUUUUUUCUCAAGUUACAGGUUUCGUAAGAGACUUAGAUAAAAAUGUCGAGACCGAUGUUACUUGUUUUCCUAUUUAUUAUAAUCAUAAUCACCUCACAAUUUGAGUGGAGGCAACCACUUGUUGUUGAUGUUGACACGACCCCGAGUGUAUCGCAGAAGCCGCAACAAAUUUCAAGGAGGGAAGAAGCUGUGAAAGAAAAGGUGACAAGCCUUGUACUUUUUUUUUUUUUACCAAUUCUAAUUAAAAUUUCAAGUUUAUCUUCUCUUGAUGGAAAAGAGUUGAAUAAUGAGAUUAGUUUCAUUGAAAUGCAUACGUCUUAUGUGACAUAUUAUAUGUAUAGUUGGUAUGUAAACUUAAGCUGAAUUGCAAAAUGCAAACCCUUUUUUAUCUCUUAUCUUUUCAUUUUCUAAUAAGCUUGCUACCGUUGGUUUAUUCAGUGUAGGAAGUUAGUCCGUUUAAAUGCAAAGCAAAAUGUUUUAUACCCUUGUUUAGCAAUUGCUUCUGUAAGCUUCCCUCUCAGUGUUUUGUUUGAGUUUUAUCUUUAUCUUUAAGAUUUAUGUUUGCUCAAAACAUGGUAUAGGAUAGAAGGAACUGUGCUAUUGCAACCUCUGAUAUGCCAAAAGGCAGAAACUAGGUACUUGGGAAAUGUUUGCCUUCAGUAGCAAAGUAUAACGAGGGCGUUGUCUUGAUCCAUAUCUUCCACCAGCAAUUUUACUUCUGAUUGACUUUGAGUGGAAAUUUGUCAAUUGCAGAUCAUCUUAUCACAAGAGAAGAAGAUUCAGAGACUUAAUGAACUUGUGCGGAGUCUUGAGCAGCAACUGCUGCAGUGCAAGGGUGAUAACAAGACAACUAAUGGCACUGUAAGUUAUUUGACUGAACGGAUUCUUGAGCUUGAGAGGCAACAGAUCUUAGAGGACUAGGCAGGGUAUUAUAUCGCAAAACAUAUGCUCUGAUUGUGGUGCAUUGAAGCUUUAAAAUCCUUGUUUAUCCAUGUAAGUGUAAGUUCAAUAUUUCAUUUGUUGUAAGUUAUAUGGUUUUUCCCCUUCAUUUGUGUCCACUCCAUCUCUUCCAAAUGGAAGCGGUGAAAGCUAUGCACACAGUAUAAAUCAUCCAUUUUACAAUCCUUAGUCAUUGCCAAGUGGCUGCUGUUAUUUGACUCAGCUACUUUGAAACCAAUCUUCUGUUAUUAUACUGUAUUAGAAUUAUCAGCAACAUUUAGCCGAUUGAGAAUGAAAAAAAGCUAUGAUGAGUUUCAUGGUGUAGGUAGUCGGCUCAUAUAUGAUGCUAAGAAAAAGUUAUUUUCUGUGUUUACAUGCUACAUGAUUUUGUGAGUUGACUCCAAAAGUUCUCAUAUAUGAGCUCUAGAUUCUGCUAUUUUGCUCUGGAUGUAUUGUUUCCAUGAUAUAUUGCUCUGUUUCCAUGGUGUAGUCUUCUUGUCAUGCAUGCAUCGGAAUAUAAGCAGAGACUCCGCUGCUGUGUUCUGCAUGUAUCGUAGCCCCAAUAUAUUGCUUCAAUUUGCCUCAUGUUUAGGGCUUUAAGCAGAAAUUUCAAACUCCUGCAUCUGCAUAUGCUAAUGACAACUUCAGAAGAAUAGUUCAGAUUUCACAUGGAGUGGAGUUCAAGAAGUAUUUGGAUAGACAAGGUUGCUUCUGUACUGAGGAACCUCUCUAAAUGAAAAAUUCAAGAGGCCAACAGUGAUCAAAGUGCUAAAUACAUAGCAUAGAACUUGAACGAACAAAAGUUUGAGCACUUAAUAUUAUUAGAGAUUUAUGGGAUUUUUAAAUUGGCCCGUCUGUUUUUGGUCACUCAAGUAUGAAUUUUUUUAUUAUUAUAAAAAUUGGUCACUUAAUUAUGGGUUUGCUUCUUUUUUUGUCAUCUAACUAUGUAUAUUUUUUAAAUUGGCUGCCCAAUAAAUCAAGAAUUUUUUUUUGGGUCCAUUUUCGUUAACAUAAUAGUUAAAAAAAUCAGUAGUUUUCAAUUUUUACAUAUGAUAUCGGUUUAGUCAUAAUUUUUAAAAAUUAACUUUCAAAAUUUAUAAAUAGUCUCAAUUUGAUCUUAAUUCUAAAAAAAUUAAAAAAAUAUAAAAAAAUACAUAAAUAUUUAAAAAAAUAUAAUAAAUUUUUAAAAAAUGUAAAAUAAAAAAUGAUUUAUAUUAAUAUUAAAUAUAAAUAAUUAUAUUAAUAUCAAAUAAAAUAAAAAUACCCCAUCCCCAUCCCAUCUCUCUCUCUCUUUCAGUUCUUAGUUUCAUAUGAACUUGCAAUGGUUUCAUAUGGGGAGGGAAUAAAUUUCUUAAAUCUGUAGUUCUAUUUUGUUUUUCAAAAUCUUGCAUUGUAUCAAAAUGUUGCAUUGCAAGUUGAAAUGAAAAAUUAUAUAAUUUCCACUAAGUGGUAACUUGCAAUGGUUUCAUAUGGGGGAGAGAAUAAAUUUCACUUCGAUCCACAUUGAAGUUUCAUUUCAUCUUAAAUUAUUUGUGUUGUAUUAAGAUAAUUCAUGUCACUAAUAUAUUUGCUUACCUCUAAUCAAGCAACUUUAAUUCAUCUCUAUUGCAAAUUCUAACUCAUUUCCUUAAACUUAAAAUUAGAAAAUUGUGUCCAAAACUCAGAACAUACUCCCUAAAAACUUAGAAAUUUGUUUGAUGCUUAUGGGCAAGUUCUCAAUAUUGUUUCCAUUUAAAUCUAUGUCUCCAAGGAAGAUAACCCAUGGAGAUUUAACAUUAAAUGUUAUCCAACAUUGAGUUUGUCAAAUACAGAAAUGAUCCAACCUCAAUUAACAAAGAACUCGAGUCAAUUUUUUUUUUUGUGCUUUUAAAAGUUAUCUUUGUGAAGAUGAAAACUGUGAAGUGAAAGUUGACAACACCGUAAGUUGUAAUUAUAUUUAUCAAUCAAUAAUGGCACCAUAGGUGAGUGUAUAAUAUUAAUUUUAUGUUUUUAUAAAUUAAUGAGGUGUCGAUAUUCCUCAAAAGUUAACUUGAACAAAAUUAAUUAUAUUUAAUUUUUUUUAAUUUUUAAAAAUUAAUAUUAUAUUAUUUUAAUAUUACAAUAUUCAAUAUUACUAAACAUAGACAUAUAUAUGAAUAAUAUUUCAUAUAUCAUUUUAAUAAUAAAUUGUUAUAACCAAUACUAUUUAUUAUUUGAAUAAAAAUAUUUUGAGUAUUAAAAUAUUUAAUAAUAGAUAGUAUUUUUAAUAUUUUAUUUUAUAUUAUUAAUUUUUUAAUAAUGAAUAAUGUUAUUUUAUGUAUUUAAUAAUAAAUACUAUUUAUGAUAAUAUUUGAGGAAUGUGAUGAUGCAAACAAGAUGGGGGGCAUAACUUAGAAAAGGCUUCACUUAUCAUUAUAGUAAUGCUUGUGAUUAUGUUAGCAAAAGAUUUAAAACAUUCACAUGGUAUUUAAAACAAAAAUAAAUAAAAAAAGAUAAAAGCUUUUUAGGUGCUUUAAUUAAAACCCUUCUUCUCCAAAUUCAAAAGGGGAGGCUUUCAGGUUUGAACACAUCAACUCUCAACAAAUCAUCUUUAAUUGCUACUCAUAAAUAAAAACAAAUUAGCAAACAUUAAAUGAUUUUUAAGUUAUAUAAUGAUGAAUUAAUGUCUUUUAAAACCUUUUCACAACUUUGGUAUCAAUUUAGUUUCUUGGAUUUGUUAUACUAAUUUCAGUUUUUAAUGUUUGAUUUUUCAGCAUUCAAAUUAAAGAAUAUGGAUUAAAUUUACAAUUUACGUAUGAUACAUCAUCAAUAGCAAAAAUUGAUCUAACAAAAUUAAUUGUUAUUGUUUGAGUUAAAACUGAAAUUUCAAAAGUUAAAAAAUAUAAAAACUACAAUUAACUAAAUUUGAAUAUAAAAACUAAAUCCAUAAUUACACAUAAUACAUGGACUAAUAAUAAAAUUUGACCUUUUUAAUUAAAAGGACCAAGAUAUUAAAAAAGAUAUGAAAUAAGUUGGUUUAUGAGUUGCAAUAUUCGUGAAAACUUAUCCCAAAUUAAUUAUCUAAUUAAAAGUAUUUUUAUUAAUUAUCAAAAAUUAUUUUUAUUCAUUUUAUGGAUAGUGAAUUAUGGAGACAAAAUAAUCUUUCAUUGGAUAUUUAUUUGAAUAUUCGAAGACAACGUAUAUAUUUGAUGAAAUUGUUUAUUUGUUUAUUAAAAUUAUCAACAUUUAUUUAUGAUAUAUUAUAGUAUCUAUCCAAAGGUGAGUUGAGAUAUACUUGAUUGUUGUUUAUAUGAAAUUAUGAAUCAACAAAGUAAAUUUAAUAUUUAUAGCAUUUGCAUAUUAUUUUGCAGUUAUUUCUCUUUAUUCAUAUGACUUAUAUGUUCUAUUAGUUAAUCAUUUAAACUUCUUUGACUAGAGUGAAUUAGUUAAGUUCCAUUUAGGUGUUUGGAUAUUAACUUGUCACUAUUAGAAGAUAAAUUGCUGCUAUCGCUAACUUAAGCAAUUAGGAAAAGAAGUUGUACUGUAAGCAAUGAGGACGGUCAAACAAUUGAUCAUUAUGUUCUUGCAAAUGAAUAUUGUUAACAACAUUAUGAUUAUAAUUCCACAAAUUAAGAGCGUAAAAAAAUUUCUUAUGUUUGUGAAAGAAUGUUCCUGUUAUGCAAACAAGUCACCCACUGGUAUUUUAAUGGCAUAACUCAUGCCCAUGAUGUUUGAUGGGUCGAGGGGAGUGCAAGAACAUAUCAUCAAGAUGAUUGAUAUUGUAAUAAGGUAAAGACCUUGACGUGAUGGUGGAUGACUCUUUCUCAGUGUAAUUCAUUUUGAACUUACUAUUUUCAAAUUAUGAGUAAAUCCAAAUUAGCUAUAACAUUAUUAAAGUUGAGUGGAAUGUUAAUGAAUUGACUAGUAAGCUCGUUCAUGAAGAGAAAAGAAUAAUGAAUAAAAAAUCAAAGGAAGUUAUUCCAUCAACCUUGUUGGUAAAAGAGUUGACAAAGUACUUAGGUGAAAACCAACAAAUUUACAAAGAAAAAUACACAAGUUAAUGUAUCUAAUAGAGAAAAAAGGGAAUGAACGACAAAUAAGUGUCACUUAUGUAAGAAAGUAGGACAAUUCAGAAAGAUUUUAAAAAAUGUAAAGCUUGGUUUGAAAAGAAAUGUAACUUUUAUGCUUUUGUAUGUUUUGAAUCAAACUCAGUUGAAGUUUCUUAUAAUACUUGAUGGCUUGACUUUAGCGUUAAUGUAUUCAACAUGAUGUAGAGAUUCUUUUUUAUUCAAACCACAAAUCACAUGAAGGUUUUAAUUGAAGGCAUGGGGACUUAUUAUUUGGUAUGGGAUAUUGGGUAUCACUUAAACUAUUUUAGAACCUUUUAUUACUUUUAAAUAUUAGGAACUUUAUUAUUAUUUCAAAACUUGAUGUUAUUGGAUUUAAUAUUAAGUUUGGAUAUGAUUGUUUUGGUUUGUAUAAGAAUAGCAUUGUUGUCGGUUCUAGGAAACCUUGUUGAUGGUUUAUAUAAAAUGAAACUUGAUAAUAUUUUUGUUGAAUUCGUACUUAUUUAUCAUAGAAAUGUUGGAAUUAAAUGUAGUAUGCUAAAUGAAAUCUCUACUUAUUUGUGGCAUAAAUGCUUGGGCUAUGCAUCCAAAUAAAGGCUAGGAAAUUUAGUACAAAAAAAUGAUAAUCUAUUGAAAUUAGAUUUUAUUGAUCUUGGUGGGUGAGGAUUGCAUUAAGAAAAAGAAAGCCAAACAUACCAAGAAAGACAACACAAGAAGUACUCGACUUCUUGAAAUAACACAAAUUGAAUCGAGACAAUGUUUAGAUCCAUUUACAAAAUUUCUCUUCAACAAAAUGGUGUUGUAAAAAGGCAUAUUAGACUUUAAUAAAUUUGGUUAGGAGUAUGAUGAACAACUCAUUACUUAUUCAUUGUGGAUACAUGAACUCAAAAUCGUUGUAUAUUUGUUAAACAAGUUCCUAGUAAGAUAAUUCCUAAAACUCAUUUUGAGUUGUGGACUGGAAGAAAACUUAACGUAAGACACCUACAUGUUUGGGAUUACCAAAGGAGAGUAAGAAUAUAUAAUAUAUGUGAAAGAAUAUAUGACCUAUUAAUGAGUUUCUUGAUUAUUUCUUCCAAAAUUUUCAACUUUCUCAAGAAUUUUUCUUAAUCCUCACAAUGGCUCGUGUUAAAAUCACUUCCCAAGAACAUUAUGAGAAAUCUCAACAAUAGAGGUAAAUAAUGAGAGAGUCCUCUAUGUCUCAAACUCGAGUACAAUAGGUAAUAUUCGUAAUGGUAGCUGUAAUAGCCACUACUAUAGACACAUUGUAGGAGGUUGUUACCCAGAAGGCCUCCAUUACUCUUAUCCCUUAUGCCUCCUCAAAGGAGUCUAUGCUUGUAAUGACUAUUGAGGCAGGCGGAGAUUUUUUUUUACCAUGGAUGUUAAAAUUGCAAAGGUUCAACCUUCUGAACAGAUUCAACAUGCAAUUGCUGAAAUUGAUACUUUUUUUUAGCAAUCCACUUGUGCUUGAGCACUCUCCUAUGCUUGAGGAGAAGAUAGAUGCCCUAAUUCAACUUGUUACCAACUAAGGUAAUAUCGUUUCAACCAUGAUGAAACCUUGGUUAAUAAUGCUAGCAAUUUUGAUUUUACUAAAUCUGAUAGUCUUAUUGAUACAUAUGCUUUUACCACUACUAUUAUUGAGUUUGAUAUUGUACGUAAGAGAGUUGGAAAAGAUGCAAUGCAAGAUGUUAGUGCCUUUGAAAACCUUAAUCUUAAUCUCAUUGGGGAUGAUGGUGAACCUGAUACAUAUGAAAAAGAGGUUCAGGUCAUUGCAGUUACUCCUGCAGGGCCCACUUUCACAAGCAUAACAUAAUACAGAAAAGGAAAACUUAUUCUAUAAUGGCUAAAGAAUUUCAGAGUUUUCUUUUGCUACCAAGUCUAAUCAAAUGAAAGCACCCAUUCAACUAAAAGCUUCCAAGAAAAGGAGAGUUGAGACAAAAAGUUCAUCUAAUUCUUCUAAUGAAUUAGAAACUUAAAAUGAAUUAAAAACUUAAACUACCCCUAAUUUUGAUGGAUAUGCUACUUUAAAGGAGUUAUUUGGAGAAAAAGCUAGAACAAGGUGUCUUGAUGUUCCUAAGGUAGCUCAAGAAAUAAAAAAGAAGAAGGUUGAAACGAGUUGGAGUGCCCUCAAUGCUUGCUGUAGCCAAAGCCAUAGAAGAAGUAGCUUUAUUAGAAACACGUGACCAAAUCUUUUUUACUCAUGCAUGCUCUAAGAGGUAUUUUUCUAUUUUGAAAAAUAGCUUUAUUAAGAAACAAAAUAUUGAUGAGUCUAGCUUUGCUGAGCAUAGGAUCGAUUCUUUACUUGAAAAAAUAAUCUAAUGGGAUAUGUGAGUUUUGUCAAGCCAUAUAUCAGAUAGGUGUGCUUGAGUUCUAUAGAACCCCAUUACGUAGUAUAAACGAUGAUUAAAACAAGGUUUUUCACGAAGUUCACAUAAAAAAGAAGUGGUACGAUCCAGGAAGGUGAUGAACUACUAUUUUCCAGAAUAUGAUAGAGCUUAAUAAGUCCUUGGAUACUACAACUUCAAUCAUCACCAACAAUAUCCACCCAACUUAGCCAUUAAAGGUAACAUUCAUGUCUCAUCCUAAGUAAUACUUAUGCUACAUCGUUUGCCAUUUGCAUAGGAAACUGGUUGCUAAAUAGUUAAAGGGAUAUAGUUAGCGAGAAGGCACAAUGCUCAUCAGGAAAGUAGUUGAAAUGGUCGAGUUUGACCUAGGCCAAAUUGUUUAUGAAGAAGUGAUCAAACAUGCUGAAAUAGUACAUACCAAGUACCUUCUACCAUUUCCUUCCUUGAUAUUUCAAGUAUUUUUAAAGCAAAAAUCCCUAAACUUGUUUGAGCCAUUAAGAAUAUUGAGAAACUAGUUGCUAAGUUAAAGCUUUUCCUUAAAUGGAUUGAAGGAAAGCAUGCAUCCAUAGACCUUGUUGAUAAACCAGAAGUUGAAAAACAAAAACUUGCCAAUGAGACUACAUAAGUGGUUCUUGAAGUGUCCAUUGCAACAGGACUUGCGAGUAACCCUACGGGAUUGUGACACCUCACACCUGACCGGGUCCAUAUGUGAGACACCACAGUUGUUGUCGGGGUAACUCAAACUACUUAAUAGUUUCAAUUCAACAUGAGAAGUAAUCAAUAACACAUUUAAAUCAAACCAUUUCAAUAGCUUAAAUUCAUUAUUAAGACUUUUAAAACAAUUCUUAGGAGUUCGGAGGUGAUCGAGAUUGAGUAUGAGUCUUUAGGGGUCGAAGCAACUAAAAACAAGGGAGGGACCCCAUUUUGACCUAGUUAUAUUGGUAAAACCAUUAACUCUCACAAUCGAGUCAUAGCCAAACAUAUUUUGUUUACUGGCUAACUUCUUAGGGGAGAAUUCAAAGGUGAUAGAUUUAUGUCUUUAGACACAAAAGUGAGGUUGUUAUAUUGGGGUAGAACUUGAAUCACUUGUUGUAUUGAGAUUAAAGAUAGUAGAUUAACUCAAUGAGCUAGGCUCCACAAAUGUAAGGAAAUUGAAUUGCAUAAACAAUGUUGUGUGUUCUAUUUUUUUAGUUGUGUUCAUUAUAGUGGCAUCUAUAGUGGCAAUUGUAGCCAUCAUUUCCAUUCAAGUGAUCUAUUUUUCUUAGCAAUUAUCGACUGUUCAUUUCAAUAGGAAUAUAAGAUAACAUGUAAUAGCCCGAUUUUCAAUGAUGUCAAAAAUAGUGGUUCGAGACCACCAAAUCUGACAAGUGAGUUCAUAUAUUUUAUUAUUUAGUGUUUAUGAGCCAAAUGAGAUUUUAAGAAGACAUUUGAAAUAGUGAAUUGUGUUUUAGAAGAAUUUAUUAAGUUAAGUGGUUUCGAAAACGAGGUAUCGAUACCUCGAUUUCAUAAAUUGAGCCGUGAAUAUUUUUAUAAACAUUUUCGAAGUAUCAUUAAGUUAGUAUUAAAGUUUCAUUAGAAAAUUUUAACGUUUGGAUAGUUAAUUAGUUAAAAAGGACUAAAUUGAAAAAGGUACAAAAUUUGUUAAUUAAGGAAAUAGUGAUUAAAUAGCCAAAUGGUAAAUAAAGGAGGACUUAAGUGUAAAUUGGCCUAAUGAUAUGGCUAAGACGGCAUAAGUAUGAAAGAAAUAAGGAAACAAUGUGAACUAAGGGCAAAAUUGUAAAAUUUAAAAAUUAAACAAAUAAAACAACAAUUAAAAGAGUUUAUAGCAAUUUGUUCACAAUUCUCAGCCAAAAACACCAUAGAAGAGUCUCCAAAAUUUGGUUUUUCAUAUUUUUACAUCAUGUGAGUUCAAUUAUUGCUCUUUUCUUGAAUUUUUUAUAUUUUUAAGACUUUUACAAUUAGGUCUAACUAUAUAUUUCAUUAGUUUUUGAUUUUAUGGGUAAUUUUGAAGUUACCAUUGAUGAGUAUUGGAUUUUUAUGAUGAAUUAACAUGGAUUUAGAGCUUUAAUUUUAUCAUAUGAUGAUUUUAUGAAGUGAUUUCAAUAGAAAUUGAUUUUAAGACCAAAUUGUGAAAAGAUUUAAUAUUAGGGUUUGAUACUAAACUUCUAUUGAUCAAAGGUUGUAUAAUAUUUUAGAAUAUUUAGAUAAAUUGUCAAUUGAGAAAAUAAUUAGCUCAUUUGAUAGGUUAAUUGGUGAGGGACUAAAUUGUAAAAAUUGUAAAAAUUAGUGUAAUUGUGCAAUUUCAAAAAUUGAGGGAUAUUAAUUGUGAAUUGAAUUGAAAUUGAAUUAUAUGCUAAUGAAUGAUUAAUUUUAUAUUUUAGAUCAAGAGCCCGUAGAUAAUUGUGAAAAGGGGAAAUUAGCAUAAUAGUCUCUGAACUACUAUAAAUUCCACAAUUUAACCCAGGUAAGUUCACAUGGUUAAACUAUAAUAAUUAUAUUGAAUUGAUGAAUGAUAUUAAAUAUUUAGUAUAUUGUUGAAAAAUGGAAAAUUGUUAAAUUAUAAAUUUGAAGUGAAUAUACGGUUUAAAUGGAACACGAGAUUGAGUACAAUCGUUGUGUGGCAAAAGACAGCAAAGGAAGAAUUGACAGUAAAUUACCCAAGUAAACUGAAGUUCAACAUUUGUUGCAAACUCUCGUGUUUACUUUCCGUUUAGCUCACAUGAGCUUCAGUUAACUCAUAUGAGUUUCAGUUUAACGCUAUUGGGUUUCAGUUUAACUCUUAUUGUAACAUCUCGUUUUUAGUCAAAUUAAAAUAGUAGUUUUGGGAACACAAAUCCGAAGUCAAAAUAAUUAUUUUAUUAUUAUUUUAAUGUCUAUAACAUGAUAGUAUAGUUAUGUGAAAUUUUCGUUAAGAAAUUUUAUUAUUUGAGUGCUUAAUAUGAUAAAAAGGACUAAAUCGCAUAAAAUGUAAAAUUUGUGUUCUAUUAGCUAAAGGUGUCUAAUAGCUAUGAAAUUAAAUGUUUGAAGGGUUUAUGUUGUAAUUAGACCAUUAUUUAUUUGAGUGGACAAAGAUGGACUUGGUUAGGUAAAUUUUAAUUGUUAUACAUUAAGGUUAUUUAAAUAAUUUAGUAAUAAAUGUUAACAAAUUAAAGAAAAAACAAAGUAUUUUGUUGCUUAUCAUUUUAUUUACCGAUUUUGGAAGAAAGAAAAAGCCAUUUUUAGGGCCUAGAAGUUUGGCUAUCAUCUAUUGCUUGUAUGGUACAAAUUUUGAUCUCGUUUUUAAUUAUUUCUAUGUUUUUGUGAUCGUUGCAACUAGGUCUAGCUAGCCCAGGGACUAAUUUGAAAAUUUGUUAAAGGUUUACGAUGUUGUCAUUGAUGAAUAUGUAUGAGCUUUAAUGAUUGAUGGUAGAUUAUGAAUGUUUGAUGAUAGUUAUACAAGUUUUGUUAAGUGAUUUUUAGUAAAAAUGCAAAUUAGGGAUUAAAUUGUGUAAUGUGGAAACUUUAUAGUUAAAAUGUGAAAUAAAUGAAAAAUAUGGGUUUCUAGGGACCUAAUUGAAAUUCGGCUAGCAUGGGUUUUGGUUGAAUUGCAUGGAUUUGUGAUUUUAUGAAAUAAGAACUAAAUUGUAAAAACGUGAAAUAUUAAGGGCAAAAGUGUAAAGUGGCUUUAAAGUGUAUUUUGGAUUAAAUUGAAUAGAUAGGUAAUUAAAUAAGCUAAAUUUGAUAUUCUAUAGAUCAAGAAAAGCGAAAUACGGAAUUAGAUCGGAGAAAGAACAAGGUGUUGGAUUAAUCUACUCGUUUUUCCGUUUUUGCAUCCGAGGUAAGUUCGUAUGUAAUAAGCAUUAUCUUUAUUGUAUUUUAAAUGCUUUAAUAUUGCCUAAAUUAUGAAUUACGACCUUGCGGACACAUUUGACGAAGAUUUGGCAUUAGAAAUCCCGGUUGAAUCUUAGGAACAGAGUAGGAUACAAAUGACAUGUCAUUAGGGGUUACAUUGAGUUGGCUUCGGACCAUGAUAUUGACACUUUGGGUGCGAGAUAUAUUGAGUUGGCUUUAGGCCAUGAUAUUGGCACUUAGGGUGCAAAACUCUCGAGUAUCCGACUUAUAUUCCAAAUGGUUUAACGGGUAUAUCGAAGAUAUGAAAUGGUAAGAAUAGAUACGUAUCAGAAUAUGUAUGUACGGAAACUGUAUAUGUAUCGAACUUAUGAAAGAAGUGAACUCAUGAUUAUAUAGAUGAAUGAAUACAUGUUAACAUUGUGGUUAAUUAUUAUGUGGUAUGUUAUAUGCAUGAUUUGAAUAGUAAAUUAAAUAGUGAGAUUUGCUUAUUAACUUCAUACGAGCUUACUAAGCUUUAUAGCUAACUUUGUUUAUUUUUCGUGUUUUAUAGUGAUUUCAAAGCUAGCUCGGAUUGGGGACCGUUAGAGACUUCAUCACACUAUCCUACUAUCACUUGGUGCUUUUGAACUUAAGUAUAUUGAGUAUAUGGCGUGUAUAUGAGUUUAGUCAUUUUGGUAUAUAUGUUAACUAUGAAUUUAGCCAUUUGAGUUGGCUUGUAAAUGUUAAUAUUUGGUUUUGUAUAUAGCCAUGUAAGUUGGCUUAAUUUUCUUGGUUUGGUUGUGUAUAUAUAUUUGUGCAUAUGUCUUGUGUGUGAACUUGAUAGUGGAUACAUAUGAUACUUAUUGAUAAUAGGUAUUGUGGAUGUCAAUUGGUUGAUGAAUUAAGAUUAAGUAUGCUUGUGAGUUUAGACAAAUUGAUGCAUAUUUGAAAGUGGCUAUGUAGUUGAAUUGGGGAUGUAAAUUUGGUAUAACAUGCAAUAAAAUUUUGUGAUACAUGUGAGACUUAUUGUUGUUGGUAAUAUAUGCUAUGUUUUGGUGCCAAAUGGGUUGGUUUAGGUGUGUGCAAUUUGGGUGACAAAUUAGCUUGGUAAAUAGCCUAUUUUUGUCCACACGGGCAGAGACACGGACGUGUGUCUUAGCCGUGUGUGACACACGGUUAGGUUGUACAGCCGAGUGUCCCUUGGUGUUGAAAUUAAAACCAAGUCAGUAUGCUUCACGCGACUCAACACACGGGCGUGUGACUUGGCUGUGUGGUAUAAGUCAGUAUACCCUACAAGUUUGGCAUGGCCUAACACAUGGCUUGGCACACGGGCGUUUGUGGCCAUUUUUAGGGCACACGGGUUAGUCAUACAGGUGUGUGCGUUGGCCAUGUGACCCAAGUCAAAGAGUUACAUGGGGUAGGACACGGGCUGGGAUAUGGCCAUGUGCUUCCAUUUUGAAUGUCCAAACGACCUGUGACACGGGUGUGUCUUUGGCCAUGUGAGACACACGGGCAUGUGUCCCCUGUAUUUUUGAAAAAUUUUUAAGUUUCAUAAAAAUUUCCUGAGUUGUCGGUUUAGUCUCGAACCUUUUCAAAUGCAUAUUUUGGGCCUCGUAGGUUAGUAUUAGGGACAAUGUUAUUGAAUUUGAAUGAUGAUUUGCUUGAUAUUUGAAAAAGUAUAUGAAAUGAAUGUUUAAUUGUUUCUAUAGUCUGGUAAUACUCCGUAACCCUAUUUUGACAUUGAAUACGGGUGAGGGGUGUUACAUUUAUGAGCUUCUGUUCAACCCUUAUGGGUUUCCGUUUAGCACUUGUGUGCUUCUGUGCAGCCUUCGGUUUUUUGUAUACGAUGUACUCAUAUUUGUAAGUUGUUCUCAGAUUCGGUAAUGUUGGUAAGUGACAUAUGAAAUUGGUAUAUGAGAACUUAAAGUUAUUGAUAGUUUUGAUGUGAAUUAAGUGAAUUCCUAAAUUAAAGUUGUGGUUGGCAGGAAAUGUAAUUUGAAUGAUUUAUUUACUUGAUUUGGUUAUAGUAUGUUCAAUGUUUGGUAAGAUUUAUGUUUAAAACCAACGAACUUACUAAGUUUCAUUAAGCUUACUUGUGUUUUUUUAAUGUCUUUGUAGAUUAACGUGAGGUCGGGGAAUCGGAUCAACACAUCGAGCCACACUAUCCAACUUGUUUUGGUAGUUUUUGCAAUGUAUAUUUUGGUUUAUAUGGAUGUAUAGGGUGAUAAUGAUUUGUGUAAAUAUUAAGAGUCAUAUUUUGUUUACAUAUCAACCCAACUUGUAGCACCCCAAACCCGGCCCAGACGUUAUGGCUGGAUCCGACAUGCCACAUCGAAGCGUUAAAAACAUUUUAUAUUGUUGAUCCAGAAAAAACCUACUUAGUGUUUUAAUUGAUAAUUUCAUUAUAGGUUAAAGUGAAUGGAAGCUGUGCACCAUGUAGGAAACCGUAAAAGAGGUGGUGAGUCCAUCGGACUGCUUAAGUACCAAGCUCCCUUCGGAUCCAAUCCUAGACAUGCAUACCGCCAUUGCCACACCUUAACGUCAUGGAUAUUUCUAGGAAACCGAUUUGAUUAAGUCAUUUUUAGGAAAAGUGAUUAAUUUUGGAAAAUACUUUCAUUGCGGAAGCUUUGCUUGUUGUCGUGUUAUUUUGAAAUCAACUGUUGUUUUUGAAAACGCGCCCUAAAGCUAUCCAAUUUCAACAAUUAAAAUAAGUAAUACCUAUCUUAGUAAUACAUAUUAAAACCAUCAAAAAUAAUUAAGCGGCCUUAUUACAUUUAAAAACUCAAAACUUCAAACGUAAAUAAAAGGAUGUCCAGUUCACCAGAAGAAAAUCAAACUUUCAGAACGGGUGGCCACUCCGAAUUCCUUCACAGCUCCAAGCCCACUAUGGUUGGGGAUUACCUGCGUGGAAGAAAAUAAAAGGGGUGAGUUUGGGGAAACUCAGUGUGUAAGGAAUACCCAUUCAAAGCCCAAGUCAGCUCAAGCCUAUUGGGCCUAAGCCCAUUCAGGUAACAGUGGUACUGGGCCAGAGCCCUUUUCAGAUUACAAUAAACUGGGCCUUAGCCCCUUAUUCAGAUAACAGUAUGGCCCAUAGGCCCAUUUCAAAAUACAUGCAACAUCAAUAACAUAUGCAAGCCCAUUUGGGGAGACUACUCAACCCACCAACCACUACACUCCACCUGUACCAGCCAUACACUCCAUGUGGGGAAUAGCUCAACCCACCCAGCCCAACACUCCACAGUUGCAGCCUUGCUACUCAGUUAACAGUAAAUUGAGGCAAAGCCUCCAGUACGUGGACAAGCCACUUUCAGUACUUCCUCCGUCAAUAUCCCAGUCCCAUGCAUCAGAUAAUAACAACAAGGUAUGCAGUAAAUAACAACAGUCAAACAUGCAUUUAGGUCAAUUUAACCCUAGGGGUAUUUCGGUAAUUUAUCUCUUAGGGGUAAAACUAUAAAUUUUUCACUUUUAAAGGUAUUUCAGUAAUUUAUCUAUUUUAGGGUUUUUCAUGCAUAUUCCUACUUUUCACGUACUAACAGAAUCACGUACCGAUGGUUCUUACCGAAUUGGGCCCGUUGGCCCAUCAUUCUAAUUUUGGCCCAUUAAUCCCAAAAAUAUCGAGGGCACAGAAAUCAUGCACUUUGCAGUCCAAACAUUGCAGCUUACCAAAAACAUUAAUCGAUUUACCUCACGAGCAUUCGCACACUCGCAAAUCUACAAAAUACCGGUUUUCAGCAUUUCGGCUUUUCGGCUUUUGCCGAUCUAGACUAAGAAAGAGGGUGUUAGUUACACACCUGUUUGCGACGAUAUGCUGACGAGAUCCACACACGAACCGCCUACAAUUGGAUUACUAACACGUUAAUCUAACUAUUCAAAUACAAACUACGUAUUAACCCCUUACAAUAUUCGGCCAACCACACCUAUAGAUCAUAGUAAGCUUAUAAGAAAUCAAUAAGUAACUCAUUAACAAAUUUUUGUCAAUGUUUACCACAUAAUCAUAAUUUCACCGCAAGCUGUCUUCCUGAGCAACAGUCAUUAAAUUAUUUAUAACUGGAGCUACGAAACUCCAAAUAAAGUUCCGUUAAUUUUCGCUGAAAAUAGACUAAUAUAUCUUCUAUCCAUAAAAUUUUCAGAAUUUUUGGUUUAGCCAAUCAAUACCAGAUUUUUCUCAAAGUUUCCCUUGUUUCACUGUUUGACUAAUCUGACCACUCUUCAUUACGAAUCAAAUUUAUCAUUGUACAGAAUUCAAAAUAUGUUAUUUUUUAUUUCAUUAGAAACUAGACUCAAUAAGCUUUAAUUACAUAAUUUAUUCAGCUUCUAAUUCAUCUUCCACAAUUUAUGGUGAUUUUCCAAAGUCACAUUACUGCUGCUGUCCCAAGCAGAUUUAUUACCAAAUCACUCUUUCACACAUACCUUGCAUGCAUGUUAUUUAAACAUGUAUAUCACCAAUCAAUCAUCACAUAUCUAUGAUUUUACUUAAGUAGAAUCUCCAUUUCAUCAUUUUAAAGCACAACAUGUUAGCUGAUUUUUCCCUUUAACAUCUAAGGCACAUGCAUGCUCAUUUGUUUGGCUCAACUUCACCUAUCUUCCAUUUUUCAUCAAAAGAACAUGAAACAACAACCAUUUCCUUCAUUUUAAUUCAUGACUAAAUGCUCACAAUACAACUAAAAACCAAAAUAUGCUUCAAGAGUUAAGGUAGAAUCAAGAUGAACUCAUGAACCUCAAAAUAGAAGCAAGGUACCAAGAACUUACCUUCAAUUUUCCUCCUCCUAAUGACCGAAUACUCAAGAGCUUUCUCCUCUCCUUUCUCUUCUCUAACUUUUAGCUAUGAUGAAAAAAGAUGGACAAAACUUUGUUCUUUUCACCCCUUUUUCUUUUAAUAAAACUUCAUAUUUCAUCCAUUUAAUUCUUUAAUACAAAAGACAUGAAAUUCUUAUCAUGAAACAUUUACCUAACCCAUUAUCAUGAAACAUUUACCUAACCCAUUAUCAUGGAACAUUUACCUAACCUAUUAUCAAUUUGUAUCAAUUUGUACCAUAAAUUAUGGAUAUCAAGUGCACAUUUUGUCUACAACAACAUGAUGGCUGGCCACUUAAUGUAAAAUGGGAGGUUUGUCAUGCAAAUCCUCCUAUUUUGCACUCCUAUUUAUUUGGCCACUUCAAUUUAGCCUAUAGCAUUUUCAAACAUUUUCACAUAGGUUCUAUUUCAUAAUUUCACCCCCUUUUUCUUAUGGAACAAAAAUUAACUAAAAUUAUCGGGUUCUAUCUUAAGUUUGGGCUUUCUAGAGGCCCACUAACAUAAUUAAACCUAUGCCAACAUUCACAGGAUUCUCGAAAAUUGAGGCGUUACACAACUUAUAUGAGUAAGGAUAUUUCAUGUAUGAAGCAUGUUUGAAAUGUUCAGAUGAUGGACAAAUAAUAGAUCUAUUGAAGCAUGGUUGCAUAUACACCUAGGUGUAAGUUGUUAAUUUGGUAAGUUAAGAUAUUUGAUUAUAUGUGAUGAUAUGUUAGUUAUAAGAACUUGGUAUUGGCUUAAAUUGCGGGUCUUGUAUGAUUUGUGAAUGUAAAAUUUGUUGUGCAUAGGUUGAUACCAAGAUUGGGUGAGAAAAGUGGCCUUAAAAUGGCCUAUUUUCGUCUACACGGGCAGAGACACAGGCGUGUGUAUCAGCCGUGAAUGACACACGGCCCAACACAUGGGCAUGUUGUCUGGCCGUGUGUCCCCUGCACCUUGAAAUUUCGAAACAGAAUUCCCAGGUUUUUGUACACGGUCUAGCACACGAGCAUGUAGCUUGGCCGUGUGACCCCUGUACCUUACACACGACCGUAUGGUUGGCCGUGUGACUUAAGUCAGAGAGUUACACGGGUAUGGGCAUAGGUUGGGACACGGCCGUGUGCUUCACAUCGAAUGCCCAUUUGGCCUAAGACACGGGCAUGUCUUCAGGCCGUGUGGCUCACAUGGCCGGCCACACGAGCGUGUGUCCCUUGCUCCUAAGAAAAUUUUUAAGAUUUUGGGAAAAAUUCUUUGAGUAUCCGAUUUAGUCCCGAUUCACUUCUAAGGUGUAUAUUGGGCCUCGAGGGCUUAUACAAGGGAUAAUAUUAGUAUCUUAUGACUGGUUUUUGAUAUGUUAUUAAGUGUUAUAAAAUAUUCAUAUUUUAUUCCGUAAAGUCCGAUAAUGCUUCAUAACCCUGUUUAGGCGACGGAUAAGGGUUAUGGAUGUUACAUAACAGUAGCCACCUUCAACGAAGAGAAGAAAUAGAAGCUUCAAGGAUCUCUAACUUUUCUUAACAACUUGUUUUCUUCACAACCAAAAAUUCAUUAGAUCAAACACAUUUCAAUAACCACAAGAAACCAAAAAAAAAAUUUGUCAGAUCUAAGUCAAGGCCAAGAAUUAACACCACACGGACUUACAAGAAUUGAAACAAUUAACAUUGCAACAUGAUGAAACUUAUGAAGAAUUAAAGAAAACAAAGAAUUUCAUGAAAGAAUUAAUGACUUGUUGUUAGGUAAAAGCUCUAAUACCAUGAAAGCAGUUCAUGAAUAAAAGAAAACUUGAAAAUCCAAAAGAAACAAGGUAUGAUCAAAGGGGAAAAUGGGUUUACUUAUUUUAAUAAUCCAACUUUAAUAUCCUCAAUUGAAGAUGAGUCUAUUUAUACAAUUGGUAAGAACUAUCUAGAAAUGUAUACUGGUCUAACAAACUUCCUAAGUAAUUCUUUUCCAUUAGAUUCUAGAAAGAAAUAGUUGUAAUCAGAUUCUAGAAAGAAAAGUAUAGGAUCUUUGUAAUGUAUGUUUUGAUAUGUUUAACCUUUUGAGGUAAUAUUGGUUUGGUACACUUUAAUGCCUUACCAAGUUAUGUCAUUUUGGUCACUUUUAAGUGCUUGUAAAUAAGGUUCUUAUGGUAUGUUUUGGUGGCUUGCAAAUGGUCAUGUAUGGUAGUUAAAUGAACUAGGUUGUGUGUUUGAGACAUAGUCAAAUUGCUUUGGUUUGAUUCAUAAUAUUUGAUACAAUUGUGGUGCCUUUGAAUGGCAUAUAGGUUAAAUGAUUUAGGAUGCUUGAAAUGGCAUGUUUAUGUGUGUUUGAAUGAUGUUUGAAUCCCUUGAAUGUGUGCUCAAAUGGUUUUAAGGGUUAGGUAUGAAUUGAACUUGAAAUGACUUGAUUUUAGCUAAAUUUUUGAAUUCACAAGGUCUGGGACACAGGCUGUCACACGGCCGUGUGUCAUUUGAAAUUUCUUAGUGUUCCAAGUCAGUGAGUUACACGGCCUAGCACACGGCCUAGGCACAUGGGUGCGUGUGGCAACUCAAAGAGCUACACAGCCUGGCACACAGGCGUGUGUGGCAUCUCAGUCAGUUACACGGGUGAGGACACGGGCUGGGACAUGGUUGUGUGUCCCUUGUUCGAAUGUUGCAUGGCCUGGGCCAUGUCAUAAGGCCGUGUGAUCCUUGUUUUCCAAUUUUUGUAACUUUUUCUCAAAAUUCCUGUUUUGUUUCAAAUUAGUUUCGAAUCGCUUCUAACUUAUUUUUAGGGCCUCGAGGGCUCAAUUUUGGGAAAAAUUUUCUAUGAUUGAUUGGUUUAUAAUGAGUUUAAUUUAUUUAAAUAUUAUGAUGUUAAAUGUUUUUUAUUGUACGAUAAUGCUCUGUAACCCUACUUUGGCGACAGAGAUGGGUUAGGGGUGUUACACACCUAUUCUUGUUGUGGCCUUUUUUUUGUUCUCUACAAUACUUUCCUUCCCCAUGUUACCGCCCAUGCAUGGGCCAUGCAUUUCCUUAGCCACUUUAGACGAGACUUGGCCCCAGACGCUAGGAUUCUUGGGAGCUGGAAAAAUAAAAUCCUAUGAUUUAGGGACUACCAUAACCUAAUUGCUAAUCUUUAAAAUUUGGCAUUAUCAUUUGAAGAUUCAACUCCCGAGUUUUUAGCAACAUUAUCCUAUGGCAUUGUCUUUCCUCUUUCACGACGCCAUAGUACCACUGGAUUCUUGAUUUGCCUUUUAUACUCAGCCCUAAUUUCUUCCAACUAGCCAUAAACCACCACGCCAUCCGUUGCUUCCAACAACUUAUGGCAAUGGGAUUCAUUAUGAUCUAGCCUUCCACAAAUAUACCAAAUAAUAAGUAUACGUUCAUAACUAAGGAAGUUCAAAAUAAUCUCCAUUAGGCUCACAAAUCUUCUUCUUUCUCAUUAACAAUUCCUAUCGUCAAGAUGAACCCGGAUCCGCAUAAAAUAAUUCAAGGAAUUCAUGCGCUCAAUCGUGUCAUAGUCAAUACACAUACUCAUAACAUCACCCAAACUCUUUGCCAAACAUAGACCUAAAAAUCAGUAUACAAAAACUCCACAUUUUCCAAGUCCUUCCCUAUCGACAAUUGAUAGAUCAAUAAAAGACAAUUAUUGAAAGACCACAGACCUCCUAAGAUCAUCUUGGUGAGAUCAACUAUAUGAUGAAACUAAAUCAAGUAAAUUCCUGAGUCACUCAAAGAUUUAAUAUAAGCACCUUGAAGAGGUUGUGAAGUGGUCUCUCCGUGACCGUGAAAUUAAUGGCUUACUCUCCCAAAAACUUACCAACUAAAUAUAAUCGUAAUCAAUAUCAUCAAGUAGAUUAUCAUCCGAUUCAAUGACCAAUUUCACCUCUUCUCUAAUAGACAAAUGUUGAAACUCUUCCUCCAUUGGAACAACGGACAAACAAAGCAAACAAAGAAUCAAAAUAGAAGAACCUUGACUAGCAAGGCAAAACCUUGCACUCAAAAUAGCAAAACCCUAGAGAGAGAGGGGCAACACAACGUAUUAAAUAUAUUAGAAGUUGAGAUAUUAAUUUCAUCCUCAAAGGGCUUACAGAAUCGGAUACAUAUGCUUGAAGUACACACGUGAAUAAAUAAAUUCAUUGAUCUAUUCCUAUAUAAAUAAAUCUAAUUAAGAUCACAUAGUUAUGAAACCUUAUUGUAUAAGGUUUGCAUUAAUAAUUUGAACCACUAAAUUAUAAAUAAUAUAUUGAUGAUCAACCUCAGUAAUAUUAAUUUUGCUGAACAGACAUAUCUCAUUUCUUUUGUAAUUAAUGUAUUUUAUAUAUUAUACAAAAUUAUGUUACUUUUAUUUAUGAAUUUUAAAAUUUUACUCUCUCUUUUUUUUCUUUCUAAAUCUAAAAAAUCCAAGACCUCUGACUGCAGGGAUAAACUAUAAAAUUUAUUGAAUGAAGCAUUUAUGUUGCAUUGUUUUACCAUAAUCAUUCCACCUAUGAUCAUUAAAUGUUAUUUAUAAUUUAUUAGAUUCCGAUAUGUAGAUUGUAAAAAUAUACUCAAAAUUAUGUAAGAUAUAUGGUAAUUCAUAUCAUAUUCAAUGUUAGAGAUUAAUAUUUUCAUUAUGUAUGAGGCUAUAAAGGUUUAAUUCUAUUUCUAUUUCUUGUAUUUUUUGAAUAUUUGAAUUAAUCUCGUUUCUUUGGUUGGGUGGAAAAGUGAAGGGAUAAAAGGAGGGAAUAAAAAAGUGGAAAGAAAAUAAAUUUUGAGUGUGUUUGUUUGAGAAGAAAAGUGAGAGGAGAGAUAAUCAUUUUCCAUCAUAGUCCUUCCAAAUUGAAAAGAUGAGAUAAGAGAAAAUUAUAGAGAGGUGUAUGUUAGUUUAAAAUUAUGUAUUUUUCAAUGUUUUAUUUUCUUUCCUUUCGUUUUUCAACUCUACUAAGUAAUUGAUGGAAAGAAAUUUACUUUUUGUUUCCAUUUUUUCUAUCUUUCCUACCAAGCACACAUUCGGAAAGAAAAUUUAUGUUUUCCUUCAUUCUAGUUUUUUACCCCUUCAAAUUUUCAUCCUUCCAAUUUUUUUUUCACUCUACCAAACAGAGCCUUAACUCUAAGAAUUUAAUCUUAGUGCUCUUUUGAUUUAAUAAUUGAAAUCUAAUUGAUAAUUUUAUCAAAGAACUUUCGUUAAAUUGAAUUAUGUGUCAUUUUUAAAACAAAAUGCUUCUGUGACCAAUUUAAAGUCAAGUAAAAGCUCUAUAAGUAAAUAUAUAUUGACUAAAUUCUUAAAAAUAAAAGUAAAGAGAUCAAAUAUCAAAUAUAUAAAAAGUAUUGAGAUUGACAAUAUAAUUAAAUGGGGCUAAAAAUAGAGGUAAAAAGUACAUAUCCAAUACAUUUAUAGCUAAACUUCAUAGUUUCCUUACCUUUUCUAAACAACAUGCCCUAAAAAAAGAUUUAUACACUUGAGUGGUCUCUUUAUUAUACAGAAUUGAUUAAAUAAGUCCAUUUAUUAUUAAAUGGAUCAAUUAAGUUUUUUUACCAUUAAAAAAAUUAAAUAAAAUCAAAUUAGAAUAAAGUUAACAUUUAUUGUUUAAAAAACAUCAUUUACUGUUUAACAAGUUAAUAAUUUUAAAGUUUUUACGGUUCUGCAAAUGAAAUAUUUUGUUUGAAAUUGAACUUCAAUUGAAAAAUAAUAAUUUUCAAGACAUUUUUAUACCGUAAAUAUAAACUCUAAUACAAUUUAAACUUAUUUAAUUCUUUUUAAUAAUAUAGGAACUAAAUUAAUCUAUUUAAUAAUAAAUAAAUUACUCCCAUGACUUCCUAGAUACUUAACUAAAAAAACAUAUUAUGUUUUGUUUGGAUCUGGGGAAAAAAUAGUGAGAAAAAAGUAAAAAAAAUCGUAUUUGGUUCAUUAAAAAAUUAUCCUUGAGAGUGGUUGAGAAGCUCUUAAGUUUGUCCAAAUAGGGUGGUGGGAUGCCAUGAAACCCUUGGAAUCCUUUACCUAGCUUGUUAAGGGUUUAGGGUUCAAAUUAAUUGUGGCUUUGAUAAUUUAGGUGUAGACCCUUCGAUGGUGAAGGUAAUUGUCAGCCCAGUAGACUAAUUUUGGGGUAAAAUAUUUUAUUUAAAAUUAAUUAGGAAAAUAAGUUAAUAUUAUUAUAAAAUAAUUUGACGUUUUUUUUAUAUAUUUUAAAUAGUAAAAUAAUUAUUUUUUAGCUAGGAGUGAACAAAACUCAAUUUCACACAAAAAUUAGUUUUUUUUUUUCUGAAUUUUGAGUUAAUGAAGUCGAAUUAUUUGAGUUAUAUGGUUUUAUGAAUCAACUUCAGUUUUUUAGAUUCGAGUCAAGUUGAAUUUUACAACUUGAAUGGCAAACUAAUGUAAAUACUCGUUGGGUCCCUAUCAAUUUCAAAAACUAGCAAAUUAAUCCCUUAAAAAUUACAAAAAAUUCAAAAUUUUAAUAAAAAUUUCCAAAAAAUUAUAAGAAUAUUUAUUUUUUUUAAAAAAAAAUCUAAAAUGAUAAAUUUAAGACCUUGAAUAACUAAAUUAUCAAAUCAAGUUUAUCGCACUAUAUUAUCUUCUCUUUCUUUUAUUUUUUACUUUGAAAGAGUUUUCAAAGAUCUAUGAUUUCAAAUUUAUGUACUUUAACUUGAAAUUUAGUGACAUUGUCAACAAGAUUUAAAUUUACUCUAUUCGAUUUGACUCGAAAUUUUUUUACUUCAUUCGAUUCGAAAAAAUUUCAAAUUGAAUUCAGUUACUAAAAUAGGAUUUGUCAACUCGACUAACUCAAUUUAUUUUACUCAAUUCGAUUCAACUCGAUCAAAUGCUCACCCUUAAUGACAAACACAAAGGAAUGUUGUGACACUUAUCAAAAACCUUCUAACUAUUUUCAGGGCAUAUCAAAAGCCUUCUAACUAUUUUCAGGGUAUUUUUGUACUUUUCUCCAUCCGAAUCCUACCAUAUAAAUAUGAGCUUUUUGCUAAUUUUCAGCAAACUUUUGAUAUUUUAAUGGAGUAGAAUAGGGUUUAAAGAGUAUUUUUGGAGUGGGUUUAGAUGGACGGUACGUUUAUUUGCAGGUAGUGUAAAAAUAGCGGUGAUGAUGAAAUUAGAUAUUGUAAUGAUACUAUAGUGUAAGAUAAAAAAUAAAUUAAACGCACCGCACCGCACCGCACCACACUGCACCACACCACCCAUUCAAAUUUACCCUUAAUAGUUUUAGUAUUUACUUUUAAUUUCAUUGUAUUCCAUUUAAAAUUUUAUGUAAUAACUCUUCUUAGUUAUUAAUAAAAUAUAGUUUUCUUUAUGUUCUUUGGGCUCAAAAAAUUGGAGACUAGAAGGGAGAAUACAUGGGAUUGAGCUUCAACUUCACCAAUAUUGAGCCUUAACCCCACUUUGUUAUUGACCUUGAAAAAUGGAUGUUGUGGUCGAUAAGAAGAUUUUGCAUGCUUAGUGUCCAUGUUUAGCUAAAUUUUUUAUAUGGCUAAUAAUUUGAAGUGAUUUUGGAUUGGUUUGUUGCCUAUGAUUGCGAUAUGCUUGGUAGUUAGAAUGGCCUAAUGCUUCAUGAGAGUAAAGACUUAAAGUAAAAUUUAAUUUAGGGAAUAUUACAGGUGUCGGCCCUAGUUGAAUUUCCUAAUUAGCACAUUGAGUAUAAGUAUCAAAAGAGUUAGUAUAUGUUAGUUCAAAUUAGCAAGAGCAACAAGUUAAAAGACGACUAUUGCAUUAGAAGCAUAUCAACAAAGCGUUAAAAUGUGUAAGUAGCAUUACCAGUCUUCUUUAUCAAUCAAUUGAGCUUAGGAUCAUCAAAAUAUGCUAUUCACUCUAUUAGUAACUACUUUUAUCAUCCAAUCAAUAGUAAAUUGAGAUCAAUUUAACUAGUUAGUUAAUUAGAUUAUAGUUGUAAUUGUUAAUUCAAUGCAAAUCACAAUCAGUUAAGGGCUGAAUGAAUUAUGCUUAUUGGUUGUUUGAUUGACCCUGUUGAUGUGCGUAGAUACUUAGUUUUUGCUAUUAGUAUUAUACAGCCCAAUUUUGGCCCGGGCCUAAAUAAACCAAACCCAACUAAGCCCUAACCUAAAACUAAAACCCUUGCCCACAAAAUAUUUUCCAGCAAUGAAGGGAGGGAGAACCCUACGCGCCGUACCAGGUCACUUCAGCCCCCCCACACGCGCCGUACCACCCAUGUGCCUCCCUGCUGCCACCAGCGUGCACACCGCUCGAAUCUGCAAACAGAGAAGAAAAGACAACACGCAAGAAAAGAAAAAUAGGCAACAAUAGUGAAAACAAUAGCAAAAAAUAGGGUCUUGUAAAUCGGUUUAAAGGCCAAAAAGAAGCCAAUGUAAAAGGGGGAUUCAUCAUUUAAUAAAAAAAACACAAAAAGCAGAUUCAAAAGAAAAGAAGGUGAUUUUCAGAUCUAGCUUUUUUCGAUUUUGUUCUUUUUUUUUUCUUUUUCUCGAUCUUUAUUUGCUGUAGAUAUAAGAAAAAAUAAAGAAAGAGGGACUUAUCGUAGUUUUGGCCCCCUCGAGUCUUUGCUUGCUUCGUUGAAAUCGGAGUCUAGGCGAAGAUUCUGAGGCUAGGAGCGAGACCCUCAGGUUCAUGGUCGAACGGGGUCAGAUGAGGCCCUCGCGAGGUGGCUGUUGGUCGAACAUAGAGGCAAAACGGCAGUUGAAGGGUCUUCUUUUUUUUUUUUGGCCGAAUGAGGAAGAUGGAGGCUAGGUUUUAUUUUGAUUUUCGAUAACAGAUUGUUGAUUUAGGUGUUUUUGUAUUUUUGAGUUAUGGCUAGCAUGAAACGGCACCGUUUAGGGCCUAUUCCUGCGGUGAAAGGAAUAUUUGCAAGAUUGAUCCCUCCUUUUCGCAUGGUUAUUCUAUUGAGUCAUAUUUGCAUUUUCUUUGUUUUUUAAUUAUCCCUAGAAUUUGCACGUUAUUUCAAUUCGGUCCGCACCUAAGCACCGUGUUUUGGGAUCGGGAUUAUUUCCAGCUUUGGUCCUUGUAUAUUUUCGCGUGUUGCGCGCUGGUCCUUUUUUCUUCUUUUAUUUAUUUUCCCUGAAUUUUUAUUUUAAAUUCGAUGUAGUCCUUUCCUAUUUAUUUUCAAUAUUCUAUUCUAUUUUCGAUUAGUUUAAUAUUUUCCUUGUUAUACUUUCCUUUUACAUUAAUUUAUUUGUUUUAUUAUUAUUACUAAAUUUUCGUAGUACUAUUAUCAUAGUUUUAUAUAUAUAUGCACAUAUAUUUGUCUACUGAAAGUCAUAUAUACAUAUUUAUACCUUAUUUUUACUGUUUAUCUACGUAUAUAUUUUGAUACAUUUUUUUAAAUCAUUUUACUUUUCUUUAGUCCCUCUUUUAUACACUUGCGAUUAUCUUUUUUGAAUUUGAACUUUAAAAUUUCAUCUUAUUUUCAAUCGAGCCCUUAUUGAUGUAAAUUUAAACUUUUUCAAUUUUUUUAAAAUCAUUUUAUUUAUUUCAAAUUUUUAUAUUGAAUUGUUUUAUGUCACUUAUUUCGAAUAGUUUUAUAUAUGUUAUUUGUUUCAAAUAUUAUAUAUAUAUAUUUAAAAUUUUUAAUUAUUUGUUGUAAGUUCUUGUAUAUUAUUAUUUUAAACUUUUACAUGUAUACAUUUAUAUUAUCUAUUUUAAAUGUUUUUAUAUAUAUAAUAUUUAUAUAUACAUUCUUUUACUUCUGAUUUCCUUUUAUAUAUUAUAUAUUUUAAACUAUUUAUUUUAAAUUGUUAUAUAUAUAUAUAUUUUAAACUCUAUUUAUUUAUUUCAAUACAUUUUAUUUAUUAUCCAUUUUAAGAUUUUUCUUUCAUAUUCUUUAUCUUAUACUUACAUAUGUAUACAUUAUUUAUUUCAAAUUUCUCUUUUACAUGUUAUUUAUCUUAAACCCUUUUAAAUAUUAUUUCUUUUAAAUUAUUUGAUUUAUUUACUUUUUAUAUACUACCAUGAAAUUGUUUUAUGUUUAUUUUUAAAUUGUUUUAAACAUCGACUAUUAUAAAUGGCUUCAUAUAUUAUUUAUUUACCUUUUUCAACGUUAUAUACAUUAUUUUAUUUUAAGUGGUUUCAUAUACAUUAUUUACUUUAGAUUUUUAUAUCUCGUUUCUUUGUAUAUGCUAUUUAUGUUAAAUAGAUUUAAGUUAUUUAUAUACAUUUGUGCAUUUUGAAUCCUUUUCGUAUUAUUUAUGUGCUUUUUCUCUCACGCAUUAUUUAAUUUAACUCUAUACAUGUUAUCUACCUCGAAUUGUUGUAUAUGUUAUUUUGUUUUCUUUGAUCGUUAAGGUUGAUUUUAAAAUAGUGUAUUAUGUGAAUAUUUUCAUUACGUGCCCUAUAAAUCAUUUAGAUUUAUCUUCAUAUUGUGACAUUCAUUAAUAGUGUAUCUAAUUCGUAUUUGAUUGUUCCACGCCCUAUUUUACACUUUUGUUUUACUUAGCUCAAAUCAUAUUGUGUAGUAAACCCCAAUAUAUUUAUCCAAUUUAGAUCGCUUUAUUGUAUUUCAAACAAAAUAAGUGCAUGCCUUCAAAUGUUGUAUUCGCUAUUACUAAAAAAUAUAUAUUUUUAAAUAAGGCAAUAUUUCGCGUUUUAGGAAAUUCAAGGAAUCGUACCUUAACUUGCUGGGUUUCGAUUUUCUUGUUAAUCCUAAAAAGUCAAAUAUCCCUUUAGAUUUCAAAAUACACAAGCUUUCGAUAAAGAUUAAAGGCAAACUUGCUCCUGAAGAUUUAAACGUCGCGUCCUAACUUAUUGGAUGUGGUACCUUACUAUCUCGAGACGAGUAAGCCUUUGAUGCUCAUUUCUACGUAGUUAGGCGUUUUAAAACGAACAUUCAUAAAAAAGGAUCGUAAAAAAUUUGAAAUAAGGUAACAUUUCGUGGUUGGAAAUUUCGAGAAAUUGUACCCUAUGUGUUGGGUUUCAAUUUAUCGUUUGACCGAACGACCGAAUAUCCUUUUUAUAAUUUCAAUGCAUAAGUUUUGGAAAUCAUGAGAUGAUUUUGGUAUCGAGGGUUUGAAAUGUCGUGUCCUACGUGCUGGAUGUGAUAUUUUAUUUCUUCAGAACAAGAGAAUCUUAAUAUCCACUUCGAGUUAUCCAAACAUUCAUAAAAAAGGAUCGUAUUUCAAAAUUUAUUUUAAAUCUUUUCAAUUUUCGACAUUAAGACAUUAAUUAAUCAAUUAGGUACCAAUUUUAGGCGUUACGAGGGUGCUAAUCCUUCCUCAUAUGUAAUCGACUCCCGAACCCAUUUUCUCAAAUUUUUUAGACCAAAAUCGUUGUUUCAGUAAACCAAAAUGUUUUAUUAAAAUGACCAAACUUCUUGAUGAUCCGAUGUAAUGGCCUAAAUUCAAGGUUAUCGGAACAAUGGUUUCGUAACCAUAGAUCCGAUUUAAAGAGAAAUUUAUUUCAAUAUUUUUUUUGAAAAUCUAUAUGAUAGGAAAAUCGUAUGAAAAUAUUGAUAGGAAAAUUUUAUCGAUUUAGUGAUUAGUUAGAAAAAAAAUUAUUGAAGAAAUUGGGUAAAAUAAGGUAUCGGGACCUCUAUCUCGUAAAACCGAAUCGAAAAUAAUUUUAUAAAUAUUUAUGAAAUGUUAUUAAUGUGGUAUUAAAAUUUCGUUAGGAAAUUUUAAUGUUUGGGUAGUCAAUUAAAUGAAAAGGACUAAAUUGUAAUAGGUGUAAAAGUUGCUAGAAUGAUUAAAUAGCUUAAGAGUCUAAUGAGAAAGGAUUUAAAAGGCAAUUAGACCCAAAAGUUAUUUGGGCUGGACGGAAAGGGUAUGAAAUCAGCAGAAAAAUUGAUAAAUUAAGGGUAAAAUUGGAAUAUUGCAAAAUUAACUAAAUAAAACUAGGACUAAAUAGGAAAUAUCUAGAUUUCUCUUCAUUUCUCUUCAAUUCCAGCAGCUAAAAACGCCAUAGGAGGGUUCUCUAAGCUGGUAUUUCAUAAUUUUUGCACCAAAUCCAGAAGAUUCAAAUACGAAACUAGAUCGAGGAAAGGAAAAAGUUCGGGAUUAAUAGAUUUUUACUGUUUACAAAUAAGUAUCAAGGUAAGUUCGUGUAACUUGAAUUAUAUUCUUAAAUGCUUGAAAUGCAUGUUUUUGAUAUGAAUAUGAUUUGAAUAUUCAUUAUAUGGAAAUUUAUGAAACAUUGAUAUAUUUGAUAAAAUGGGAAGAAAUCCCGUUUGAAUGAAAGGAAAAUUCGAUGGAUCUCUGAAAAGGAAUUGACGGUAAAAAGGAUCUAGCCCGGACGGGUGAUCCUAUCCUGAUAUAGCCCUCCCGAAGAAUAUGUGUAAAAUGGAUUUAGCCCGGACGGGUAAUCCGAAUUAGGGUCUGAAUUUAGCCUGGACUGGUAAUUCAGAUCCAAGCUCAUUAGAGUAAUUGUCGUUGCAGGGGAUUUAGCCUGGACUGGCAAUCCCGACAAAACUUUAUGAGUUUAUAUUGCAGGGGAUUUAGCCUGGACUGGUAAUCCCGCUGCAAGGUUGAGGUUCGCGGGAGUGUGCUCUCUGAAAUGGAUAUGUGCGCACAUGAAUAUGAAUUGACGAACCCGGAAUUGUACAAUAAAUGUGUACCUCUGAAAAUCCAUCGAAAUUUUGAUAAAUUCAACGGGAUAAAUAUGGAAAAAUAACAAGGAAAUGGAAAUCAUGGUAUUGACGAGCUCAUCAAUCAUAGUAUAUAUUAUUGGUACAUUGAAAUUAUUGUACUAACUUGAAUGUUGAGUUUGUGCAUAUUAGGGUAAUAAUGCAUUGAAUGGAUAUAUGGAUGUUUAUUGUAUUGUAUUGAAAAUAUUAGGUAAGUAUAAUUCUUAUUACAUGAGCUUACUAAGCACAAAGUGCUUACCCCGUUUCCUUUUUCCCUGUUUUGUAGUGUUAAGAGCUCGGAGGUAGGAUUUGGUCGGAGACACAUCACACUGUCAACCUCAGGAUUUCGGUAUAUAAAGAAACUUUAUUUUGAAAAUCAAUGGCAUGUAUAAGCUAACAAAGUAAAUGUUAACGUGAAAUGAAUGUAAAGUUAGCCAUUAGUAUGGUUAACAAACCUAGUUAUAGAUAUGUGAUGACGUUAUCUCAUAUAAAUGCAUGAAUCUAUCAUGAAAAUAUGUUGAAUUGAUUUGGUUGAUGUGGAUUGGUCUCGAUUUAAUAUUACAGGGAAGGUUAGAUAUUUAUAAAAGGGCUAUAUUGAAUAUAAAAAAAAUUUAAUUCGUAAACUCCGGUAAUGCCUCGUACCCUAUUUCGGCAAUGAAUACAGGUAGGGGUAUUACAUUUAUUGGUAUCAGAGCUACGGUUUAGCCGAUUCUAGGACCGAUGUAGCAAAUACGGGAUUAGCUAUACAUGCCAUUUAAAUUAUUAUUGAUAGUGUGAUAUCCCCUGACCAUUUAAAACGUGUUUUUCUUAUAGUAAUGUCAUCUGACAGAGCUCAAUCUGAGGAAGCUGGGAGUCAUGCUCCGGCUUCAGUACAAAGAGAAGAAACUAGCAGUAGAAGGCCUGAGACAGAGGGUCGAGGGGAGGAGGCAAAAACAGCCUUCUUUCAAAUGAUGAAUGAAUGGUUUAAUCAAUACUUAAGAACUAACCCUGUAGUGCAGCAAGUUCAAGCUCCCCCUCCUGCUCCUCCACCGGUUCCCGAGAUCCCACAAGGUACAGGUACUGAAUCUGUCAGAAAAGGGAAAGCUCCAGUAGAUAAAAUUCGAAAAUAUGGGGUCGAAGAAUUUUGAGCAGCAGUUGAUGAUGAUUCCGAACGGGCUGAAUUCUGGUUAGAAAACACUACUCGGGUUCUGGAAGAAUUAUCUUGUACACUAGAAGAAUGUCUGAAAUGUGCCAUCUCACUGCUAAAAGAUACAGCUUACCAUUGGUGGAAUACUAAAGCUUCAGUUGUUCCGAAAGAAGAAAUUACAUGGGAAUUCUUUCAGACCGAGUUCAGAAAAAAAUAUAUCAGCCAGAGGUUCCUUGACCAGAAAAGAAAAGAAUUUCUUGAACUGAAACAGGGCAAUAGAUCAGUAUCUGAAUAUGAAAGUGAAUUUGUUCGAUUGAGUAAAUAUGCUCGAGAAUGGGUACAGUCAGAAGCUGAAAUGUGCAAACGAUUCAAAGAAGGGUUGAAUGAAGACAUUAAGUUACUGAUCGGAAUUCUUGAAAUUCGAGAGUUUGCUACAUUGGCAGAGAGAGCUUAUAAAGCAGAAGAAUUGAGCAAAGAAAACAAACAGGCUGAGAGGGAAGCUCGAAUUUUUAGUAAAAGACCGAUGGGAAAAUCCAGUUUUCUGCUUCAAAGAAAUUGAAGAAAUAUUAGGAUCGUUCUACUUCAGCCAUUGGGUAUUCGGGCAAAGAGCGAGGUUCUCAAUGCACUAAUCCAAGGCCUUCUACUCCAUCAGUGACCAGUGUUGGUAGUGUUGGCACUCUUAAACCGAGAUGCCAGUACUGUAAUAAAGCUCAUUUUGGUGAAUACCGAUUUAAGAGUGGGGCUUGUUACCGAUGUGGUUCUUUUGACCAUUUCCUCAGAGAUUGUCCAGAAAGGGUUGAAAAAGAAGUUGAACAUAUAUCGAAGGCGAGUAAUCUAGUUUCGAGGGGCAGACCACCUCGACCAUCCGGUAACGUCAGUGGUAGUCGAGGAGCUACAAAAGAUACUAUAGGUAGGCCUGAGGUACGAGCACCUGCUAGGACAUAUGCCAUUCGUGCCAGAGAAGAUGCUUCAGCACCCGAUGUUAUUACUGUACAUUUUCUUUACUUGAUACUGAUAUUACUGCAUUGAUUGAUCUUGGUUCUACGCAUUCAUAUAUAUGUGUUAAACUUGCAAUUGUUAAAAAUUUAUCUGUUGAACCUACUAAAUUUGUGGUUAAAGUCUCGAACCCCUUGGGCCAAUCUGUGUUAGUGGAUAAAAUUUGUAAAAAUUGUCUACUGAUGGUAAGAGGUUGUUGUUUCCCGGCUGAUUUGAUGUUACUGCCAUUUGAUGAAUUUGACAUGAUAUUGGGUAUGGAUUGGUUAACCCAGCAUGAUGCGGUAGUAAAUUGUAAACAAAAAUAUAUUGUGCUAAAAUGUCAGAAUUAUGAGUUGCUCCGGGUUAAAUCUGAUCAGACAGAGGGGUUAUCUGAUAUGAUUUCAAUAAUGGCAGCACAGAGGUAUGUCAAAAAGGGGUAUGAUGCUUACUUGGCUUAUGUACUCGACACCAAGGUAUCUGAGUCAAAGAUACAGGCAGUUCCAGUGGUAUGUGAAUUUUCUGAUGUGUUUCCAAAAGAAUUACCAGGAUUGCCACCAGAAAGAGAAGUGGAAUUUUCUAUAGAUUUGAUUCCGGGAACUACUCCGAUCUCUAUAGCUCCGUACCAGAUGGCUCCUAUAGAAUUAAAAGAGUUAAAGACACAAUUGCAAGAGCUUGUUGACAGGGGUUUUGUCUGACCGAGUCAUUCACCUUGGGGUGCUCCGGUUCUGUUUGUGAAAAAGAAAGAUGGGUCUUUGAGAUUGUGUAUCGACUACCGGCAGCUUAAUAAAGUAACCAUAAAGAAUAAGUACCCGUUACCUCGGAUUGAUGAUUUAUUUGAUCAGCUGAAAGGUGCUACUAUAUUUUCAAAGAUUGAUCUUCGAUCAGGUUAUUAUCAGUUACGGGUAAAGGAGUCAAAUGUGCCAAAAACAGCCUUUAGAACCAGGUACGGGCAUUAUGAGUUUCUAGUUAUGCCGUUUGGGCUAACUAAUGCACCUGCAGUAUUCAUGGAUUUGAUGAACCGGAUAUUCAGACCGUACUUAGAUAGAUUUGUAGUAGUAUUCAUUGAUGAUAUUUUGGUUUAUUCUCGGGAUGAAGAAGAACAUGCAGAACAUUUGAGAAUUGUGUUGCAAAUUCUACGAGAGAAGCAAUUGUAUGCUAAAUUCAGUAAAUAUGAAUUUUGGCUUCGAGAAGUGGGUUUUCUUGGACACAUUGUAUCUGCCGAAGGCAUCAGGGUAGAUCCAAGUAAAAUCUCAGCUAUUGUCAAUUGGAGUCCACCGAAGAAUGUAUCUGAAGUUAGAAGUUUCUUGGGUUUAGUUGGUUAUUAUCGGAGAUUUGUAUAGGGAUUCUCUAUGAUAGGUUCUCCAAUGACUCGAUUAUUGCAGAAAGAUGUAAAGUUCGAGUGGACUGAUGAAUGUCAACAAAGUUUCAACCGAUUGAAAGACCUAUUAAUGAAAGCACCUGUAUUAGUGCAGCCUGAACCAGGUAAGGAAUUUGUUAUUUACAGUGAUGCCUCAUUAAAUGGUUUAGGUUGUAUUUUGAUGCAAGAAGGUAAAGUAAUAGCCUAUGCUUCAAGACAACUUAAACCACAUGAAAGAAAUUACCCAAUACAUGAUCUUGAAUUAGCUGCUAUUGUAUUUGCGCUGAAGAUAUGGCGGCAUUACUUGUACGGUGAGAAAUGUCAUAUUUAUACUGAUCAUAAAAGCUUGAAAUAUUUGAUGACACAGAAAGAUUUGAAUUUGAGACAGCACAAGUUGCUUGAACUGAUAAAGGACUAUGAUUUGAUUAUUGAUUACCAUCCGGGUAAGGCUAAUGUUGUAGCUGAUGCUUUGAGCCGGAAAUCUCUGUUUGCUUUACGAGCUAUGAAUACCCGGUUAUCAUUGACUGAUGAUGGUUCAAUCCUAGCUAAAUUGAGAGCUAAACCGACAUUUUUACAGAAAAUAUGUGAAGCUCAGAGGAAUGAUGAGAAGUUACAGGUUAAAUGGGCACAGUGUGAGUCUGGUAAUGAUUCUGAAUUUCAGAUUGGUUCUGAUGAUUGUUUAUUAUUCAGAGGUAGGGUAUGUGUACCUCAGAAUUCAGAGCUCAUACAGAAAAUUCUACGCGAGGCCCACAGUAGUACUAUGUCUGUACAUCCGGGGAGUAAUAAAAUGUAUAAUGAUCUGAAAUAGGUGUACUAGUGGUCGGGAAUGAAACGUGAUAUCUCUGAGUUUGUAUCAAGGUGUUUAAUAUGUCAACAAGUUAAAGCUGAACAUCAGGUACCUUCGGGGUUACUUCAGCCAAUUACUAUACCGGAAUAGAAAUGGGAAAGAAUCACUAUGGAUUUUGUAUCGGGGCUACCUUUGUCUCCGAGGAAAAAAGAUGCUAUUUGGGUGAUUGUUGAUCGAUUAACAAAGUCAGCUCACUUUAUUCCGGUACGUAUGGAUUAUUCUUUAGAUAAACUAGCUGAACUGUACAUAUCUGAGAUUGUCAGGUUACAUGGAGUGCAUGUCUCCAUUAUAUCAGAUAGAGAUCCCCGAUUUACGUCUCGUUUCUGGGACAAAUUGCAAGAAGCCUUGGGUACUCAGUUGUAUUUCAGCACUGCAUUUCAUCCUCAGACAGAUGGUCAAUCUGAGCGUGUAAUUCAAGUAUUGGAAGAUAUGUUCCGAUGUUGUAUACUAGAGUUUGAAGGUAAUUGGGAGAGGUAUCUACCUUUGAUUGAAUUUGCUUACAAUAACAGUUAUCAGUCUAGUAUUAAAAUGGCUCCGUAUAAAGCUUUGUAUGGUAGAAAAUGUAGAACACCGUUAUAUUGGACAGAGCUCAGUGAAAGGAAGAUACAUGGGGUUGAUUUGAUCCGAGAAAUAGAAGAAAAAGUAAAGGUUAUUCGAGAUAGUCUAAAAGCAGCUUCCGAUUGUCAAAAAUCAUAUGCCGACCUUAAGCGAAAAGAGAUUGAAUUUCAAGUCGGUGACAAGGUAUUUCUGAAAGUGUCUCCUUGGAAGAAAGUUCUUCGAUUCGGUCGAAAGGGUAAAUUGAGUCCAAGAUUUAUCGGGCCCUAUGAAAUCAUAGAAUGAAUUGGACCGGUCGCUUAUCGAUUGGCAUUACCACCGGAACUUGAUAGAAUCCAUAAUGUUUUUCAUGUAUCUAUGUUACGACGAUAUCGAUCAGAUCCUUCACAUGUUAUUUCUCCAAUAGAAGUAGAGAUUCAACCGGAUAUGACUUACAGUGAAGAACCGGUCAAGAUAUUGGCACGGGAGACAAAAGAGCUUAGAAAUAAAAAGAUAAAUUUGGUGAAAGUAUUGUGGCAAAAGCACGUGAUUGAGGAAGAAACAUGGGAACUGGAGGAGGCAAUGAGGAAACAAUACCCAAACCUCUUUACUGGUAAGAUUUUCGAGGACGAAAAUCUUUAAAAGGGGGGGAGGAGAGUUGUAAUGGCCUAAAUUCAAGGUUAUCGGAACAAUAGUUUCGUAACCAUAGAUCCGAUUUAAAGAGAAAUUUAUUUCAAUAUUUUUGCUUGAAAAUCUAUAUGAUAGGAAAAUCGUAUAAAAAUAUUGAUAGGAAAAUUUUAUCGAUUUAGUGAUUAGUUAGAAAAAGAAAUUAUUGAAGAAAUUGGGUAAAAUAAGGUAUCGGGACCUCUAUCUCGUAAAGCCGAAUCGAAAAUAAUUUUAUAAAUAUUUAUGAAAUGUUAUUAAUGUGGUAUUAAAAUUUCGUUAGGAAAUUUAAUGUUUGGGUAGUCAAUUAAAUGAAAAGGACUAAAUUGUAAUAGGUGUAAAAGUUGCUAGAGUGAUUAAAUAGCUUAAGAGUCUAAUGAGAAAGGAUUUAAAAGGCAAUUAGACCCAAAAGUUAUUUGGGCUGGACGGCAAGGGUAUGAAAUCAGCAGAAAAAUUGAUAAAUUAAGGGUAAAAUUGGAAUAUUGCAAAAUUAACUAAAUAAAACUAGGACUAAAUAGGAAAUAUGUAUAUUUCUCUUCAUUUCUCUUCAAUUCCAGCAGCUAAAAAUGCCAUAGGAGGGUUUUCUAAGCUGGUAUUUCAUAAUUUUUGCACCAAAUCCAGAAGAUUCAAAUACGAAGCUAGAUCGAGGAAAGGAAAAAGUUCGGGAUUAGUAGAUUUUUACUGUUUACAAACAAGUAUCAAGGUAAGUUCAUAUAACUUGAAUUAUAUUCUUAAAUGCUUGAAAUGCAUGUUUUUGAUAUGAAUAUGAUUUGAAUGUUCAUUAUAUGAAAAUUUAUGAAACAUUGAUAUAUUUGAUAAAAUGGGAAAAAAUCCCGUUUGAAUGAAAGGAAAAUUCGAUGGAUCUCUGAAAAGGAAUUGACGGUAAAAAGGAUCUAGCCCGGACGGGUGAUCCUAUCCUGAUAUAGCCCUCCCGAAGAAUAUGUGUAAAAUGGAUUUAGCCCGGACGGGUAAUCCGAAUUAGGGUUUGAAUUUAGCCGGACUGGUAAUUCAGAUCCAAGCUCAUUAGAGUAAUUGUCGUUGCAGGGGAUUUAGCCUGGACUGGCAAUCCCGACAAUACUCUAUGAGUUUAUAUUGCAGGGGAUUUAGCCUGGACUGGUAAUCCCGCUGCAAGGUUGAGGUUCGCGGGAGUGUGCUCUCUGAAAUGGAUAUGUGCACACAUGAAUAUGAAUUGACGGACCCGGAAUUGUACAAUAAAUGUGUACCUCUGAAAAUCCAUCGAAAUUCCGAUAAAUUCAACGGGAUAAAUAUGGAAAAAUAACAAGGAAAUGGAAAUCAUGGUAUUGACGAGCUCAUCAAUCAUAGUAUAUAUUAUUGGUACAUGGAAAUUAUUGUACUAACUUGAAUGUUGAGUUUGUGCAUAUUAGGGUAAUAAUGCAUUGAAUGGAUAUAUGGAUGUUUAUUGUAUUGUAUUGAAAAUAUUAGGUAAGUAUAAUUCUUGUUACAUGAGCUUACUAAGCACAAAGUGCUUACCCCGUUUCCUUUUUCCCUGUUUUGUAGUGUUAAGAGCUCGGAGGUCAGAUUUGGUCGGAGACACAUCACACUGUCAACCUCAGGAUUUUGGUAUAUAAAGAAACUUUAUUUUGGAAAUCAAUAGCAUGUAUAAGCUAACAAAGUAAAUGUUAACGUGAAAUGAAUGUAAAGUUAGCCAUUAGUAUGGUUAACAAACCUGGUUAUAGAUAUGUGAUGACGUUAUCUUAUAUAAAUGCAUGAAUCUAUCAUGAAAAUAUGUUGAAUUGAUUUGGUUGAUGUGGAUUGGUCUCGAUUUAAUAUUACAGGGAAGGUUAGAUAUUUAUAAAAGGGAUAUAUUGAAUAUAAAAAAAAUUUAAUUCGUAAACUCCGGUAAUGCCUCGUACCCUAUUCCGGCAAUGAAUACGGGUAGGGGUAUUACAUCCGAUCACACCUAAACAAAAAGAUUGGUGGCGACUCCUAAUUUUUGUUUUCAUUUUCAAAACCAAAGCCGAUCCCCCUUUUUCAAAAAAAUGGUUUCGACAAGUAUUUUAUCUCUUCUUAGAUAUAAAUAAGAUUUUGUUUUUGAAAAUUGCAAUUUCAAUGAUAGUACCAAAGUUAAUCCGAAAUAAUUAUUAGUCUUGUUUCACUUCAUAUCUCUUUUAGAAGAACAAGUUUUUAUUUAGAAUAGUUUUUGCUUGGAACAAUUGUUGUUUAAGAAUAGCUCUCCUUCAAACAAUUCUUAUUCGAGGCAACAUUUACAAAGAACAACUGUACUUGGAAUAACUCAUAUUCGAAAUAACCUCUAUCAAGAACAAUUAUUUUGAUAACAAUUCAUGUUUGGAACAACACUUGUAGGUAUGGAGACAAUUGUAGUUGGAAAGAACUCUCCAUUAAAAUGUAACCACAAUCUUAAGAGUAUAUAAAGUGGGUGAUUUGCAUGAAAGGGGAUCAUCCUUACCAUAUAUUUGUUGAGCAGUGUGUGUGUAUUCUUUGCUGCAUUGGUUUAUUACUACUAAGGGUUUGCCUUUUUGUCAUAAUGAUUUGUAUUUACCGUGAGUGUCUGUUCAAGAAUGCAGAGCAUGACUCGUGUGAUGUGGAUUGCAACUAACCCUCAUUUACUUGUUUCCUAAGCAUGUUUGCAUAAGGCUAAUUUGAUGCCAUUAAAACCAUUUUAUUGACAUUAUUAAAUCAUAAUACAUGAACUGUCUUUAUUCCAGCUGUUGAAAUUUAUGUUGCAAAUGGUAAUGGUCCAUGCCUAAACUGUGAAACCAUCUUAAUAAGGUAGUUGAAAAUUCCCAUAUCUACAAUUUCAGCACUUACCUUGUCUAAUAUUUCAUCAAAUUUAUUAUCUAUCUUUCUAACUUAUAAAUUUAAUUUUUAUACUUAUUUAAUUUUAAAAUUUCAGUUUCAAUCUAAACAACAAUUAUUUCUAAAAUCUUAUGCAAUAUCAUAUCGACUUGCUAUUUCUAUAUAACAAUCAUAAAAAAAAUGUCACAACAUUUUAUCUAAUUAUUUAAGUUAGUAUUAAAAUUUUAAAAUUAAAAAAAAAGUAUUAAAGAAAAAAACAAUUAAAUUGGAAAGUAGGAAUUACAUCCACAACUUACACAUAUUACAAUAUUAAUAAUAAAUUUUUACAUAACAUACUUUAUUUUCACCGUUUAAAUUAAAACUAAAAUUAAUCAAAUUAAGAUACAUAUACGCCAUUGUAUUAAUAUUUUACUUUACCACUUUCACUUUCACUUGUUUAAAAUUAGCAUGAUAAUUUUUUUAGUAUAUUCUUGUUUAGAUAUUUUUAGUGCAUUUUUUAUUUAAUAUUAAUAUAAUUUUUAAUUUUAAUUUUACAAAUCAAUCUGAUCCAACCUUAUCCGAUUAAAUUAUAUCCAACUUGCAAGAAUAAUGUUUAAAUUUCAAAAUACUUGUAUUUAAAGUGAGUUUCUUUUUUAAAAUUAAGUUUUAAUAAUAAAUACAACAAAGUAAAUAUGAUUUUAAUUUACAUUUGAUUUUUUUUAAACAAGACAAUAUAUUAUUUUACCUCUAUUUUUGUUUUUAAUAAUUUAUAAAAUUAAAAUAAUAAAAAAUAUAAAUUUAUAUUAUUAUCUACAUAUUUUAUAAUUAAAUUUAAAUAAAAUUUUUUAAUUGAAAAUUGAGCCAAAACCGAGGACAAAAAAAAUCAAUUUAUACAUAGUUAAUAUACCUUUCCUUUUAAUUUUUUUAUAUUUACUUAAUAAAAUUGAAUCAAUAAAUUAAAAUUAUGAAUCAAUAGAAUAAAAAUAACAUCACCUUUAUUUAUAUUAUAAACUAUUUAUCUAUUUCAUGUAUGAAUUUUUUUUUAUGAACUUUAUUAUAAAAGUCUAAGUGAAAGACAAUAAUUAAAAAAUAAUUUAAUUGGAGAGUUGCAUUGCGUCGCAGAAAUUUAAGAAAACUAGUUAUCCUCAUAAAUUUGGGUUUUACUAAUUCAUUUAUAAUAAUUAAUUUUUUGGGUUGCUCAACUAAGUCAGCUGACAACUCUAAUUACUUAUGCAUAUUGCCUUAAGAAAAAUGAACAAAAAAAAAAAAAAGAAUAUUUGAAACCGAAAUUGGUCAAGAUGUUUAUCCACAUUUAUAGCAGCUAAAAUAAUUAGAAUUUUUUUUAAAGAAAAAAAAUAUUAAGAAAAUUUAAAAUGCUCCUAAAUAAUUGUCCUAAUUUGUUUUAGAUUAUCAUUUAAGCAAUAUUGAUUGCAAUUUAUUGAAUUUCAUUAAUUUAACUUUUGUAUUUAAUACAAAAGAUGUUAUUUCAAAACCUUUGCUUAAAAAGUAAUAAAUAAAUAAAUUUAUAUUUUGGUAGGUUAGAAAUAUUAACUUUAAUUUAACUAAGUAGUCUAAAUACAAUUUUUACAUUGAGAUAUUCAAACUAUAUGCCGUUAAAUCUAGAAUUAAAUAACAUCAUAUCAAUUAGUCAAACAAGAUUUCACAUGUGGUGUGCCAGUCAAAUCUCACAUCGAUAUACAAAAAUUAAUUUUUUGAAUAAAAAAACCAAAUGCAAUUCUACUUCUUCCUCAAAACUUCAUGUGAUCCCUUUUUAAGAAUUUGGAGUGAUGAGCAACUUGGGAGAUUUGACUUGAAUACGUUAACAAACAUAUGAAGAAUAUAAAGAAAAAAAGAGAAAUGGUAGGUAUUGGAUAAGAUGCAAUUUAUAAAAGAAAAUUGAAUAUACUUUUUGAAUUUAGGAGAGCAUUAUUAAUGGAUAUAAUUUUUUAUUUUGAUAAAUAAAUAAUUUUAAUUGAUACUUGUAGUAAAAGAAAGGAAACUACAUAUGAAGGAAUCAUCAAUAAUUUUAAUUAAUUUAAGUUUAUUUUUAAAUUUUAUUAAAUAAUGUAUUUCAUAAAGAAAGAACAAAAAUACCUUUUUUUAGUAGAUCAGGUUAUUUGUUAUGGUUUAAUGAUAAAUUUGAUAAAUAUAAAAAAAUAAUAUUCCGAAUUGGAUGUAAUAAACGGAAUGUUAAUUUUUCUUGAUUGUAUUUAAAAAAAAUGCAGAAUUUGAUUCAAUAGAUUUUUUUGUUAUUUUAUUUUGAUUUAAGUAAAAUGAAUUAAAAUAAAUAAAAAUAGAUGCAAAAUUGUUCAAAAAUUUCACAUUACUUAAUUAAUGUAAAAUUAUUUUGGUAGUGUUUGGAACUAGUAACUAUUUGUAAUUACACAAUGAAAUUUUAAUGCGAUUAUGUAGUAUUAAUUGGUAAGUUAUCUAGUAAUUGGAUUUGAAUGUAAUUACUUAUAACUAUCUAGGAAUAACAUGUCUAGAUAAUUAGUAUAAUUGGCGAAUCUCAUUGAAUUUGAGUGCAAUUUGAGCAUCUCAAUUACACUCUCCAAUUUUUAGGGUAGGUUUAGAAUUAAAGUAAUUACAUGAGUAAUUGCAAAUAAUUAAUAAUUACCUUAUGACUUUCUAAAUAUAUAUAAAUUAUUUAAGUUUACAAAAGUUAUUUUUACACAAUAAUAAAAUAUUUUAUUUUCAAAAAUAAUUAUAUAUUUAUUAUUGAAUAAAAAAUAUUUUGUUAUUUGACCUAAUUCCACCUAUAAAUGAAGUUACUAAAUAUGCAAUAUGAUAUCACAAUCCUGAUAAUCUGAAGGAUACAAAUUCGUAUUAUGAUUAAGAUGAUGAGAAAAUUGGUCAAGGAACAACAAAUGAAUGAAUAUAUGUUAAAUGUUAGGAGGGAAUAACCAAAUACAUAUGAAAUAUUUGACCAAUUAGAUAAAAUUACAUAUUAUGUUUAUUUUCUUGUUAUUUUUAUAUAUAAUUGUAUCGUCGACUAUUUUUAGACUAAUAUUACACAAGAUUAUAUUUUAAUUUUGUAAAUUGUUUAAAGGUUUUUAUAGCAAUUAAUAUUUAAAAAAAAUAAAAAUUAUAUAAGCAUGUAAUUAGAAAAUUUAAAAAAAUAUAUAUUUUGUAAUUAGAAGAGGGUAUGAUGUAAGUAAUGUUGAUGAUCCAAAUAUAAAAUCAAUAAAAUUAAAUUCCUUAAACCGAACAUCGUUUGAAGCAAUACAAAAACAUUAGGAAAGAAGGCAAACCAUUCAACCUUUCUGUCGAGUACAAUUCAAUGUUAUCCAACUUGUUUUCCACUCUAAAUUCUCCUUACCCUCCAUGCCUACCAUAAUUAAUUACCAACAAAUAAGGGAAAGAAAAUCCAUCUCUUUAAUUAAUUACCAACAAAUAAGGGAAAGAAAAUCCAUCUCUUUCUCUUUCUCUCCUGAAAAUCAUUGCAUAUAUAAUGGUCUAAAUCUUUCCAAAAUCAAUCUGCUCGAGAAAUCCAAACUAAAAAUCUUGUUCCAAGAUCCCUAUAUAUUUUUCUGGUUUUUUUCUCAGUUCCCAAACACUUCAAUUUCCCAGAGGUGAGAAAUUAUACGUGUUUUCAAUUUUCAGUUCCUCCUUCCUGUUUCAUCGAUUUCUCACAACUGAUUGUUUUUGUUGUUGUAUGUGGUCAGUUAUCAAACAGUUGAAAUACAUAGAAAGCAAUGAGUCGGAGAGCAAACAGUCCAAAGCUGGAAUUGACGCUGAAGUUAUCACCACCACCACCAAGGGCGGCGCCCAACCAACAAGUAGGUUCGCCCAACACAUCGGUUUCGUCGUGGGAAAUGUCUCUUGAAAGCUCGUGCGUGUCUUCGGAGCCCGACAACUCCACGACGACGAUGCAAUACCCCAGCAGUCCUGAAGAAACUUCGAUGGUGCUGGUGGGAUGCCCUCGAUGCCUCAUGUAUGUUAUGCUAUCGGAAGUGGAUCCCAAGUGCCCCCGAUGCAAGAGUACCGUCUUGCUUGAUUUUCUUAACGAAGAGAAUACCAAAAAGACAAGGAACUAAAACGAUGAACCUCUAGGAUUCGUCUGUCUUUCCUUGCUUUUCUCAUGAAACAAACACGUUACUUAAUUCCUAGGUCUUCUUUUGUGGUUUUUUUUUUUUUUUUGGUUUUGUUUUGUUUCUCUCUCUCUCUCUGAAUGUUUGAACUUUGAAGUUCUAAUUAUAUAUUUUUGUUUAUUUUAUGUCUGGUUUGAUUUCCCUACAAGAAAAUCUUUUUACACAACAGCCAAAGUGUUUCACUUUCCUCCUUUGAGGCAAAGGGAACUUUGCGAUCUUUGUCUUGGUUUUCAUAUGAGUUUUUUCCUUUACAGAACAUCCAAGUGUUCCCCUUUUCCUCCUUUUGUUUAGCUUAUAAUUUUAGGGAAGAACAUAGGUGGCGUCUAUUCAGAUUUUGUGAGACACUUUUAAAUUAAUUAUUAAAUAAAAAGAGAAAAAAAUAUUAAUUUAACGUUGAUGGUGUUAUAUUAAAUUUGUAUUGAGAAAUAUGAAUUUAUUUUUAAUUAAUUUAAUUGAUUUUAAUAUUAAAGAAGAUAAUUGAUUUUAACAUUAAAGAAAAAUUUUGAUUUACAUAGAAAAGCAACAUAGUCAGUAAUUGAUUUAACAGAUUUUUUAUAAUCAUUACAAUUUUUUAGUUUUUAACAUGGUUUGAUCAAACAGUUACUAUUUACUCAUUUUUAUCUCUGAACCACAUUUGUGGAUUUAAAAAUGAUUCCACGAUAUUCAAUUAUAAUAAGAUUUCAUUUAGUUACUAAAUCUUAAUUUUUGAUUUUUUUUCUUAUUUCAGUUAAAAAAUAAAUCUAAACAUGAUCCACUCAUCAAUAAUGAAACUCAAAUUCAAAAUAAAAUUAAGAGAAAAUUCACGUAUAGUAUUUACGCACGAAUUAAAAAAACUUUCUCCUUAACUCAAAACCUCAUUUGGCAUUUAUUUUAUGGUUAUGUUGGUAAUUUUCAAAACAACUGAAAAUUGAAAUAUUUAAAAUCAAAUGAUGCAAUUAAAGCCGGAUCUAGAUACGUUGCAGCUUUGCACUUUGCCGAACAUUAAAACAUUUAAAAUGGUGCAAGCCUCCUGCUGGUAAGUUGAAAUGCAACAUAGAUGUGUCGUUUUCCUUGUUCUUCAGGCAACCGGCUGGGAAGCGCUGGUUUGGAACGAAUCGUGGGAGUUUGUUCGUUGCGUUAUAGGUUAUAUGAAACAUGUGGUCGACCCAUUCAUGGCAGAACUUUUUGCAGUGUGCAAGACUCUUUCUUAGCUUCCAUCUUAGCAUGCGGAUAACAUUGUGCUAGAGACUGAUUGCCAACGUCUUUGGUAGUCCUUCACUUGUCGAAAUACCGAUGUUUCAGACCCUGGUUUACUGAUCCAGGACUGUGUUCGUUUAAGUUCCAUAUCUUGCUCUUUGUCCUUUCAUUGGACAAGAGAAUGCGCUAUUAAAGCUGCCCACACUUUGACGUGGGCAACUUUAUCUGAAGCGAACUAUGCGGAUCAAGUUGAUUGUCCUUCUAUUUUUAUUGAAUUUUUGCUAUUGGAUUGUUCUACUAUUUCAACUGAAAUUGAGGCGAGUUAGGAUGGGUGUAUUAGGUAAAUCUAAUGGCUUGGAUAUAAAGUCCCCAUCUUGUUAAUACAGCAGAAUAAGGAAGAGGUCGAGGAGAAGGUGUGGUGGUUGUCAUAGAGGUCGGUUCACCUAGUUGAGGCUACGAGCUGAAGGUUACAAAGAGUGAAGGGGACGAGAGUGUUAAGGCUAGAUGUUGAAGGUAAUUUGCAGAGUGUAGGCUUGGCAACUUGGGAAAGUCGAUCAUUGCUUCAUCGUCUCUAGGGGUAUUUAUAGGCGAGAGUCUCUUGUAGGAUGGUGUUAACAUGUUGAACUUACUAUUAAACUAUCAUUAUGGAACUCGUGGGGUAGAUGUUUUUAAUGGGAUGAGGAUGUGUAUGAUAGGUGUAAUAAGCCAUUUUUGCCCGGGCCCUAAACAAAAAACCAAAUAAAAUAAAAAUAAAAAUAAUUAACAGUCUAAUUUUUUUACAAGCCCAAAAUUACAAGGCCUGAUACGCCCAAAAUAUUUGAAAAUUUUUAGAAAGCCAAAAACCUUAGGGUUUCUAGUGCCGCUGCUCUCGUGCCACGUCAACACACCUCGUCCCGAGACCUAACAUCUUUUCUGCUGCUGUUUCACCAAAGUAGCAAGAGGUUCUCUUCUCUCUUCUGUUGACCAAGUGCCGAACCUGCAAAAGAAGACCAAAAAGAACACAGAAACAGAGCAGAGAAACAGUAGCAGAAACGAAAGCAUAAACAGUAGCAAAUAUAAAAUCAAAUGUACUAUUCAAUUAUAAAAGCUACCACCAUCAAUGUAAUGUUUUACACACACUAGAGUAAUCAAAAAAUAGAAAUCAAAACUUCAAAGGUGAUUUCUUUUUUUUUUUAAUCUGUUAUUUAUUUUUUUUAUUUUUUUUAAAGAAAAAGAAGAUAUAAGAACAAAAUCUUUUACGUUUUUGCCUGCGUCUUGCCCUCCAUCUUGGAAGACCAACGGACCCUUGGGGGUUCGCCGAUUGCUUGCGAUAGAAAUGAGCAAAAACGAAAGGUUCUUUGCUUCUUUUUAUUUUUGAGGGCUUUUUUUGGCCAUUUGAAACCCCAAAAUCGGGGUUCUACUUGAAAAGGGAACAAAAUGUGAGACUUUUAGACUUUCCGGCGACCGUGGAUGGUGGCGCCGUAGCCGGAGACCGGUGGCCGCCACAUUGCCCGAUGGCCGAAGCCAAGGCUGAGCAAAGGGGCUAAAGAGGAAAAAUAAAAAAAAGGCUAAGUUUUUUUUUGAAAGAGGGUUUAAAUGAUAUUUUUAGAGAUAUUUUUGGCAUUUAUAAUGAUAUAAAAUAGCGUCAUUUGGGACUUAAGCAUCAGUUUCCAAAACGACGCCAUUUUGCUUAAGACUCGAAACUCGACCUGAUUUUAAGCUAGGAUCCGCAUGUUUUUCCCCCAGAGGGAUAUUUACGCGUCAGUCCUUCCGCUUUUCGCCCAUUUUCAAUUUAAUCCUGUUCUUUUUUUUUCUUUUUAAUUUUAUCCUGUAAUUUUUGCAUUAUUUGAUUUCAGUCCUCUGUAAAACAGUGCACAUAUGGACAAGGGGAUUAUUUCCUAAUUGGUCCCUGUCCUUCCUUCGCGCAUUCGAUUUUAAUCCCUUAACUCAUUUUAUUGUUUAAUUUGUUUAUUUCAUUAUGAUCUUUACUUUAAAUUUUGUUUAUAUUUCGAUUUAGUCCCUUACUUUCAAUCUUUUGCAUUUUAUUUUCCUUUGUACUUAUUUAUUUGUUCAUAUAUUUCGAUUUAGUCCGUUCUUUACUCACUACUACUACUACUACUACUACUACUACUACUACUAUUGUUAUUAUUAUUAUUAUUAUUAUUUAUGCAUUUUAUUACGAAUUGCACCCUUAAUUCCAUUCAUGUUUUAAUUUGGUCCUCUAUUUUCAAUAUUUUACAAAUUAUUUUCCUCAAUGUUUAUUUAUUUAUUUAUUCCCUUGUCUUUAUUAUAUUUAAAAAUUAGUAUUUUCCUUUUUUUGUGAACUAUUUUGUUAUUAUUAUUAUUGUUAUCAUUGUUAUUAUUUAUUUUACUAUUUACUUUAUUUUUCUUGGAUUGUUAAUAUUGGUAUUAAAGUGAUAUGUAUUAUAUGAUUAUUGCCAUUAUAUGUACUAUGAAUUGCUUAUUAGUACAUUUAUAUUGUUGUCAUUCAUUAGUGCAACAUUUUAUUCAUAUAUUAUUUUUAAUAUUACAUUAAUUCUUAUCCAAAUACACAAAAAGGAAAUUUUCAAAAUAAGACAAUAUUUCAUAUUUGGGAGAUUCGAGAAAUCGUACCCUAACUUACGGGGUUUCGAUUUUCUUGUUGAAAUUAAAUAACCGAAUAUCCUUUUAAAAUUAAAAUACAUGAGAUUUCAAAUAAAAAAUAAAGGCAAACUUAUUCUCAAGUAUUUGAAGUGUCGUGUCCUAACUUACGGAAGUGACAUUUUGUUGCCUUGAGAUGAGAGGGUCUUUAACAUACUUUUCGAUUUAUUCAAGCAAAUUUUAGGUAAAAUUAACAUUAAUCCAAAGAGGGAUCGUAUUUUAAAUUCUUUCAAAAUUUUCAACUUUCGACAUUAAGACAUUAAUUAAUCAAUUAGGUACCAAUUUUGGGCGUUAUGAGGGUGCUAAUCAUUCCUUUGUGCAUAACUGACUCCCGAACCUGUUUCUCAAAGUUUGUAGACCAAAAAUUGUUGUUUUAAUAAAUCAAAGCGCUUAUUAAAACGAUCAAUCAUAAGGUGACCUGAUCACACCUCAUAAAAAAGAAGAUUGGUGACGACUCUCAUUUUUUUUUAAAUAAAAAGUCGACCUUUCAAAAAAAUGAUUUCGACAAUGGGAUAUACCUUGAUGUUCAUUCUAACUUUGAUGAUAUAGAGUAGUUGAACUCAUGUGGUCUUUGAUCCCUAACGACAUCACACUUCUCAAAGAAGCCUAAGGGUCUGGGCAUCAGAUGGUUUGUGUUUGUCCGGAUGGUUGGCCCCUUCCAAUUUGUUGCCGGUUGGUUUGCUGCUCAAGCAAAUUUUCAGUUUGCCUUGUGUUUCCUUGCGAUUGAGGUAUAACAUAUCUAUUUUAAUUUUUCCCUGAUUAAUGAAAUUUAUGAAUUUUUUCCUUAAAAAAAAUUUGUUAGGCUCAAUAUUGAUUUCAUUAUUACACAAUAAAUAUAAACCAUCACACCAAUUAUCAUUUACUUUCACUAAACCACCCAUUGUUAAUUUCUUUACCACUCAAUUCACCGAAGUCUAAUUCUCUAUUCAUAUAAAAAAAAGUAUAAUUGUCAGAUAUUAUAUAAUAAAUAGAAAUAUAGAAUAGACAAUCAUCAUACAAACAAAUUUUUAAUUAGAUAUAACUAAAUUUAAAUUAUUUUUAUCUAAUAAUUUACAAAAAUAUUAGCUUUUAAUGUGACAUGUAUUUUUCUUAUAUUAUAAUAGAAAAUUUUCAAAUAAUAAUUAAAAUUUUUUUAAUAUAUUCAACAUAUAAUAUAGUUUUCCUUUGUUUAAUUAAUGCAAAAUAACAUUGUAGAGGCCCAAAUUUGCCCGGGGCCCAACAACCCCCCAAAAAAAAUAUAUAUAUAUAAUUGUUAACAGUCCAUUUACAAGGCCCGAAUAUCCUAUGGCCCAAACUAAAACCCUAAGCCCAGCCCAAAAAUAUUUAACAUUUUUGGAGGAACCCUAGAGUUCCCUCCCCUUUGCGUCGCGCCGCUCCCCACGUGGUGUCAGCGCGUUCAACGCCUGACCACCCCUGGCACCUCUGUUGCCUCAGCAUAGCACCCUCUGGCCUUGUCCCAUCACCUGCAAAACAAGAACAAAAAGAAAGCAAGACAGACAGCAGAGAAACACGCAAAACAGAAGCGAAACAAGUAGAGAAUAGUAACAAAUCAUUGUAAUCGGCUAUAAAGCCGAAGAGAAAACCAUUGUAAAGGGGGUCUUUUUUUAAAAAAAAUCAGUGUUUUCAAACACUUUUUGAAUAAAAUAUAAGAACAGAUUCAAAUACAAAAACAACAAGCAAGUCAAAAACUGAUUCAAUCCCGUCAAGGUCUCAUUUCUUUUUCUUUUAUUUUCGUCUUUUGAUUACACAUACAUGUUUUCUUUAUUUUUAUUUUUUUAAAAAAAAAACAGAAUAUAUAUUUACAUAUAAAUAUAGCCAAAAAAUAAAAAAAAUAUUACCUUUUUUUAUUUCCGACCACCGUGUACGGUGGCCGGCGUGGCGGACGACGGUGGUCCGAUGACCGAGCCAGAGGGAAUGAGAGAGGGCUUAAAGGGAGCUCUCAGGUUUUUUUGAAGAAAGAAAAGAAAAAAUAAAGGUUUUUUUGCAAAAAUAUGGCCUUUUAUAACACUACCAAAACGACGUCGUUUCAUUCAGCUGCAAAACACCCCGAAACGGUGUCGUUUAGGCGUCGACUCGAAGACCCGACCCGCUCCACAAAGGGAUCAGUGUGUUUCUGCUAAGCGGGAUAAUUGAGCGCGUGGUCCUUCCGCAUUUUUGUUUCUUUUAAUUUAAUCCUUUUUUAUUUCCCUUUUGUUUUUAGAUUUUCCCCUGGAAUUUGCGCUUGUUUCAAAUUAGUCCGCGGUUUAAUAUUUCGUUUUGAUAUUUGGUUUAUUUGUUUCUUAGUCCUCUUUGAUUUGCGCACAUUAUAUUUUAGCCCUUGAUUUUGUUUCAAUGAUUCAUUUUAUUUAUUAAUUCCCCUUUUAGUUUGCAUUUAUUUCAAUUAAGUUUGUUUAUUUGAAUUUAUGUAAUUUCUAUUAAUUUAUUUAUUAUUUAGUUUUUCUUGAGUAUAUGAUUCUGAAUUAUUAUUAUCGAUUUUACAUUUGUCUUAGUAUAUUAUUUUUACUUACAUUUGUACAUAUUUUAAUUGUUUUAUUAUAUAGUUCAUUUAAUUUAAAAAAUUCUCUUUUAUAUUUCUCUGCUUUAAACAUUCAUAUGAUGUUUAUUCUUAAAUCCCUAUUAUUUUUAUAUAUAUUAUUUAUAUUAAACUAUCUUUUUAAUUUAUGUACAUUAUUUACUUAUAUAUACAUGUGUAUACAUUGUCUCGUAUAUUACUAUUACUAUUAUUACUAUCAUGGCUAUUACUUUUUAUUAUGAUCAUAUUUUCUUUUUUGAGCUUAUCCAUUUAUUAUUUUAUUAUUAAUUAAUUUAGCAUUAUUUACUAUUAUUAUUGUUAUUUUUAUUAUUACUACUAUUUUUUUCAUCUUUUAAACUGUUUUAUUUAAUAUUUCAUUUUUUUGUGUUUAUUUGCUUAUCUUCAUUUUUGUUUGUUUUACAAGCUGUUUUAUUAUUCUUCUAUUCAUGUAAUUAUUUUUAUUUACUUGUUGGUCUUCCUACUAUUCUCGUAAAUUUGUAUUUGUUUAAAAUCUCUUCAUAUGUUAUUUAUCUUGAACCAUUUUUUUGUUACUCGUUUUAAAUUUUUUUUCAUAAAUUAUUUCUUUAAAAUUUAUAUUAUUUCAUGUCAAAUGGUUUCAUAUAGUUCUAAUUUAAAUUGUUUUACACUCUAUUGGUUUUAAGUUGUCACAUAUACUGUUUUAAGUCGUUGGCUACCUUAAUUUGUUCCAUGUAUUAUUUCCUUCAUCAUAAUUUACAAUUGUUUCUUAGUUUCUUUUUAUUUCGCCUUCGUGUUUAUUUAUUUUAAUCGUUUAUUAAUUUAGAUUUCAUCAUUGUUAUCAUCGUUGUUCUUAUUUUUUUUGUGUCAUUGUCUUAUGUUAGUUAUUUAUUGUUUGAUUGUUCAAAUCAAUAGUUAAAAAUUAUGUGAUUUGUAACACCCCAAACCCGGCCCAGACGUUAUGACCGGAUCCGACAUGCCACAUCGAAGCGUUCAAAACAUUUUAUAUUGUUGAUCCAGAAAAAAUUACUUAGUGUUUUAAAAGAUAAUUUCAUUAUAAGUUAAAGUGAAUGGAAGCUGUGCACCAGGUAGGAAACCGAAAAAGAGGUGGUGAGUCCAUCGGACUGCUUAAGUACCAAGCUUCCUUCGGAUCCAAUCCUAGACAUGCAUACCGCCAUUGCCACACCUUAACGUCAUGGAUAUUUCUAGGAAACCAAUUUGAUUAAGUCAUUUUUAGGAAAAGUGAUUAAUUUUGGAAAAUACUUUCAUUGCGGAAGCUUUGCUUGUUGUCGUGUUAUUUUGAAAUCAACUGUUGUUUUUGAAAACGCGCCCUAAAGCUAUCCAAUUUCAACAAUUAAUAUAAGUAAUACCUAUCUUAGUAAUACAUAUUAAAACUAUCAAAAAUAAUUAAGCGGCCUUAUUACAUUUAAAAACUCAAAACUUCAAACAUAAAUAAAAGGAUAUCCAGUUCACCAGAAGAAAAUCAAACUUUCAGAACGGGUGGCCACUCCGAAUUCCCUCACAGCUCCAAGCCCACUAUGGUUGGGGAUUUCCUGCGUGGAUGAAAAUAAAAGGGGUGAGUUUGGGGAAACUCAGUGUGUAAGGAAAACCCAUUCAAAGCCCAAGUGAGCUCAAGCCUAUUGGGCCUAAGCCCAUUCAAGUAACAGUGGUACUGGACCAGAGCCCUUUUCAGAUUACAAUAAACUGGGCCUUAGCCCCUCAUUCAGAUAACAGUAUGGCCCAUAGGCCCAUUUCAAAAUACAUGCAACAUCAAUAAAUAUAUGCAAGCCUAUUUGGGGAGACUACUCAACCCACCAACCACUACACUCCACCCGUACCAGCCAUACACUCCAUGUGGGGAAUAGCUCAACCCACCCAGCCCAACACUCCACAGUUGCAACCUUGCUGCUCAGUUAAUAGUAAAUUGAGGCAAAGCUCCAGUACGUGGACAAGCCACUUUUAGUACUUCCUUCGUCAAUAUCCCAAUCCCAUGCAUCAGAUAAUAACAACAUGGCAUGCAGUAAAUAACAACAGUCAAACAUGCAUUUAGGUCAAUUUAACCCUAAGGGUAUUUCAGUAAAUUUGCACCUAGGGGUAUAACAGUAAUUUUUCAUACAUAGGGGUAUUAUAGUAAUUUAGCUGUUUUUAGGGUUUUCCAUGCAUAUUCCUACUUUUCACGUACUAACAGAAUCACGUACCGAGAGUUUUUACCGAAUUGGGCAUGUUGGCCCAUCAUUCCAAUUUUGGCCCAUUAAGCCCAAAAAUAUCAAGGGCACAGAAAUCAUGCACUUUGCAGUCCAAAUUUUGCAGCUUACCAAAAACAUUAAUCGAUUUACCUCACGAGCAUUUGCACACUCGCAAAUCUACAAAAUACAGGUUUUCGGCAUUUCGGCUUUUCGACUUUUGCCGAUCCAGACUAAGAAAGAGGGUGUUAGUUACACACCUGUUUGCGACUAUAUGCUGACGAGAUCCACACACGAACUGCCUACAAUUGGAUUACUAACACGUUAAUCUAACUAUUCAAAUACAAACUACGUAUUAACCCCUUACAAUAUUCGGCCAACCACACCUACAGAUCAUAGUAAGCUUAUAAGAAAUCAAUAAGCAACUCAUUAACAAAUUUUUGUCAAUGUUUACCACAUAAUCAUAAUUUCACUCCCUUUUUCUUAUGGAACAAAAAUUAACUAAAAUUACCGGGUUCUAUCUUAAGCUUGGGCCUUCUAGAGGCACACUAACAUAAUUAAACCAAUGCCAACAUUCACAGGAUUCCCGAAAAUUGGGGCGUUACAACUCUACCCUCCUUAAAGAAAUUUCAUCCUCGAAAUUUACCUAAUCCAAACAGAUGAGGGUAUUGUUGUUGCAUCGUCUCUUCUGGCUCCCAAACUCAGAAGUUUUCCCUUCCUUAACUUGUUGAAAACGAGCGACCAAAGACUCAUCGUUCAACUAUUUUUCCUUAAUCUGAUUCACCCAGGUUGGCCUUACUUACAAUUCAGCCAACAAACUGCAAUCAUCAUACAAACUCAAACGAGCAAACAUUGCUCUCAGAUUAGAUACGAUUCUACGACUUAAAACAUCGGCUACCACAUUAGCCUUGCCUAGGUGAUACUCAAUCGAACAGUCAUAAUCCUUAAGCAACUCAAUCCAUCUCCUUUGCCUAAGGUUCAGCUCCUUCUGAGUCAACAAAUUCUUAAGACUCUUGUGGUCUGUGUAUAUAAUACACCUUUCUUCAUACAAGUAAUGUCUCUAAAUCUUAAGUGCAAAUAUCACUGCUGCCAACUCUAAAUCAUGAGUUAGAUAGUUCCCCUCAUGAGGCUUAAGCUGUCGUGAUGCAUAUGCAACCACCUUACCCUCUUACAUUAACACGUAGCCCAAACCCACGUGUGAUGCGUCACUGUACACAGUAAAAUCCUUCCCAGACUCUGGCUGAAUUAACACAGGUGCUUCAGUCAGAACUUUCUUCAACUUCUCAAAAGCUUCCUGCUGCUUCUCAGUCCAUACAAACGGUACUCCUUUCCUUAUGAGUUUUGUCAAAGGUGCUGCCAUCACAGAAAAACCUUCCACAAACCUUCUGUAGUAUCCUGCUAACCCUAGGAAGCUUCGAAUUUCCAACACCGUCCUAGGUGGCUUCCACUCCAAAAUUGCUUCAAUCUUUUAAGGGUCUACCUUAAUCCCUUCGGCAGAGACCACAUGUCCUAAGAAGGUUACCUCUCUCAACCAAAAUUCACACUUGUUGAACUUCGCAAAGAGUUCCUUCUCCCUUAACACUCGCAGUACUAUACGGAGAUGCUCAUCAUGUUUCGCUUCAGUUUCAGAAUAUACCAGGGUAUCAUCAAUGAAGACGACUACGAAUCGAUCCAAGAAUGGUUGGAACACCCGAUUCAUCAGAUCCAUAAAUGCUGCAGGAGCGUUCGUCAGUCCAAAUGGCAUAACCAAAAACUCGUAAUGACCAUACCGAGUCCUGAAUGUCAUCUUAUGGAUAUCCGCCUCCUUUACCCUUAACUGAUGGUAUCCAGAUCGAAGGUCAAUCUUGGAAAAUACUGAAGCUCCUCCAAGUUGGUCAAAUAAAUCAUCAAUCCUUGGCAGAGGGUAUUUGUUCUUUAUCGUCAGUUUGUUCAACUGGCGGUAAUCGAUGCACAUGCGCAUUGUUCCGUCCUUUUUCUUCACAAAUAGCACCGGUGCUCCCCAUGGAAACACACUUGGCCUAAUGAAGCCCCUAUCCAACAACUCUUGAAUUUGAGCCUUUAACUCCACUAACUCCUUCGGUGCCAUCCUAUACGGUGCGAUGGACACAGGUGCUGCUCCAGGCAACAAAUCUAUUCCAAACUCAACUUCUCGGUUCGGAGGCAAUUUUGGAAGCUCCUCCGGAAAAACAUCUUGGAACUCCUUUAUGGUCCUAACCUUAUCCACUGUCAGUCCCUCCUUUUCCGACUGACUUACAAAUGCCAAAUAGGCCUCACAACCUUUCUGAAUCCACUUUUCGGCUCUUAAUACCGACACCACAUUGGAAAAAUAAUCCAUUCGCUCACCUAUCACCAUAACCUCCUCAUCCUUUGUGGUCCUUAACACCAUUCGUUUAGCAGCACAAUCCAGGGUCGCCUUAUGCUUAAUAAGCCAGUCCAGUCCCAAAAUGAGAUCAAACUCUCCGAACGGUAACUCCAUCAAAUCUCCAGGGAAAAUCUUACAUUGAGUUUCUAAGGGUACAUCCCUAUACAGUUUGUCUACCCUAACCGAGUGACCCAAAGGACUUAGUACAGAUACCCCACUCACAAUCUCCUCAGAGCAGUCCAAGUUGUCCAUAAUCCGUUCUGUGGCCUUCAACCAACAUUCUGCCACAUUCGAGGCUAUACCAGACACGCCCCUAAAGAUCUCUGCUCCUUUAGCCCGAAGUCGUUUAGAAAUAGAUCCCCGAACUCCAUUGCCCGUACUUGCCCCGGCAACCCUUUCCAGAACACGAAGCAUUGCCUGUGACAGGGCAUCAUCCCCGGCACCACGAUCAUGAGACUCUACCUCUGUUGCCGGUGGUACCGGUGCAUCCACCACCGAUAUAUGUCCCGAAGAUAAAAAUCUCGCUCGAGCACUUUCUCGGCCCCAUCCACGGCCUCUUUCACGAACGACUCUUGUACUCAUAUCGUCUUAUCUUGAUUACGAAUUUUUAUGCAUUGAUUCAAUAUUCCAGUGUUUAUUAUAGAUGUUUUAUGAAUCAGAUAGUAAUUCAGAGUUUAUUUUCGCAGAAUCGAAGUCUAGCUACAGUUUCAGUCUCUUAUCAAAUUUUUCUAUGGUUUCAGUAUCAUCCUAUCUAGAGGAUCCUAGCAGGAUUUUAGUACAGACAGAUAAUUCAGAAAAAUAUUCAGAGAAGUUCAGAGAAAUACUUACAGACUUGAGCCGGAGAUUCGGAAUGCCACCUUCUAAUAUCUAAAAUUUGAAAAUCGAGUUUUUCGUAUUCUUUAUAAAAUUUUCGUUUUCAAAAAUCUUUGUUUUUGUAAACCCAUUCCACAGCCGAGUUGUUGCAACCUAGGCUCUGAUACCACUAAAUGUAACACCCCAAACCCGGUCCAGACGUUAUGACCGGAUCCGACAUGCCACAUCGAAGCGUUCAAAACAUUUUAUAUUGUUGAUCCAGAAAAACUUACUUAGUGUUUUAAAAGAUAAUUUCAUUGUAGGUUAAAGUGAAUGGAAGCUGUGCACCAGGUAGGAAGCCGAAAAAGAGGUGGUGAGUCCAUCGGACUGCUUAAGUACCAAGCUCCCUUCGGAUCCAAUCCUAGACAUGCAUACCGCCAUUGCCACACCUUAACGUCAUGGAUAUUUCUAGGAAACCGAUUUGAUUAAGUCAUUUUUAGGAAAAGUGAUUAAUUUUAGAAAAUACUUUCAUUGCGGAAGCUUUGCUUGUUGUCGUGUUAUUCUGAAAUCAACUGUUGUUUUUGAAAAUGCGCCCUAAACCUAUCCAAUUUCAACAAUUAAAAUAAGUAAUACCUAUCUUAGUAAUACAUAUUAAAACCAUCAAAAAUAAUUAAGCGGCCUUAUUACAUUUAAAAACUCAAAACUUCAAACGUAAAUAAAAGGAUAUCCAGUUCACCAGAAGAAAAUCAAACUUUCAGAAUGGGUGGCCACUCCGAAUUCCCUCACAGCUCCAAGCCCACUAUGGUUAGGGAUUUCCUGCGUGGAUGAAAAUAAAAGGGGUGAGUUUGGGGAAACUCAGUGUGUAAGGAAAACCCAUUCAAAGCCCAAGUAAGCUCAAGCCUAUUGGGCCUAAGCCCAUUCAGGUAACAGUGGUACUGGACCAGAGCCCUUUUCAGAUUACAAUAAACUGGGCCUUAGCCCCUCAUUCAGAUAACAGUAUGGCCCAUAGGCCCAUUUCAAAAUACAUGCAACAUCAAUAAAUAUAUGCAAGCCCAUUUGGGGAGACUACUCAACCCACCAACCACUACACUCCACCCGUACCAGCCAUACACUCCAUGUGGGGAAUAGCUCAACCCACCCAGCCCAACACUCCACAGUUGCAGCCUUGCUGCUCAGUUAAUAGUAAAUUGAGGCAAAGCCUCCAGUACGUGGACAAGCCACUUUCAGUACUUCCUCCGUCAAUAUCCCAAUCCCAUGCAUCAGAUAAUAACAACAUGGCAUGCAGUAAAUAACAACAGUCAAACAUGCAUUUAGGUCAAUUUAACCCUAGGGGUAUUUCAGUAAAUUUGCACCUAGGGGUAUAACAGUAAUUUUCAAUACAUAGGGGUAUUAUAGUAAUUUAGCUAUUUUUAGGGUUUUUCAUGCAUAUUCCUACUUUUCACGUACUAACAAAAUCACGUACUGAGGGUUCUUACCGAAUUGGGCCCGUUGGCCCAUCAUUCCAAUUUUGUCCCAUUAAGCCCAAAAAUAUCGAGGGCACAGAAAUCAUGCACUUUGCAGUCCAAAUUUUGCAGCUUACCAAAAACAUUAAUCGAUUUACCUCACGAGCAUUCACACACUCGCAAAUCUACAAAAUACCGGUUUUCGGCAUUUCGGCUUUUCGACUUUUGCCGAUCCAGACUAAGAAAGAGGGUGUUAGUUACACACCUGUUUGCGACUAUAUGCUGACGAGAUCCACACACGAACCGCCUACAAUUGGAUUACUAACACGUUAAUCUAACUAUUCAAAUACAAACUACGUAUUAACCCCUUACAAUAUUCGGCCAACCACACUUACAGAUCAUAGUAAGCUUAUAAGAAAUCAAUAAGCAACUCAUUAACAAAUUUUUGUCAAUGUUUACCACAUAAUCAUAAUUUCACUCCCUUUUUCUUAUGGAACAAAAAUUAACUAAAAUUACCGGGUUCUAUCUUAAGCUUGGGCGUUCUAGAGGCCCACUAACAUAAUUAAACCUAUGCCAACAUUCACAGGAUUCCCGAAAAUUGGGGCGUUACAUGAUUAUUGUGAAUUGUUUUCUUAUUAGUAUAUUCAUAUUUAUCAACAUAAUAAUCUCAUUCGCAUAUUACCAUUCUGAAUAAAAUAAAUACACAUCGUUUUAAACUUCGUAUUUGCUAUUUUUUUAAUAAAAAGAAAAUUCUCUAAUAAAAGUAAUGUUUCGUGUUUGGGAAAUUCGAGAGAUCGUACCCUAACGUGUUGGGUUUUGAUUUUUCUGCUUGAUCCAAAUGAUCGAAUAUCCUUUUGGAAUUAAAAUACAUGAGUAUUAAAAAUCAAAAGACAAGCUUAUUCUCGAUAAUUUAAAAUGUCGUGUCCUAUCGUGUUGGAUGUGAUGUUUAAUUACUUCGAGAUAAGAAGGUCUUUAGCAUCCGCUUCGAUUUAUUCAAAUAUUUUUUGUAAAACGAACAUUCAUAAAAAGGGAUCGCAAAAAUUUGAAACAAGGCAAUAUUUCGUGUUUGGAAAUUUCGCGAAAUCGUGCCCUAUGUGCUGGGUUUCGAUUUAUCGUUUGACCAAACAACCGAAUAUCCUUUUUAAAAUUUCAAUGCAAGAGUUUUGUAAAUCAUGAGAUGAUUUUGUUAUCCAAGGUUCGAAAUGUCGUGUCCUACGUGCUAGAUGUGAUAUUUUAUUUCUUCGGAACAAGAGAAUCUUAAUAUCCACCUCGAGUUAUCCAAACAUUCAUAAAAGGGAUCGUAUUUUAAAAUCUUUUUAAAUUUUGGCAUUGAGACAUUAAUUAAUCAAUUAGGUACCAAUUUUGGGCGUUACGAGGGUGCUAAUCCUUCCUCGUACGUAACUGACUCCCGAACUCGUUUUCUCAAACUUCGUAGACCAAAAUCGUUGUUUUAGUAAAUCAAAAUGUUUUAUUAAAAUGACCAAAUUACUAGGUGAUCCGAUCACACCUAAACAAAAAAAAUUGGUGGCGACUCCCAAUUUUCGUUUCCAUUUUCAAAACCAAAGUCGAUCCCCGUUUUUCAAAAAAAUGGUUUCGACAAACAUUAUUUAAAAUAAUAACUAAUUAACAUAAUUAACUCUAAUAUUAAUUAAGGGAUAAUUAAUAUGCUUAAAAUUUUAUUAAAUAAUAAUUUUGUUUUAUAUCAAUAAAAUUAGCACCACUUUUGUUUACAUAAUUUUUUUUAACUAAUAAUGGUAAAUUAUAAUUAUCAAAACAUUUUUUUCCCUAUAUUGUAUACUUAGAAAUAAUUUUAUUUUAAAAUUAACACAAUUUUUUAAUUAAUAAUUGUAAUUUUAAUUUUAAUUAUUUUAAAUGUAUGAUUAUCAAAACUUCUAUUUUAUUAUAAAUUUUUUAAAUAAUAAUUCUAAAUUAAAUAUUAUAAUUAUUUUUAAAUGUGAAUUUAGUAAUAUGAUGGAAAAUGAAAUAUAUUCUCACCAAUUCAUAAGUUUUUUCAAAUUCAUGUGUUUAUAUAUAUUAUAAAUAUACACAGACAAAUAAAAAAUAAUAUGCUAACAAGUGUUGAAUAUAGUGUUAAGAUAACACAAAUUCAAAUAUUAAAAAUAAUAGUCGAGGUUUCACUAUCUCACUAAUUUAUAUACUAAUCUCAUAAUUAUAAGCUUCAAUUCUUCAACUAUUUGGAACAAGUAAUUAGGGAUAAUUUUAGAGGCGAAAUCCAAAUCAAUAUUCAUUAAUUGAUUGCAUUUUUUUUUCUCUUUUCUCUAAAAUGGACAAAUUGAUUUGUCAAAUCCUUCCACUAAAAUUGAGAUGCUAAAUGGAAUCAUAACAAUUUUAGUCCUUAAAUCUUUUUGUAUUUAUUUGAUUUAGCUUUUACUCUUUUAUUUGAAGUAAAUUUAUUCAAAACUUUUCAUUUAUAUAUAUUGCGCCAAUAAAAAAACUUAAGAAUUAUAAAGAAUCUGAUUUUUUUUUAAUUCAAAAAAACCAUAAAUAAAAUUUAUAUAUCCAAAAAUUUUAAAAAAAAGUGUAAAUAGGCCAAUUUGCUCGGGCCCGAAGAAGAACCCAAAAUAAAAAAUAAUAAACAAAAAAUAUUAACAGUCCAUUAAAUGUCCUGGCCCAAUUACAUGACCCAAGACCCAAAUAACUAACCCAACCCCAAAUAAACCCAAUAGCCCAAUUACAAGCCCAGUUACGAAAUAACCUAACCCAAUACCCCAUGGCCCAAAUACAAUGGCCCAAUACCCAGAACAGGCCCAAACGGCCCAAAAACUAAGCCAAAUUUCGGCAAACCCCAAGGCAAAGGGCUCCUUGCGCCGCAGUCCUCACGAGCGGCCUAACCACAUCGCAUGUGCUCCCUCGCGCCGCAGCCAAGCAACCAGACAACGCCUCCGUACGCUCUGUUGCUCCAACAGCCACGCCCGCGCCUCCGUAUGCUAGCACAGCCCUCGUACUCGUGCCAGCACACUCCGUACCUACGAAGAAACAGACAAAACAACAGCAGCAGCACGAAAACAAAAGAAAGAAAAAUUGUAUUUUUUAUUUUAUUUUGAACAUUCGGCUAUAAAGUCUAUUAUUUUCGAUUGUAAAGGGGUUCCCUCUUUUACGAACAAGCGCAAUAUACGCACACAAAAGAACAAUCGAAAGCAUUCGAAUAGAAAAAAAUUAUUAAAGAAAAGGUGAUUUUUUUUAGUUCUUCUUCUUCUCCGAUUUAGUUCUGAUUCUUUUCUUUCUCCUUGAUUUUCUAUUCGGUGUAUAAUAGAGAUAAAGAAAAAGAGGCUUACCUCCGUUUUUGGUUCCCUCGAAUCCUCGCUCACUUCGUCGCAAUCAGAGUUCGGGUGGUGAUUCUGAGGCUUUUGAGCGGACCCUUGGGUUCAUGGUCGGACGAAGCUGGAUUUAGGCCUUUUGCAUGAUGACCGUCGAUCAAACAUGAAGGUUGGGCGGCAGUUGAAGGGACCUAGGGUUCGGCUGAAGGAAAAAGGGGGGGCUAGGGUUAAUGUAGCUGAAAAGCCAAAUUGUAACCCUUUUAAAGGACUAGAUACAGCGUCGUUUUGAGCCUGAUUCAGUGGCUCCAAAAACGGCGUCGUUUCAUGGCAUGACCCGCACGUGUGACCCAACCCGGGAAGGAUUCGCGUGUUCCCCAUCAAUGGGAAAUUUGUCCAUUUGGUCCUUCCUCCUUGUGCGGUCGUUCAAUCGCAUACCAUUUGUUUUAUUUAUUCUUUUAAUUUAGCCCCGUAAUUUGCGCUCAUUUGCAACUGGAUCUGCGCUUGAGUACUGCGUUUUGGGAGCUGGGUUAUAUCCAGCUUAAGUCCCCACACAUUUGCGCGAAUUACUUGUUGAUCCUGUUUGCGAUUAUUGUUAUUUGUAAAUUAUCCCUGUUAUUUUAGGUUCAAUUUUGAUUUGGUCUUUCACUUGCAUAGUUUGAUAAUUUAAUAUGUGUUUAGUAUUUUUAUAUGCAUUAAUCCAUGUAAAUAAUUUUGUUUGUUUACACUUGUGCAAUUAUUUUGAGUAUUUUUUUUUACGUUGUACGUCCUAUGUCUUUAAAUACUUUAUAUAUAUUUGUAUACACAUCAUUCUCAUAAAAUUUUUACUUUAUAAUAACUAUUAUUUUGGAGUUAACAAUAUUCCUAUCUUCUUCUUUUUUGACAAAAUCAUCAUUUUAAAGUUUUUGUUAUAUUACUUUCAUAUCUUAUUAUAAAGUUUUGUUUAAAUGUUUACAUAUAUAUUGAUGCAUAAAUUAUUUUAAUAGGGUUCUUUAUUUAAAAUACUUCUUGACUAUUGAUCCAUUUAAUAUUUUUAUGUAUAUACGAUAUUAUUUAGGAACUUCGUUUUUGUACUUAUAAAACUAUUGUUUCUUUAUAUUAUGUUAUUCUACUAUUUAUAUAGUAUCUCAUCUAAAUGCUCCAUGAAUAAUGGUAUGUAUAUAAGAUAGAUUAAAUUAAUUUUAGACGCAUUGUCGAUUUCAUACUAUUUUUAUAAUAAAAUUAUUACUAUAUCUAUGAUUUGUAAAUCUAUUAGGUUUCUAAAAUUAUACUUCACUAUACAUUUUUAUAAUCAUUUCAUAUUUUGUACAUAAUCUAAAUCUUUUAUGUUAUAUAAAUUCUCAAUCUUAAACUAAUAUUAUUUAACAAUUUGUAUGCUAUUUGUUUUUAAAAUACUUAUUUUAUAACGCAUAUUUUAAUAAUUACGUAUAUAUUUCUAGUUUGUUUAUUUUCACAAAUAGUUUUAAAUUCAUCAAUCCAUUAAUUCGUAUGUCGUAUAAAUUAUUGGUUCGUUAGAUCGUCAUUGUUUUAAAAUUAUCUUAUACCACAUUGACUUCUAUAUUCCAUUUUGUUUUGUAUAUGAUUUGUUGAUUGAUUUAUAUUGUGCCAUAUUUAUCAUUGUUGUAUAUCAUCCACUCAUUGUUUUAUUAAUUGUUUUGUCAUCCAUGCUUGCGAGUUUGAUUAUCUUUUCUAGAUCAGUUAUGUUUAAUUAUUAGUUUGUUAAUUGAUUGUAUCUCAUAUGUGUCAUUGUCCCAUAUCAUUGUUUUCCGCUUGGCUUAUGAAAUUUGGUUUUGUAAGUUCCAAAUCUUUAAGAUUGAUUCCGUUUUAUUUCAAGUCGAAUUAAUAAGUUUUAAGCUAGUUUUAUAAUUAUUUAUUUAAAAUUCUUUAAAACGAAGGCAAUGUUUGAUAUUUGGCAAUUCGCGGAAUCGUGCCUUAUCGUGCUGGGUUGCAAUUUCUCGUUUGCUCAAAAUAAUCGAAUGUCCCUUUAGAAUUUCACUCAUGUUUUUUAAAAUUCUUCAAAAUAAAGAUAAUGUUCAAUGUUUGGCAAUUCGGGAAUCGUGCCCUAUCGUGCUGGGUUGCGAUUUCUCGUUUGUUCAAAACAAUCAAAUAUUCCUUUGGAAUUUCACUCAUUUCUUUAAAAAUUCUUCAAAACGAGCAUAAUAUUCGAUGUUUGGAAAUUCGGGGAAUCAUGCCCUAUCGUGCUGGGUUGCAAUUUCCCUUUUUUUUAAAAUAAUCGAAUAUUCCUUUGGAAUUCUACUCAUGUUUUCUAAAUGCUAAAGCAAGGCAAUGUUCAAUGUUUAGAAAUUUGAGGAAUCGUGCCCUACCGUGCUGGGUUUCGAUUUUUCGUUGGACUAAAUAAUUGGGCAUCCUUUUGUAAUUUUCAACAUAUAAACUUUUGGAAGUCGAAAUUUAUCGUGUCUUCGAGGGUAAAAAGGAUCGUGUCCUAUCGUGCUGGAUGUGAUGCUGUAUUCCUCCGAAACAAGAGAACUUUGACGACCAACUUGGGCUAUUCAAAUAUUUAUAAAAGGAACCACAUUUCAAAAACAUUUUUAAAUCUUAGACAUAAGGACCGUAUUUAAUCGAUUUGGUACCAAUUUUGGGCGUAAUGAGAGUGCUAACCCUUCCUCAUACGUAACCGACUCCCGGACCUGUUUUCUCAUAUUUACGUAGACCAAAAUCGUUGUUUUAGUAAGCCAAAAUGUUUUAUUAAAAUGACCAAACUUCUUGGUGAUCCAAUCACACCUAAACAAAGAAGAUUGGUGGCGACUCCAUUUCUAUUUUUUAAAGUCGAUCCACGCUUUUUCUUUAAUUAAAAAAAAACGGUUUCGACAAAAAGAUUUCUUCAGAAUUAACUAAUAAAACAUGAAAAUUCUAGAAAUUUCAAAAAUUAUAUAAGAUUUGUUCAAAAUUUAAAAUUUCAUUUUUGUAAAUGCAAAAGAAUAUUUUAAUUAAAAUUUUUUUAAAAUUAAGAAAAUAAUUGAAAAAGCAACUUCAAAAUUCAAGCUAAAGUUAAUAGCACAUGAUUUCUUGUCUACAUGACUUCAUUGUUGGUUGAAUCUAGACAGUUAUAUGGGUCGACACAAUUAAAUUUAAAUUUUUAUGAUAUAAAAAAUAUAAUUUUACUAUUUAAAUAAUCUAUAUCUUUAUAAUGUUUAAAGAAUUAAAUCAAAUCUUUAUAUUUUUUAAGGACUUUACUAAUUUAAAAUAUUAAAAAAUUUAAAAGACUUAAAUAAAAAAAAAUUUCUAUUUUAUGGUGCGCUGGCUUCGGCCGUGUAGAUUGUAGAAUGUGAAGGAAAUAUCUCUUCAGAUGAGAUAGUUAUGAUGUUAAGCCCAUAAAUUUCGAAAUGGAAGCAUCAGCUAGAGUGGGAAGUAGUAGGGUAUGGCGAUUCAGCCACAGGACACCAGCAAAAAUACUCGGUAUUCCACCAUUUUUCAGUUUUGGAGGGUUUGAAAUAAAGAGAAUCUCAACACUUUUCUCGAUUGAAUUUUUAAAAUUUUUGGAGCAUUAAAUCAAAAUUUUAUUAUUUUCAUUCUACUAUGAGAUAAUAUUAAUAAUUAACUUGAAAGAUUAAAAUGAAGGGUAGAAAAAUACCUCAUGAACAUAUUAGGUGCUUCCUUCUCAAUGAUUUUGCGCAGGGGGCUUGGUAUCUAUAUUUGCCAAAAGGCUCUAUCCAUUUCCUUAAGGAGCUGGGGGACUUCUUUAUAAGCAGAUUUCUUUCCAACAAAAUGCUACCUUUUAUCCAUCAAACAAAAAAGUGAUCAAGUCCUCAGAGAGUUUGUCCAUGGAUUUGAGGAAUGAAUGAAGGUUGUUAGGUCCAAUAUGAGAAAGCACAUAGAUACAUAUUGAAGAACUUGAGGGAACCAAUUUCAACCAUUUAGGCCCUUCACCACUGCAUGAUGAUCAAAGAUGAAAUCCCCAUGCAUGCGUGCAUCUGGGGGCAACAUAUUUCUCUAGCUUCCCCAAAGACCAGCAACAGAGAAGGUAAACUAAGAAAAGCUCCCUAUAACAGGUUCGAAACUACUACUUAUUAUUAUUAUUAUUUUGGGGGUUGGAGAUGUAGAAGAAGUUUCAAAGUCAACAAGGAGAACAAGUCCAGGGGAAGAGGAGAGAUGAAUGAGUGAGUCACAAUUUGCCUAUCAUUGACUCAUCAUGUAUCUGACUCGUCUAAAUCUUUUGAGGAAUAUAAAUCUAGAAGGUUAACCAUAAAAGAAUAUAUAUUUCCUUUAGCACGUGAAGUUACUUAUUAUUAUUAUCAAUUCUCAAAUAGAAAUCUCUAUUUAUCAAAUAUUUAUAGAUAUUUAGAAUUAUCUAAUUUUUUUCCUUCUUGUUCUAAUAAUUUUAAAGUUGUGAGUUCUUACACCAUUAAGAAUUAGUUGUAUUAAAUAUCUUCAAACUAUAAAAAAUUACUUGAGUUAAAAUUAGGUUGUUUUAGGGUGAGUUUGGAUGGGCGGUGCGUUUAGUGUAAAAACAGUGAUAGCGGUGAGAUUAAAUACUGUAGUGAUACUGUAGCGUGAGACAAAAAAGUAAGCUAAACGCACUGCACCGCAGUCAAUCGCCCAUCCAAACGAAGCCUUAGUCAUCAUUAUCAUAAUUUUUCUAUUUCUAGUUAGCGGCGAUACUUGUUACCAUCUGGCUACAAUAUAAUUUUAUGUUCUUAAAAAGAAAUAAAGAAAAAAAAAGCAUAAUGAUUUUUUUUACCCUCCAACUUUAAAAAUAAAAAUAAAACAUUUUAGCCCUCCAUUUAUUUUUUUACCAUUUUUAGCCUUUUAACUUGCAUUAUAUGUCAAAUACCCCAAAUUGGAUAGAAAAGUUAACAUUUGUUAACUUUGUUAACGCAAUGCACAUGUAUACCAUAUUAGUAAUUAAUUAUUUUUAAAAAUUAAAAAUUAUUUUUUAUAAUUUUUAUACUUUUCAAAUAAAUUUUUUUUAAAUUUUUAAAUACUAAAAGUGAACCAACUUAAGUGAAAUGAAAUUAAAACAUUUUGAAAUUCAAAAAUCAAUUUAAAUCUAAUGGAAAAUUUGGCUUUUGGUGGUAAGAUUGUGAUAACUACUCAAGUUCCAAUUUUAUUUUAUGUAACUCAUAUUUAUGUUUUAUUAGAUUUAUUUUAACUUAAAUUUGGUAACAUGUGAAUUUUAGAGUAAUAUGUGAAUUGCAUCUAAAAUUAUUUUAGGUAAUGUCCGAUUUGUUCUUUGUAAUAAGUACUAGUCCAAAUUAUUGUUUUUGUAAGUGUUAAUAAAUAUAAUUGUAUUUAUAUUAUUAAAAAAUAAUUUUGAAUUUUGAAUUAUAAUAUAAUAAUGCUUGUUGAGUGCAAAUAAUGAAUAGAGAUUCCUUAUAAGAUUUUUUUAUUACACGUUUCAUUUACACACAAAUGAUAUGUCACUUAUAAAACUGUCAAUCAGUGAUUCGAAGUUCAAACUAAAUACAUCAAAACUAGUCUCCUGUUUUCCUCUGGUAUUGAACAAAAACCCAAACUACUAUCCUGAACCCCCCAUGUUUCUCUACUUUACAAUCCACCAAAUAUUGUUGCACUUAGUAUUAUAGGAUCUGCACUUGUCUUGCUCUUUGUCUUUUCCCGACAUAUUUUGUUCACUUUUUUUGUAACUCUUAAGAAUUGAACCUGGGAUGACAAUAUAAACAGUUUCUAGUAAAAAAUAAAAAGUGAACGAUUUUAAUUAAAAUGAAAUUCAUAAUUUAAAUACUAAUUAAAACAUUUUGCAAUUAAAAAUCAACUCAAAACUAAUGAAAUUUGGCCUUUGUUGGUAAGGUUGUGACCUUGAGACAUUAAGUACCCAAAUUUGAGUUUUAUCUUAUGUAAAUAAUACAUAAAUUUCAUUAGAUUUAUUCUAACUUAAAUCUUGUAAUGUGUGACUUGUAUCUAAAAUUAUUUUAGGUGAUGUUUGAUUUGUUCUUUGUAAUAAUUAACUCUGUUUAUAGUGCUCUAUAUUAUUGUUUUUGUAACCAUCAAUAAAUAUAAGGGGUUGGCUAAAAAAAUACCCCCAACAUACUAAAAAAAAUCCUAAUGCUCAUUUUCCGUGUAAUUGAUUACAGCAUUUCUCAUUUUAUUAGAUGAGUGUCUUUCCCAACGAGUCUUUUUAUUAAUACAAUAAUUAGGGCUAAGAUCUUAAAUUAAUGUGGUCCAAAAAAUUAAUUAAUACAUUUUCUAAAUAUCUUCAUUUUCAACAUCUUAAAUUAGUUAGUGUAAUCAAUUCAAUCCAAAAAAUUAGAGUCAACAUAUUAAAAAACAAGAAAAAUUAAUUUUGUUGUAAUUAAUAUAAUAAAUAGGCAGAGUUAUAUAUAUAUAUAUGUUUAUUUUGAUGAACAUUAACAACACCCUAAUGUAAACUCAUAUUAUUAUUAACAAAAUUAAGUAAGGGCUAGUUCUUCAUUGCUUUUGAAAAGUGCUUUUGAGAAGUUCUAUGGAGAAGUGCUUUUGAGAAGUGCUUUAAAAAAAUUUAGUGUUUGAUAUUGCUGUCAAAAAGUACUUUUGAAAAGUAAAAUGUCUAUUUUAGACAUGAUAUUAUAAAGUAACAAAUAUGUAUUUAAAUAAUGUUCAAAUUAGUUAAUAUUAUGAUAUUUUAGUAAAAAUAUAAAAAAUAAUUUAUUAUAACUUAUUGUUAAUAUUUUAAUAUAUAAUAUUAAUUUUAAAUAUUUCUAAGUAAUUAAUAUUAAUUAUUUAUUAAAUUUAAUUAGAAUAUAUAAACUAUAUUUAAAUAUUUAAAUAUAAUAAUUAAAUAUUUGUAAUUAGAUAUUGACACAAUUGUAUUAUUUUAAAAAAUAUUUUUUAUUUUUAAUUAAUGCUUUUAACACAUUUGUAAAACUCAUAUUAAAUAACCAAGGAAGAGAACACAAAAUAAUAGCAUCAAACACAUUUUAAGUCAAAAAGUAAGGUUAAAAAGGUAAAAUAAUAGCCAAAAGUGCUUUUUGGCUGAAAAAGCUAAAAUUUACUGCUUUUUCAUCUCUAAAAAAGCUCAUCCCGAAAAUUAAAAAAGUUGCCCCAAUGAUAUGUGUUCUUCAUUGCUUUUAAGAGAAAAGCACUUUUUUUAGAAAAAGUCCAUCCCAAAAGCAAUGAAGAACACACCCUAAGUCCUUCUCACUACACUCUAUUAUUUGUAAUUUUAUUUUUUAUAAAUUUGUUCUAAACUGUUUUCUAUAAAAAUCUAUUUUUCUAAUUUUUUUCCUUUUUUUAUUUAUUAAUUCUUGUAUAAAUUAAAAUCUGUUUUAAAUUUUUAGAACUAUUGAUUUUUUCGUCAUAAUUUGUAGUGUUCAACAAAAGAUGUCGAAUUUUUACGGAAGUAACCUAAAUGAAGGCAAUGAGAUCUCUAUCGUGAAAUCAUCAUUUUUUACCGAUCGGGCAUAAUAUUUAUCAUGAUGUUAAUAUUUUUUUAUAUUCAUAACAUUUAAUAUUUGUUAACAAAAUUAUUUAAAUUUUAGGUGUUCGAGUCUCGUGAAGAGCUGAUGCAAUGGGUGCAAAACACGGCAUUCUCUCUUGGUUAUAUCAUCGUCAUGAGAAGAUCAAAAGCAAAGGAAAAUGGUGUGGUGUCUUACGUCACACUUAUUUGUGACCGUGGCGGUGAAUACAAAUUUAAAGAAUCAAGUAAAAAGUAUGGCACCAAAAAGACCAACUGUAAAUUCUGAUUGGUAGGUUCGUAUUUAAAACAAUAUGAUGGGUGGACGUUGAGGGUGAUAUGUGAUCAGCAUAACCAUCCACCUGCACAACAUAUGGAGGGACAUGCUUAUGCAAGGUGGUUGAAAAAAAGGAAAAAAAAAUUGUUGGUUGAUUUGACGACUAAGAAUGUUACACCACGUGACAUAUUAUCGACACUGAAGUAGCAUGACGAGAAUAACAUUUCUACACUAAAAAUCAUAUACAAUGCACGGCAAAAGCUUCGCUUGUCCUAGAAUGUCGGUAAAACUCCGAUACAGGUUCUUAUGUUGCUUUUGAAUGAUAAACAAUUUUUUACUGAGUUUUCAGUAAAUAAUAUUUCAAAUGAAUUGGAAAAUCUAUUCUUCAUUCAUCCACGAUCAUUGGAUAUAUGGCGUGCAUUUUCGCAUGUUUUGAUUGUAGACGCAACGUACAAAACGAACAAAUAUGAUCUGCCUUUUGUUCAGAUUAUUGGCGUGACUUCAACCAACAAGACAUUUAGUAUAGCUUUUGCCUUUAUCAUUAACAAAAAGGAGGAGAACUAUAAUAGGGCAUUAACAUGUCUAAAGUUGACACUAGAGGAGUGCAUGUACCCACGUGUUAUUGUGAUGGAUAGAGAGUUGUCUCUGAUAAAUGCAUGCCAACAAGUUUUCCUCGAUGCCACUCGGUUACAAUACAGAUGGCACAUUACUAAAAAUAUUAAAAAGCAUUGUAGGCAGUCUAUCAAGUCGCAACAUGAGUGAGACUCCUUUCGUGCUAUGUGGACUGUACUCGUUGAAUCUCCAAUGUGGAUAUUGUACACCGAAAACUACAGAAAACUCCAAUCAAUGUUGAGCGAAUAUCCAGAUACAAGCCUCGUUAUUCUAUAAAUAAUUGUUUAUAGUUUUAGAAGACUUUUUAUACAUAACUAACAUUUAUAUAAAUUCAGGUGUUUUAAAAUAUCUAGAUCAAGUGUGGUUAAGCAAAUAUAAGAAAAUAUUUGUGUCGGUUUGGAUUGAUCGACAUCUCAACUUUGGAGAACGAACUACGAAUAGAGUUGAGAGCCAACAUGCAAAGCUAAAGAAAUACCUUUGUGCAAAAAAUUCUUCUCUAGAUAAAUUUGUUGGUUGUAUCGAUCAUGUAAGGCCCAAAUUUUGCCCGGGGCUCAAUAAACCAAAUAAAUAAAUACAAUACCCAAUUACAGCCCAAAUAUUAAAACCCUAAAAGCCCAAUUAGCCCACAACCUUAACUAAUUUUCAGUAAAAAGAAAAAAAGAAAAAAAAACCUAGCCACCUCCACUUGCUCCACUUACACCUGCAAAAGCCAAAAGAAGAAAAAACAAAAAAGGGGCAGAAAAGAAGCAAGAAAACAAGGAAAUAGAUAAUAGCAAAUCCAUGGUAUUUCGGCUAUAAAGCCUGAAAUCUCAGAUUUUUUUUGGGUACAAAAACAAGAAUAUUAUAAAAAGAGGGGAGAUUUUUUUUUUGAAAAAAAAAAGAGAUUGAAGAAAAAAAAGUGUAAUCUCUCUGAAGAUUUUUCUUAAAAAAAAACAGCAAGCAAUACAAAAAAAAAGAUAAUAACAAAGCCAACAAAAAAAAGAAGUGCAAACCGGCUUAAGUUUUUUUCUUUUCUUUUUUAUUUUAUUAUUCGAAUCCAUCUAUUCUUAUUCAUGUAUUAAAAUAUAUCAAUGUAUAUAUAUAAGAAAUAUAUAAAAAAAACCUUUUUGAAAUUUUCGGCCACCACUCACGGUGGCCGACGACGGUGGCCGAUGGCGGCGGAUGGCGGCGGACGGAGCCGGAGUUUGGUCUGAGGGAGAAGGCCUUGAGAGAGUUUGAGAGAAAGGGGUUAGUUUUUUUGUAUGAAAUGGGAAAAAUGAGUUUUUUUUAGGAAUUUUGACUUAUAUAGCCCCAUCAAAACGACAUCGUUUUGGGUUUAAGCCACUAAUGCCAAAACGACAUCGUUUUGGCUCUUAACCUAUGGCCGACCCGCGACCCGACCCGCUCCAACUUCAGGAUCCGCGUGUUUUCAUUGGAGGGGCUAUUUGCGCGUUUAGCCCCUUCGCUUUUUAUUACUUUGCAAUUAAAUUAUUUUUUAUUUUUAAUUUGGCACCAAAAUUUGUCGCAAUUUUCAAUUUAAUCCUAGCUGAUGCUGUGCAUUUUAUAAAGGGGGUUAUUGCACUUUAGGCCCUCUGUUGUUUCACGCGCAUUUAAAUAGGUCCUUUUCUUUUCUUUUCUUUUUAAAUUUGCCAAAAAACUUCGUUUUUAAUUCGAAUUUAGUCUCUUUUUUAAUUUAAGUUGAUUUUUAUAUUAUCUUUGCUACUUUAAUUUUUAAUAUUAGUUCCAAUAAUAUUAUAUAUAUGCUUUUAAAUAUACUCUUUUAUUUUCUUUUAUUAUAAAUAUUAUUACUUUAUUUUCUUUACGUUAUUAUUAUAUCUUAUCGUUUUUUUAUCAUAUCAUUAUUAUUUUUCAUUUACACAUUAUUUAUAUUAUUUUCAUGAUUAUUAUUGUGUUUAUUUUUACUACUAUUAUUGUAUUUAUUAUUAGUAUUAGUAUUAUAAUUACUAUUAUCAUACUUAUAAGUAUAUAUAUUUAUAUGUAAAGUUAUCAAUGAUUAUUUUAAUAUUAUCAUCAUCUUAAUAUUAAUAUGUACUUAUUUUUAACAUAUAUAUAUAUAUAUAUGUAUGUAUAUAUUUAUGAAGUAUUAUUAAUAAUUGUUUUGUAACAUUAUUAUUAUUAUUUCUAAUGUGUAUGUAUUAUAUAUAUUUUUAAUACUAUAUUAUGUAUAUAUUAUAUUAUAUAUAUGUAUUUAUUAUAUUUUUAUGUAUAUAUUUUUAAUAUCACAUUAUUCAUAUGUUUUUUUUAUAUAUUAUCCCAUGUAAAUACUUUCAAUACUACAUUAUGCAUAUAUUUUUGUCUCUAUUAUAUAUAUACUUUUAAUAUUCAAUACUAUUAUUAUGAAUAUGUUUUUGGUAUACGUAUGUAUAUAUAUAUUUUUUUCUUUUUUCAUUUAUUAUUAUCAUUAUUUUCUACGUUAUAUUAUUAUUAUUAUUAUUAUCAUUAUUAUUAUUAUUAUUAUUAUUAUUAUUAUUAUUAUUAUCAUUAUCGUUUUCAUUGUCAUUGCCAUUUUUGUUGUUCCAUGUUUUAUUCAUUUUCAUUUAUUCGUUAAUUUGCUUAUGUCUUCGAUCAUUUCAUUUUCGUCAUGCAUUUGUUUAUAUUUACAUAUUACUAGUCUUGCUAUUACUUCAUCUUUUAUAAUUACUUAUAUUAUCGUUUUUGACACUGUUGCACCUAUUAUGUUAUUAUUCAUAUUAAUAUUAUAAUUUGCUUUUAUGUUUUACUAUAAAUCACGUUAUUUUUCUUACUCAAUAUAUUAAAACAAUUCUUUCAUAAAAGUAAUAUUCCGUAUUAGGUAAUUCGAGAUAAUCGUACCCUAACUUACUGGGUUUCAAUUUUUCUUAUUUAACCUAAAUAAUGGAAUAUUCCUUUUAAUCACAAUGUGAGUUUAAAAAAAAUGUUUAUUUUUGGAGAUACAAGGUAUGGUGCCCUAACUUACCGGGUAUGACAUGUUGUUACCUCGAAAUAAGAUUUUUCGCAAAUAAAGGCAAUACUCGGUGUUUGAUGAUUCGAGAAUCAUACCUUAUCGUGCUGGGUUGUGAUUUCUCGUUUGCUCAAAAACAAUCGAAUAUUCCUUUAGGUUUUCACCCAUGCUUAUUAAAAACCUUUCAAAACAAAGGAUGUUCGAUGAUUGGAUAUUUGAGAAUCGUAUCCUAUCGUGUUGGGUUGCGCUUUUUCAUUUAUUCUAAGCAAUCGAAGAUCCCUUUGAAGUUUCAUCCACGUUUUCUAAAAACCCUUUAAAAUGAAAGAAGUGUUUGAUGUUUAGGCAGUUCGGGGAAUAGUGCCCUAUCGUACUGGGUUGCAAUCUCCCGUCUGACCGAAAUAAUCAAAUAUCUCUCCGGGAUUUCACUCGUAUUUUCCAAAGUGAGGAAAUGAUCAAUGUUUGGGAAUUCGAAGAAUCGUGCCCUAUUGUGCUGGGUUUCGAUUUUUCGUUGGACUAAAUAGUUGAGCAUCCUUUCGUGAUUUUCGAAUUAUAAAUUUCCGGACAUCGAAACAAGAAGAUUUUUGACAAUUAACUCGGGUUAUUCAAAUUUUAUUAAAAAAAGCCACAUUUCAAAAACAUUUUUAAUUUUAGACAUAAGGACAGUAUUUAAUCGAUUUGGUGCCAAUUUUGGGCGUAGUGAGGGUGCUAAUCCUUCCUCAUACGUAAUCGACUCCCAAGCUCGUUUUUUAAAAUUUUUGUUGACCAAAAUUGUUGUUUUAGUAAAUCAUAAAUGUUUUAUUAAAAUAACCAAAUUUUUAGGUGAUCCGAUCACACCAAAACAAAAGAUCGGUGGCGACUCCAUGUAUUUGUUUUUCAAAAGUCGAUUACCUUUUUUUUAAAAAUUUUAAAAUUUUUAAAUCGAGGAAUGGUUUCGACAGCUUGGCGACUCCACUGAGGACAUUUGAGAGUCGAGCCAUAAAAAUCAAUCAUUUACUGUCUUUUUGUUGAAAACUAAAAAUUUACUUUAAAAAUUAUAUAUCUUUUGAUUGCAUUUGAUUGUGUGAUUGUUUUAGUACGGGUCUUGUAAAAAAACACUACAUUUCAUUGCAUGACCACUAUGGUCACACCUUCUAAGUGGGAGUAAGAAACUACGCUUUCGUGAGGUUUUCACCUCCGCAUGGGCUAGUGGAUUGCUUCCGGGGUACAUCCGUACCUAUGAUUUCGUGAGAUUUUCAUCUCCACAUGGUCAUAGGGAAAUGUAUCCUUCUGAACCGAACUCGAUCUAUAUGAGCCUAUAAUGGGUGAGGAUUGAGGAAUCUGCUAGUUCGGGUACCUUAUCUCUAGAACUAAACCGCAUUUAAUAAACCUUAGGAACCAUCCUUGGAUGAAGCCGCGUCAAGCCUUAGUACUUACCCGUAUAUGCGUCAUAAUUAUCGUUUAUGUGCUUGCAUUCUAUCGCUAUUAUUUGACACUAACCGGUGUUUUGUUUUGUUUUGUUUUUUUUUGCAUAACAUUGUAUACUAAAGGAGGCGUUAAUCUGUAUUCAAUUACUAAGUUAGAAAAUUUGACAUGGAGAAUGAAUUUCUUAGUAAGAUCGAGGAUAAUACGACCGUUCGUGCAUGGUCGGAGAGGCUACAAUCAGAGAGAGGGGAUAGCUUGGUAGAAGGGUAUGUAUCGGAGCUACAAGAUUUCACUCGCGUCAAUGUAGUACAGAACGAGCUGCAAGAGUUGAGAGACAUUUGGGCUAGUUGGAAUGAAGGAAUCAAGCAAUUGUUUUACCAAAAUUAUGGUGACGUAUCCUACCUGCUAGACAUUAAAGUGGAUAAGAAUUUGUUCCGAGCCUUGGUGCAGUUUUGGAAUUCUGCGUACAAGUGUUUCACUUUUGGGGAAGUGGAUUUGGUACCUACCAUGGAGGAAUACACUACUUUGCUCAGGUGUCCCAAAAUUCAGGUCCGAAAGACUUAUGCUCGGGUUUUUAGUAGUCAGACUUUCGUGAAGAAACUGAUGAGCAUUUCUGGGAUGAGCGAGCCUUGGGUCACUAUUCAGAUUCAACAAAAAGGAGAUAACGAAUGUAUCCAUUGGGAGAAUUUGCGAGAUUUGAUCUUGACACAUCCAGAUGAAAGAAAGAGGGUUGAUAUAUUUGCCUUAAGCAUCUACGGAUUAGUGAUCUUUCUAAGGCUUUGAGGCACGUGGACGAGGCGGUCAUUGACUUGUUUGAUCGCCUUGAAAAAGGAAUCACACCGGUGCCGGUAAUAUUGGCAGAAACGUUCAGAUCUUUGAGCUCAUGUCGAAAGACAGGCAAGGGGCGAUUCAUUGGAUGUGCACAAUUAUUGAUGGCAUGGUUACACGAGCACUUUUGGAAGGUAGACAAAGUUUCCUAUCGAGUCUUCUCCGAGGGUUAUUUCCCAUUGAAAGAAGAAUCAGCUAUAUAGAGGAGAAGUGGAUGGACAUUCUUCAGAACCUCAAGGAGGGGGAUAUCAAGUGGAGAGCUUAUUGGAUGGUUCCUGACGAGAUCAUGUACCGAUGUGGUAACUUCGAUUGGGUGCCAUUGUUAGGAAUUUGGGGAGCUACUGGGUAUACUCCACUGUUAGCUUUGAGGCAAUAUAAGUCGAGGCAAUUUGUACCGACGACCUAUGGGCUUACUCAGAGUGAAUUCUCAUUUAAAGGUGCUCAUUAUAAGAAGAGAGUUCGGGAGUUAUCGGAUGCUUGGAAGUAAACUUGUUGGAUGAAGAGGUUAGCCGUCAGUUCCAUGGUAACACCCGAGUAUAGCGAGUGGUUUAAGAAGAGGAUUAAUAAUAAUAUUCCUAGGCCAAGCUUGUAGAAUGCUCGACCUAUCGGGUAACAAUUACAAAUCGCCCCAUCAGAAUUGGAAAUUAUAAGGCAAGAUUUCGAGAAGAAGAGUUCGAAGCUCAGGAAGAAGAUCGAACAGUUAGAAGAAGAGAAGAUGCAUCUAAGGUUAGACGCUGAUGUUCAGAGGUCAGAGGCUGAGAAAUGGAGAAAAGGAAAAACUAAGGCCGAAGAAGACCUAAACAGCUUGAAGACAGACUACAAGAAGCUGCGCCUAUCUAUGAGGACUGCGGGUUUAGGUAAGACUUCCGAACAAUGGUGCCACGAAAUUCGAGAAGAAAAAUCUAAUACCGAUCGGUGGGAAAGAAAAUUUCGAGAAGCUCAGGCACGAAACGAAGAUUUGGAGAAGAGUCUGUCGAAGAGCAGAAAUGAGUGAGGUGAACUAAGGGCUAGAGUGACAGAACUCGAGAAGUCUCUGCAUCAGUACUGAAACCGCAACACCGCAAUAGAGCUAAGGGCAAGCUUGAGCUAGAUAGAAGAGAUGAAAGGAAGAAUAGGAGAGUUAGAGGCAUCACUGCAGAACUGUGAGAUGCGGAUCCAGUUUUUCGAGGCAAACGAGGAUCGUUGGAAAGAGCAGCUUCACCAUGCGCAAGACCAAGUCAGAAACAGAGAUUACCUUAUGGGGGAAGCCAUAACCCAAAUUCGAGAGGCAGUAGACUACUUGCAAACUUUAGCGGUUCAAGUGGACAUACUGAGCGUGAAGUAUGAGUUGGAGUCGGAUCGCGGACAAGAGCUGGCCUCGUUGCUUAGAAAAAUUAGGACUUUAAGUGUUAGAGCAAAAUUUUAUUGGUAAUUCGACUUUAUGUAAAAGAUUUUAUUUUCGAGUGAAAUUUUCUAAGGGCAAUUGAAUCAAAAUUGAUGCCUCCUUUACAUUCAUGCAUUUGCAUUACAUCAUAUCAUUAUGCAUUAAAGUCCAUAAGAGUUUUCUAAUUAAUUAAUUAAAAAUUAUUUCAGUAACCUGGAAACUAACGAAAACCAACCAACUACGCACUCCUACGGUACAAGAAAAAAAUCAAUGGAUAAGAGACUCGAGAAAUUGGAGCAAAUGCAAAAGGACAUGCAAGAACAAAUGCAGUCUCAGAUGGAAGAGCAGCUAGCCAAGAUUCAACGAGAGAUGAAGGAGCAAAUGAUGGAGUCCUAGAGAGAGAUGAUGUCCCAGUUAUCCAAAUUGCUGUUGGGAGGAAUAGAUAAGGGAAAAGGCCCCAUGGACCAAGUUGAGGAAAAGAAUGAAGAUCUCUAAUACCCCCUGGCUUUACUCUGACGCAUGUAUCGAUGAAGCCCGAGAUUAACCUACAAAAACCAUCGGUCACAAUCAUACCCCAGCAAGUUCAGGCUGAAGCUUCAAUUCCGAUGAACUUCCAAGUCGGCUCAGGCACUAACUUUGUCAACAACCCGAACUAUCCGCCCGUUCUCGACUUGGAUGAAGUUGCUGAAGAGGAAAAGGUGAGGAUGGAUUCGCAAAAAUAAUUGGAAGAACGUUGUAGAUGGCUCGAGGAAAAAUUCAAAGCCAUGGAAAGCGCGGAUCAUCAUCAAGGGAUUGAUGCCAAGGAUCUGAGUCUGGUCUCAGAUUUAGUCCUCCUCCCUAAAUUCAAAAUGCAUGAAUUUGAGAAAUACAAUGGAACAAGUUGCCCUGAAGCACACAUCACCAUGUUCUGCAGGCGAAUGACGGGAUAUGUUAACAAUGACCAGCUACUAAUCAACUGCUUUCAAGAUAGUCUGGUUGGAGUGGCGUCUAAGUGGUAUAAUCAACUAAGCCGAGCCAAGAUUAACUCAUGGAAGGACCUGGCUCAGGCCUUUAUGAAGCAAUACAAUCAUGUGACGGACAUGACCCCCGAUAGAAUCACUCUCCAGAAUAUGGAAAAAAAGUCAAAUGAAAGCUUCAGACAGUAUGCACAAAGGUGGAGAGAGGUGGCCAUACAAGUUCAGCCGCUACUUCUAGGAAAGGAGACGACAAUGCUCUUUAUCAACACCUUGAAAGCCCCUUUUAUCACCUAUAUGUUAGGAAGCUCCAUAAAAAGCUUCUCCGACAAAGUGAUGACGGAGGAAAUGAUCGAGAAUGCUGUGAGGAGCAGCAAAAUAGAGUCGAGAAAGAAUAGCAGAAAGUCGACCCCAAGGAAAAUGGACAAUGAAGUGAACAACACGAGCACAUUCAACAAGGGGCAGUCCAAGUCAAUUACCGUGAAUCAACCCAAAACGGUGACUACCAAUCAACAAAGCUCUGUAAGACAAGAAUCCAAUUCGAGGAAGAACACAGAAAGGCCACAAUUCACCCCUAUACCCAUGACAUAUAGGGAGUUGUACCAGAACCUGUUUAACGCUCAUGUAGUAUCCCAUUUCUACCUAGAGCCACUGCAACCCCCGUAUCCCAAAUGGUAUGACACAAAUGCCCAAUGUGAAUACCACGCGGGAAUUACCGGGUACUCAAUCGAAAAUUGCACUGCAUUCAAGAAAGUAGUCGAAAGACUCAUUAAGGUGGGGAUUGUGAGAUUUGACGACCUAGCCACGCCCAAUGUAGCAGGAAACCCACUCCCCAAUCAUACCGACCAAGGAGUGAAUGGGAUAAGUGAAGGCUUGAAUAAGAAGACCAAAUAUGAUGUGGCAGAAGUCAGGACCCCGUUGAGACGGGUAUGGAAGGAGAUGGCCAAGAGAGGAUUGAUUGUGUUGGACUCGAGGGAAGAAUCCAAAGAAGAGAAAAACUACUGUGAGUUUCACGGCAAGGUGGGGCAUGAAAUUGAAUUCUAUGAAGAGACCGAAAACCCCAUAGAGGAAGAUAUAUGUGCAUCGGAGGGAGAAUCAACGGCACAAAAUCGAACACCUAACUAUCCCGUAGUGAUUAUUUCGAGACCCAAAAAUAAUGAAGCCGGAGUACAAAUGCCACCGAGGGUCAUAAUCCAAAGACCUGCAGUUUUCCCUUACAAAGACAACAAAAAGGUCCCAUAGAAUUAUGAUUGCAGUGUGAUGAUGCCGGGAAAGGAGAGCCCGAUUGACGCUUCAAGAGGGGACCAAGGCAAGGGUUUUUAUACACGUAGCGGGAGGUGUUACGAUACGGCGAAUGAGGAGGUGCAGCCUACAAAAAGAAAAGCCCAGGUGGUUGAGGAAAUGAAGGGAAAAGCAACCAAACCUAUUAAUGAGCCAGUUAACGAAGAGGAGGCCAAGGAGUUUUUAAAAUUCCUAAAGCAUAGUGAAUACAGCGUGGUGGAACAGCUACGUAAACAAGCAGCCCGUAUUUCGGUGUUGGCCUUACUUCUAAGCUCGGAAGUUCAUCGUAGCGUGUUAAUGAAGGUCUUAAACGAGAUAUAUGUUGCCAAUGACAUCUCCAUUAACAAGCUGGACCGUUUCGUGAACAACAUAAGUACCGACAAUUAUAUCUUCUUUAAUGACGACGAGAUACCACCCGAGGGCAUGGGGUCGACUAAAGCUCUGCAUAUUACCACGCGCUGUAAAGGGUACACGCUGCCAAGCGUACUGAUUGACAAUGGGUCAGCUUUGAAUGUCCUGCCUUUGACCACGCUGAAUAGAUUACCUAUAGACAGCUCUCACAUGAAGGAGUGCCAGAACAUCGUAAAAGCAUUUGAUGGCACGGAGAGAAAGGUGAUGGGCAGAAUCGAGGUACCUCUUCAGAUUGGGUCAAACAUAUAUGAGGUGAAUUUCCUCGUAAUGGACAUCAAGCCCUCAUACAAUUACUUGUUGGGAAGGCCUUGGAUACAUUCGGCUGGGGCAAUACCUUCCUCGUUGCAUCAGAAAUUGAAGCUAGUAUCGGAAGGGAGAUUGAUAAAGAUCAAGGCUGAGGAGGAUAUUAUUGCAACUGUGAGCAAUAAUGCACCCUAUUUGGGGACAGAUGACGAAGCAAUUGAAUGCUCAUUUCGAUCUUUGAAAUUUUUUAAUGCGAUGUUCAUUGCCGAUGGAAGAAAAAUUUCGGUGCCAAAAUUUUCCAAAAUCACGAGAAUGAGCCUCCAGCUGACGAUCGGAAGAG